rnacentral:lncRNA from 1 species
GGCCGCUUUUGUCUUGUCUGAGGAGGGGAUUGGAGGAGGGGCGGAGACGGCGGAGGGAAGGUGGGGCUCCUCGCCGGUGAUUAGCGGCAGGUCGGCCAGUCGGAGCUGGGGCGCGGCGGGUCCCCAGCAAGGAGCGCUUGAAUGCGGGAGGUGUACUUCACAGGGACGGCCACAAGUACGGGAGAUGUUGGUCUGGAGAGGAGCUCGGCGGAUAGUAGCUCUCCCGUCGUGCUCGCCACCAGCGCCCGUCGAUGGGGGAGGUAGUAGUCGCCGGAGGCGGUGGGGGGCAAGGUACUUUUCCCCCGGUUUCCCUGCUGUUAUCGCUCUUCCCAAUUUGUCCCUGUGUUGCUCGAUGUGAUAUGCCUCUCCCCGCGUUCGAUUCAGUUCAUCGUCAUGGUCGCCGGUCAUAGAGCUCGUCGCAGGUGUCGCUCAGUUAGUUGUUCUUUUGGCCAGGAAUAUUUUUGAUGGCUUAGUUCAUCAGGAACGCUCCUGAAAUUUCAGUCUGUAGUUGAUUCACUCAUUUAUCACAAUAAUUCAUCAGUUUUGUAUAUGCGAAGUGCUCUCAGCUCUUAUGUUUCUCAUUCUUCAAGCUUACAUCAUUCUUUAGUCAUUCAGUCCUGAGAUUUUAGUUAUAUAUCAUUCUUCACACAGUUAUUUUAGCUUCCAUUUGUUCAUUUUUCAGUCACUCUGAAAUGGAGCUUCCAAAAUCUUUGGUUCUCAUUUCAUUAAUGUUUCAUUUAGUUGAAUACUGUGUGUUCUCUCUUCAGUUUCAGUAUUUCAGUUUUAGUAAUUGCUCAGAUCAUCUUCACAUCUUCUGCUAGCCUAAAUUCUGUAUCAUGUUCAUUAGUAGUAUCAGCCAAUGUUCAGAGAGUUGACUCAUCAGUCAAUGUUCAGAGAGCAUGCAUCAUUGUUCAGUUGUUCAUUCAAUCAUAUAAUAUUAUUAUGAGUAUCUUCAGUUCACUCUAGUGUUUCUUCAGUCUUUUUUUUUUGUUUUGCUGUCUCCAGUCUCUCUUCUUUCCAGAACUGAUAGUUGGAAGUUCAUCUUAGCUAUACACGGGCAUCAAGGACCAAGUGUAGUAUCUGCAACCCAGUGCAGGAUUCAAUAUUUGUACCCGAACUAUUCAGGUUUAAGUUUUAGCAGUGUAGUAUUUGUACCCAAGUUCUUCAGGUUUCAGUUUCUUUAACAAGGAGCAGCUUGUGGAGGUCCAUGGCGCGUGGCGAGGCGCUCGCAAGCAGCGCUUGUAUUCGUGAGGGUUUGUUCCCUACAACGGUGGGGGGAAGCAGAGAUGCAGGUAUGGAGAGGAGCUCAGCGGAGCUGUCCCGUCGGGCUCGCCAUCAGCCAGCAGCCGUUGUGGGGUGUGUGGAGGUGGUAGUCAUCGGCACCGCUCGAGCGGUAGGUAUUGUUGUGUGUGAUUUUCUACUUCCUGCUUUCCACCUCUGGUUAUAGGUUGUGCCAGCUUGGGCGGGUGCGUCGGGGAGGGUGGUCUCAGAUUCAUUCCGCUCGAUUAUGUUUUGUAAUUUCCCUGAAUUUUUUGCGUUCAGUAUCUGCUACUCUCGAUCAGUAUCUGCUACUCUCGAUCAGUUCAUGUGGUUGAUUUAGUUCAAUUUUUAACUGGCCCUGAAUAUGUGCAUUUAGUAUUCUCUAAUUCUCCAUUUAGUUCAUGCACUUGAUUAAUUCAGCAAAACGGUCAUUGUACAUGUGUGUUCAGCAACUAGUGAUUCAUUGAUUUGUAGAGUCCUCUCUAUAUGUUCUGGUUCAGUAUAUAUCGCCAUGUUUACAUGGCUCAAGUGUUUUUUGCUUUGUCUUGGUUGAGGAGUGGCAAGUAAUUCCCCCUGGACUAAUAUAAUGACAACUAUGUUUUUAGCCACUCUUUUUUUGUAUGGUACCACAAAAUAGAAGAUGGUUUGUGAUUUUAGUCCUUAGUCCUCAGUACAAGUGUGAGACCUUCUGUUAAAUUGUUCAAUGUUCAUUAUUUCAUUUUCAGUGUUAGUAUUCAUUAUUUAGUAUAAGUGUUCGGUCAGUUACCAGAACUUCAGUUUUAAGCUUGUCUCCAUUGUUUAGUAUAAGUGUCCAGACCUCCUUCAUUGUUUUGUUUUUUUAGUAUCAUUUCAGUUCAUUUUAUAAUUGUUUAUCUUAUUUAUUCAUUUUAUCAUUCAGUGAUCAUAGUUUCUUUCAUCGGUCAUUAUUAGGUAGGCUAGUUAUCAUAAGUAUCAGUUCCUUCAGUUAUCAUAUCAGUGUUUCUCUUAUUCUUGUUUUUCUAGUCUUCUCAUUCUUCAUUCAUAUCAAAUUAUUAUUUUCCAGUCACUUCUCAGUCUUGUGUUUCAGUUAUCAGUGUCUCAUUUUUUGUGAUUCAGAUUUUCUUUGUGUUAGUUGUCGUCAGUCUUGAGACAUUGUAUUGGUAGAAUUAGUCCUUAAUUUUUUGUUUUCCACUCUUACUCAUUCCUUUUAGUUAUCUCUGUCUUUCAUCCCUUAGUCUUCAGUUAUCAUUCCUGCUGUAGAUUUAAUUAUUCUUCAGUUCCAUCCAUGUUCAUUAUCUUGAUAUUGAUCAUUCUUUUGCUGUUAGAUAACUAAUAUUUAGUGCAACCCCUUCACCAAGUAAAAACUGGCAUGAUCAGAUUUGUCUAUGACCUUAGUUUGUCCUCAGUCAUCUUCAUUGCAACUUUUGUAUUUGUUAAACAUUUGAUUUCGCAUCAGUUUUGUCUAUGACCUUAGUUUUGUCAUCUUCAUCAUUCUAUCUACACAACUUGCUCAUUUUUAUUUCUUCAUUCUUUUUGGUUAGUUUCGAAAGUGAUAUUAGCUACCAAGUUGUCAUCAUGUGGAUGCCCUUUUAAGGUAGCCUCCAGCUUGCGGACCACCCCGACGGUAGGCAUGGCAGGAAUAUGCCUUGGGGGAUGGAUUGUAAGCACUGCCGCGUACAAGACAGUAGCAGAUGGUCGUAUCGCUUUUCAACAAGGAUUUCUGGGAGGAAUUCCUGGAGGAGAACUACCUAGCAUUGACAGAGCGUUGCUAAUCACCAUCAGGAACAGUGCACUAGACGAACUGAACAUGAUGGUUGUCUUCAACGAGAUCUAAUUAUGAGAUUGUCAGGAAUAAGCGAAAAUCUGCUUCUGUGCUCGGGCUCAGCUGAUCCCGCAAUCCACACCGAUCGGUUUGCAUUAGGAUUUGUGCGUCUGUCGGUAUUUUCUGUCGUAUGUCUCUUUCUCUGGAGUGGAGCACCGUAAGCAUUUAUUGCGACAGAGCGUUUCGCUGCCGUUGCGGGACAGAGAGAGGCUCGAGGGCUCGUUUUCUUAUCUGUGCUAACGUCGUCCUGGGACAGCUAUACCAUUGAUGGCUCGCCACUUUAUCUGAGCCACCAUGAGCCGUAUGGGCUAACUUCUCCUAUCGACGGCGUCAACACGACUGCAAACAUAAAAUGCAUUCCCAUGCUCACAGCCCAUCUGCCCAUCGCUCUCAUUAACUUCCCCAUCUCCCUCCAACAUCUCUUUUGCUCUCCCAUAUCCUCCUCCGUCCUCGUCUCCGGCGACAUGUCCGCUUCAUCUUCAUCAUCUCUCCUCGUCCCGGCGGACUGGCUGCUACCCCUGAUGGCAUGUCCACUCUGCGGCCACGAGUUAGUGACAGCCGUCGCAAGGAGUGGGAACAACGUUGGGCAUCGAUUCUACAAGUGCAUUCGCUACGAUGUAAGUACUUUUUGAUCCGAUCUUGCGAGAUUUUCCUUAUUGAAUCAACUUUUCGCACACAUUUCGACCCUUUUCACGUUCUCAUGCGAACUUGUCGUCCCUUCCAUGUUCUUUCAGUCAAGGCAGUGCCGUUUCUUCGAGUUCCAGCGUGCGUACUGCAUGAGGAUGACUCAUGAGCAGAUCCUGGCUGUGCAGCACCAGGCCGGAUGGCACCCACCCGGGUUUGGAUUUGCGCCCCAGCAGGGCAAUGGUCCUUCUCAGAUGGUUCCUGCUGCCAUCCAGCCCCAGAUCCAGGCGCAAUUGCAGCCGCAGAUGCAGCCGCAGACGCAGCCUCAGAUCCAGGCUCCGAUGCAGCAGCUUCCCCCGGCGGGCAACAAUAUGAUAGCUGACGCUGGAAGGCCUGCUGCCGGAGUCGGAGCAGCUUAUGGAGCACAAGGCCUAGCUGCAGUUGUCGUUCUUAUGGCUGCAGUGAACAUCAUGCUAACUGUUCUGCUGUUGAUGGUUGUGUUAGCUAAGUAAUUUCCAUAGGUAUUCUAGGGCACUCCUUUAUUAAUAGCACUAUGCAAGUUCUAACUAUUUUAGUGUAACCAAGGGUGGCUCCCUUUACCGCUAAGCCUAUUUAAGACGACGACCCAGGUUUAGAGCUGUUGUGCUAUUCGACAACCAACUAUGUAAUGCUUUAUCAGACCUUACUUAAGCUCCCGUUUUUUAUUAUUUUGCUGGGUUCAGAUUGUAUGAAUUUUUACAUCUCCCCCUAUGCAACGGGGUUAGUUGAGCUAACACUCUCAGAAACACAUCAUGUGUGCGAAUCAACAGCUCAACGAAGCUGCCAUGUUUUCUCAUCACAAACCAUUAAUCUCUAGCGUGCACGCCCAUCCAACCCAGUAUAAAUGCUGAACCAUGUUUGACAUAUCAACGUCUAGGAGAGGUUCACCGUUUCGUUAUGCCACACGUCCUAGUACACGCGUCUCCCCUCGCCGCACCGUUUCCUUUAUUUUUUUGGAUUCGCGAGGGCAGAACCGUCAUUUCUAUUCAGCACGCAUUAUAUCCCUAUCCCACGGUUCCACCCACACCAUCACUCAUAUCCUGCCCAUUUCUUCCCCACCCGCCGCCGGAGAGCAGUACCAGCUAUUCUACGGGUCGAUCCCGGCGCAAAUUCAGCUCUUGCAUGAUUCAGGCCCCUCAUCGGUCAUACCACCAUGGUAAGCCGCAGAUUUUACCUUUUUUUUUCUACAGCUCUUUUGUAUCUAGUUUGAUAGAUUGUAUGCCUGGAUCUGAAUCUUGUCCGGGUCUUCCCUUUUUUUCUUGCUCGCAGGAUGAUAGUAGUUCGCAGUCUGGCAGCUGCGGAGCAGCGGACGCUCGUUAUGUUAAGGACGUCGCUCACGCAGCUGCGCCUUGCCCUCUUGUUCACCCAGAGGGCUCAUCUUCAAGUGCUAAGUCGGCAGAUCCACCUGCACCAACAUCACGCAUCUCCAUCAAGCAUGCAGCUUGUGUCAUUCAGAAGUUUGACGACUACAAGAAAUGGUUAGUAGAGCAGAUUGGUUUUGGUGGUAUGCUGAAGCUCCCAGCCGUGCAGAAGCUGAGUUUGAAGUGCAGCGCCUGGAUAAUGAGUAGAGUCAGCGUUAGCCGUAGGGAGAUUAAACUUAGGGAUAACAAGGUACUCAGGUUUUUCACCGAGGAUGUGCACAAGGUUUUUGGGAUCCCAUGUGGUCACCGCAGUGUGAAAGGCAGGGAUGCAAUCAUCAAUCCUGAAGCUGUUCAUUUCAUAAAGACAAUACUUCAAAUGGAUAAAACCGGCGUGCACAGCUUGCGGGCUGCUGAAAAUUUUCUGUUGCGCGAUAUCAAUGAGAAUUCAAGCAAGUUGGAGAAGGAUUGUUUCCAGAUUGCAUUUGUCAUCUUUGUUAUGGGUCAUGUACUAGCACCAACUACUAAGCACAACUAUGCCACCAUCGACUACUGGGGGGCGAUUGCAAAUACGGAGGCCAUAGUUCAGUUCAAUUGGUGUGAGUAUGUUCUGUUACAACUUCUGGAUGCAGUCAAGAAGCUGAAGAGUGACAUGCUGGCCAACAAUCAGUCCACCAAUCUAACGGGUUGCCAUUUUUUCUUCCAGGCAAGUGAACAAUUUAACAUACAAGCGCAACUUUUCUGAAUGAGAUGAUGCACAGCAAGUUAUGUCAGAUUUUGUUUUUGUUAUAUGUUCCAUUGAACGACAUGUUUUUUGCUAUGCAGAUUUUCUUGUUGGACAACCUUGAUCUCGGCAUUUUAAACAAGCAUCAUAAUGUGCUCCCAAGGAUAUCUGACUUCGACCCAGAGUCAUUUCAUAAAAUGUUGAUUAUGGCUGCUGAUCCAGUGAAAGGAGCUACGUCAUAUUCUCAUGCAAAUGUAGUACAAUUUUUAUUGGAUCAACACCCUUUUUCUGAUAUUUUUUAUGAGUUCUGAUGUAAUGUUGAAAAUGCUAAUCGGCCCCCACAUUCUUUUAUCUAACACAGCUGAGAGAUGCGUCGAUGGUCUGCUACAUACGGCAGAAGUUUCCCUCAUCUGUUCCGUCGUCAACAACUAGUAGAAGGCUGCCGAGGGGAUGUGCCACGCCUGCAAUAGGAAACCUUCAAUUCACAACUCCCCUAGCACAUUGCGACGCUGGUCAUCAGGUUAACACUGACGGAGCAAUGCCAUCUGCUGCAGCUCCUGGUCCAUUGGAAUUCGCAAAGUACUUACGUGAGAAGUACCCACAUCUUGUAUGUCUUUCAUCAUUUUUGCCUUGGUUAUUUGUACACUACUUAUUUUUCCUCGCCCAUGCUAGUAAUCCGUAUCGUCACCUCGUGUUUCGGCUUCGCAGGUAGCGGACGAGAUCACAAUGAUUAUAAAACAGCAGUACGCAUGGGGCCUUAUGCAGUUGACACAAGCCAGCAAUUCUAUCCAGCAGGCUUUGUUACAAGCAAAAAAUGGUUUGCAACUGGAUAUGUACAAGUUUUCAAACCAAGUAAUCAACUCAGUGUCUACCCGCUGUGUAUGUUGUCGUGUGCGUGGUUUCACUGAUUGCCCUCCCUCAGGUCGUCAUAAAAUCCUAUGCAUGUUAUACAUUUUAUGCCUGUGUUAUCUCUCGAUAUGCCAUGCAAUAUAAUUGUUUUUUAUUGUUUCCAUCAUCAGGCACUGCUAAUUCCAAAUCGGUACGUUUUACCACGCCGGUGGCUCACAAAAUUCAGGGGAAAAGGCUAGAACUAUCUGAAUCCGAAGGUUAGGCUCCACUUGAUAUUCUGCCUUGUUGGUUUGUUCCUUCCUUAUAUUCUAGCCUUUCUAGUCUUUGCUGAUCUCAGAUCACUCCAUUCUCACUCCAUUUUUUCCGAUUAAUUGUGGCAGCUACAUCGCCUGUAGCACAAAAUGUUUCGUCGCGCAAGAGAUCCGCUAAUAUGGAGGACUCCGUAUCUAGCAGCAAAAAAAGACGUCAGCAGCAUCUUGCAAUGUCCUCAAUCACUUCAAGUCUUGCCUCAUGUCCCUCGCUGAAAUGUAUGCUGACCUUCCUGCCAACCCCCCUAUAACUGUAUUUGGCCAAUGUUCCAACAACCUUCAGAAGAGGAAAUACAUAUUCCAGCACGGUUUCGCAACUGAUCCGUGGUGCAGGGGAGUUGCGCCGCAUCCCCCACAUCCACCAACCACGGACCUUAUUGCUGCUCAUUUCUUGGAGCUGUCACAGCAAGAUCUGCGGAGGUGAGUCAUUGUAUCCGUGUGGGGCUCCUUUUGUUUCGUUUUUGUAGAGUUGCGCUCAUUUUCCCUUUUAAACUUUCUCCAUACUUUUUCUCCAACAUAUUCAAUGUUGAUUCUCAUAGCCCAAUAUGUUCACCCAUCUAAGUAUACUUGUCAUAAGCAGGCACUACAUUGUACACGCCAGUCCUAGGCUUAUCCGCAUUACUGGGAUGGCUAUGCUUGAUCAGCUAAUUGGGUCGCGCCCCUUCAGCACGAGCUUGCCUCUAUAAUCAUGAGAAGGUAUUCUCAGUCUGAUCAGGAAGCCAAUUUGGAGUGCCCCUACAUGAAUUGGAGGCACAAUAUCGAACCUGAAUUUGCGGUAUAACAGCCAGCCACACGUUUGUUGUGUAUUUUAGUAUUUUACUUCUUUUGUCCAGAAAAACAUGCUGACACUGCCUGUAUUCAUGUUUUUUCUCAUGCAAUUUUCCAUUAAAGACCAUCGUUCUUGCCGACCAAGAAUACUUGACAAACAUCUCAAUUCAGAAGCAGCUUGUUGGAAACGACAUCCCAUAUGACAUUACAUCAUGCCAGAUGGUAUGUCUACACUGCUUUUCCCCCAAUCAUAAUAUUAUGCAAUACUAAUUUUCAUGUUUGUUGACUUCCUACUUGACUUAACAAUUGCCUUAUCAAACUUAUCUCAUUUAAAUGUAUGUUGGUUUCAAACACCUGUUUCUUGACUCAGUUCUUCCUGCCUGCCCCCCUCGAGGACGGUUGGAUAGUGAUCAUGUGGGACAUGAUGUCAAGGAAGCUCCAUGUACUGGACCCGCUCAUCAGGGGAGAAGGUCCACCUGACGCAACGAGAGAUAAGCAUGAGAUGAUUGUCUGGAAGCUACAUCAUGCACUUUUCCAAUGCCUUAAUGAGUAUUAUGCUGGGUGGCCAACGCAAGACGGACAAUGGGCAACCAAAUACCCCGUAAUAGCUGAAGAAACAUUCUGCAGGCAAGAUUUUUUCUACUGUUCCUAAUCACACAUUCAGAGCUACAUGGCAGCACGAAAUUUACUUCAGUUUUCUGAAAUUAAACUUGUUUUCAUCUUUCCAUUUUUCUGAUCCAUUUUUCGCUAUCUUACGAACAGAGAUAAAAGUGGUCGGUGUGCUCUCCAUAUAAUUAGGCACUACGAUGGCCAGAAGCUCAAAAUCCCCCUAACCAAGGUGACGCCUUUUCCCCAUUUUUCUUUUUUUCUGUUAUUAAUUUAUUUCCAUUGUAGUCGAUACGGAUCCAGCAUCGUUGAUUUCUGUAUCACAUCCUGAAGCAAAAUACAAUUUUCUGUAUUUUUUUACAGUACAAUGCUGGCAGAACAAAAAGGCAAGCACUUCAUGAGUACAUCAAGCUGCAGGGGAACUCAUCAAAGUUGGCGCAUGAGGCUCUGUGGACUGUCCUGGCGCCAACGGACUCAUGGGUUGAUUCAAUCCACUCCGGGUAAAGGCCACAUCGAUUUUAUUUUUAAAUAAAUUUGCCAAUGUGGUAUGUGCGGUAACAGCUGUGAAAUCUGAAUCUUCGAACCUAGUUCUAUGAAAUCAUGUACCCUAAGUACUUUUUUUCAUUCAAGAACCAGGCCCCCAAAUAAUGUAACGCUCGAGACCGUUUGCGUUAAGCCAUGCUCGUUUCGUAGUUUUUCAGUCAGCAACUAUGUUUUCUUAACCUAGUACGGACCAUUUCUCUUUGCUUUUCAAUCGCCCAGCCUUUUUUCUUUUAUAUCCGGUGAUAGCUUUUCGUUACUAGCAUUCUAUGUGCAUCCAUACGGUUAGUUACCGCCUUUGUGAAACAUCUGAAUUUGUUACCUCAUCCGGUCCAAAAUGUUGCCUUAAUCGAAGCUCACGAGCCAAACACAAAGUACAACUCUUUUCUUCCCGUAAAUCUAUACAAUCAAACCUUUUUAGGUGACAUUGUUUUACCAAACCAAACAUGGCAUAUUAUGUCAACAGCACAGAAAAUAAAAAAUAAAAAAUCAUGUACAAUCCCGUUUUACACUUAGAGUAUCGAAAAAGGCAAUCUCCAUUAUUUACAGUCAGACAAAAUCGAUCCGCACCUUUUUUCCCACAGUUCAUGCAAGUUUAUUAAUGAUCCAGCACGUACAGUUCUCAUUAGGAGCUACAAAAUCGAUUAUGUCUUCUUUUUUCUUAUAUUAAAUUUUAAAUUUUUUUAUUUUUCUAGCACAACUAUGAUCACAAUGAUAUUAAUCUAGUAGCGAAAGUCCUACUUUGCCGACAAGCCCGUAUGAGCUGCAGUCUGUCGGGUUAAUCAUUAUUACUCGGCCAAAAUCGGCACCGAAGAUCGAGUCACUUACUAGUCCACAAUGCAGUGUACCAAGGCCCGAAGUUCCAAGUCAUUGUCUUCUAUUCAAUAUUUAUUUCACUUAUAAUCCGCUUCAAGGCCAAAUGCUACUUAAGUAGCAACGUAUUAGUUUUUCCCUAUGGAUCUCGUGCCGUGCUUCAAGGCCAAGUAUAUUUGAAUAGAUUUCUUAGCAUGCAGUCUUAUAGUUUUGAACUCGUUUAACCUUGCCGUCUCGCGCGCACAUAAUGCAUUUAGCUCAACUUAAACUCAACAACUCUUGUACACAGCUAAAAUGCAAAUUUUGAUCCACAAGGCACAGGUGUGCAUCAAGCUACUUAGUGCAUUCAUACAUGACAUUCGUUCCACUUAGGUCUUAAUCGGUACUUAGGUUUUACAUACCAUUCGUUGGAAACUACACCUAUAGAUCACUCAAAUCAUGCUAGGUUUUUGCAGUCCAUUAGAUUAUAUUCGAACCAAAACGAUACGGCGGCGCACUCAUUGCGAAUUUAGUUCUACCACGUUCACAUCCAAAAGGUCUUCUCAGUCUGCGUUCGCUCUUCCUUAGUCACACAAACGCUUUGCCGCUCCUCAAUCUAUGAUCACGUCGUACACGAACUCUGGAAUGUCCCCUUUGUUCCCUUUCAUUGUCACAAUCUCGUACGCUAGCUUCGCCCGUAGACGGUCUAUCUGCCCCUAAAUGAAAGCAAUCAAAGCAGCAUGAGUUCAAUAUUUUUUCGUAUGUCCACUGAAUAACUUAGAUAUCCUCAAUUGGAUUGUUGCACAAGGCAAUUACAUUUGUUUUUUUUUUGCAACAACUAACCUGGUUCAGUGAUGAACGCAGGUACAGGCCGGUGAAUUCAGUGUAGUAGUGUGCGAUGUAGAUCCCACUUUCCUCCCUGUCAUUUUAAAUUUUCUUGUCAGUACUCCAUAACUAGUAAAUUUCAACGUUUUUAAUACACUCAUCGGGUAGGGUGUGAACAGACCUGCUGCACGGCGCAUGCUGUGCCACUAGUGGAUACUUGAAUGUCCAUCCUUCAGUUUCAAUCAAGCCGUUGCCGAAGAAAUUGUUGAACAGAGAACAGAACCUGCGCUGGAACUUUUUUGCACGGCCUUCAUGUUUGAUUUUCAUCUCAUCCAUUUCAUCUGUCUCCGUUGGGUCCAGGACCAUCACCAUUUUUUCAUCCUUAUCCAGCAGGUACAUCGACCAGCAGUGCAUAAAAUCGACUGGGAACCAGAACUGUCCAGCAAUUUCUUUUUGUCAGAAAUAGGUUAUGACAAGAAUUUAUAAUAUUUACGUGUCCAGAUGUUAGUGGAAAUUCACCUUUUUCAGCCAGUCAAUCCUGUACCCAGCCUUUUCUGAAUUCAUCAUAUCCUCGAUGUAAUCCCAGUCAGUUUCUCCAUCAUCCCUGCAGACCUCAUCCUGUAAUUUGAAAAGUACAUUUUUUCAUCAGUGCCUUUCGAUAGUAUAGUAAUUAAUACUCACAUCCAAUUCAGACUUUUUAAGUUUUAUUUUUACUCACAACAAAUUUGGGGUCGAACAGCCCUCUGAAUCUAUCCAGCCACCCGCGGUAUAUGCCAUUAUCUUUCUCGCGUAGCAUGCGUUGAACACACCUCCACAUGUUCAUUGUUACCUCACCACCUGGCGUCAAUUCAUCUUUCAUAUCUUGCCCAGAUGCAACUGCCAGUAUUGGAUCGUAAUGCUUAACCCAUUUCCUGCAUUUCAAUGUUCCUUCAUUUAUCAGUAUUUUUCUUCUGUUUAUGCACCCAACGAAUGACACCCAGUAAUAUUAAAUGCUUACCUAUUCAGUAUCGGUCCCUCGCAUGCAAGCAAAUUAGAGUUGAAUUUGAAAAUGCAUUCAUCACUGGGCUCUGAGUGGUUCAACCCAAUUGAGGGGGGAUAUUUAUCACCCCAAGCUUUCCUGUCAGUGAUAUGCCCAGUUUUGUGUCCAUCGAUAUGCGAUGGAUUCAGUGUCUUCCCCCUGUUACUAACCGUGUGUUUGAUGCCGCACUUCCACAGAUAUUCCAGGACAACUUGUUGGAACUGCGUCAGCCGAACAUGACUUCCUGUUUCGAAACCUUUUGCUCUCCCCUGGCCGUCACCGCCAUCUGUGCGACAUAGUCAGGUGCAACAAUCAUUAAAAUGGACAACGAAAUUCAUAGUGGGAUAUCAGGUUGACAUUUAUGGACAUUUACCUCCAUCAUCCCGACGGAAAGAAGGACCAGGAUGGCAGUUUGUUUGGACAUCCAACACAUGUGCUCGAGCUGGUUCUGGCUGCUCUGUAUGGGCAACAUCUCUGGCAGAUGUAGGAGGUGCUGCAAUUGCAUCCGAGGAGGUCAGCUGGCAUGCAUUACUCCUAUGUCCACCUGUAGUCCUUCCACCCUCGUUGGCACCGCUACAGCUGUGAAGGUACAUGAGGACAGCUUGCUGUAAUGUGGAUGCCGAACCACCACCUAUAGUGGACAAUCCGCUUCUACGAGGUUCACCGUCAUCCGUAUCCGUGUCAGACGACCAAAUGAUCAUUUUCCAUUAGAACUCAAAUAAAUGACAAGAGGGAGACACUAAAUGCACGGUGUAAUUUUGCGGCAAUUACCUCCGUUUUCACGAUGAAAGGAAAGACCAGGAUGACAGGUUGCAGCAAUAUCAAAGGCACGUGCACGUGCCCUCCGUUGCUCAAGGGAACGGUUCUCAUUUCCGUCGCGUUCACCAUCUGAAUUGUCAUUAACACCAUGACCGCCUAGCAAGAUGAGGCCGUUCAACGGUGGGUCUUCGUCCAACUCAUCUCCUUCCCUUCCGCUUCCAACUACCAACACGGCUGCAUUUUGCACAAAAACCAGGUAAGUUCUCUCCACUAUAGUCUAAAUACGUUGUUUCAAGUGUGAACAACAUGUUUUCGAAAUAUAUGAUAGUAGUAAUCACCUCCGAUCCACGCAAUCCACCGGAUGCAUGUGUUCAAUGAAGCUAGUAAAUCAGUUAAAUUAUUUAAUCCCAUCAAAUUUGAUCCAUCCUCCAUUUUCUCAUCUUCUUCCAUGUAGUGGAUCGGCACUUGUGAUGCCACGGCAAGGAACUCUUCAUCCAAGUCUGGAACAAACAUUGUCUCGGUGAUCAUCUUGCGUACUUUUAAAUCAUAUAUUAUUUCUUUUUACCAUCAUACCCGUUGAUUCAUCUUCAUCGAUUAUGUAUUCAGUAGGCACCCCUGGUGGAACAUCUGAUGACUCGUCGUCUGCAUCUGCAAAACCAGGUCAACAUUUUACUUGCAUCGAAGCAAAAUGUUCAUUGCAUUUCAUUCUAUACAUUACUUAAGAUAAGCACUCAAUUACCAUCCUCGUCAAACAAGGGCAGUAGAUUCCUUCCAUCUAUGUUGUUAAAUUUCUCAUAAAACAGACUCCGACUCGUCGCUGCCUGCUCACUUGCUUUCACAAUUGCUCUUAGGUUGCUGUCAGUGACAAUCAAUGCCCCCACAGCCUGACUACUGAUAUGUUGACGGUGUUCCUGGCUGCUAUGUUCCAGCUCUUCCCAGUUGAUGCGAUCAUCAUCAUCUCUCUGUGGCGUGUUGUUCCCAUUUGCGUCAACUCCCGUUCCAUGAUCUGCAUGAUUGAAGAUUUUAGUAUCAAUGACAAUUUUUGGUUUUUUAGCUACUAUAUAUCCCAAAACAAAUUAAGAAAGACCCACUGCAUCCUUUAUUGUUUUUAACGACAUUACCUUCGUUGUACCCUUCCACUCCUAGGUCUGAUAGCAUCAACCGAGCCUGCUCAAAGAUGCCUGUGUACACGCAACCAAGCUGGUUCAUAUGAUGUCAGCCUUCAACCAUCAGCUUAAACAGGAAUGCUAUGUACCUUCAAAAAGUUCUGGAUUGCCAAUUGCUUGUUCUACCACAGCUAGUGCAGCGGCAGAUAAGCUCCGCACGCGCUCCCUCCUUUCUGGUUCAGAUUCUCCCUCGGCAUUCAUGUCAACUGCGGCAGAUGAUGAUCCUCUACGAGAUGGUAGAAUUCCAUGAAUUGCCCCGUCUGUCAAAAACAGUGCAACACAAAUUAUUUUUUCGAAAUGCAUUAGUGCUGACUGGUUCAUACUUGCACCUUCAACUAAGUAGAAGGAUCAAGUUUCUGAACUCACAUUCAAGGUCUGCUUUCGCUUUAGCCUCGAGUUCUUGUAGCUCGGCUCUGAGGUAGUCCCCCCUGCUACGAAGCAUUGCAACUCUGCAUGAGGUCUGAGCAGAGAAUCGGGCCAUGUUUGACACAGUUUCACCACCAUUGCUGAUCCUAGGCUGUAGCCGUUGCCUGAGCCGGUUCAUGCUACGUGGGCCUGUAAUGUUACCAAUCUUAUCAUCAGGCUAUGGAACGUCCGAUAUUAUAUUUACUGUCGAGACACAAUUAUUUUAACAUACCUGUAACGCGGGCUCGGCCUAGAUCAUCUCCAAUCAUAAUGCCGGUGGGCGCGUUCUGUGCUAGGUUGGGUCCCCCUGCAAAUUUUUUCCAGCAAUUUAGUACCGGCACACUAAGGACAUCCUUUUGGUGUGUAUGCUGCUAAUGUAAAUCCAUCUUCCACAAACCUCUCCUGUCAGUCCUCGUCAAAUUAAGGCCAAGCCCAACACUAGGGUCCAUCGGUUCAUCAUCGCUAUCGCUGUUUGAUGGAUCUGAACUUUCUUCUGCUAUCCCUUUUCCUUUGGCAUCAGCUUGUUUCGCUGUAGUCCUUACUACUGAGUUUUCGGUUUGCCAUUCUGGUGCUUGCAUUUCUCCACUCAUAUUGAUGUGCUGCUCGUAGCGGGGUGCUUUGCUGCUGUAGUCAUCUACCUGUUGUGCUGCUCGCAGCGCCUCCAAUUGCGUUGUUUGCAUCAAAUAGACAACAACUAGUUUGUCAGCUAGUGGUUUUUACAAACCAAUACCUCUAAUUUUUAUUAUGCAUGACUAAUGUUGUUGCCUCUCUUACCCGGAUGUCGCAGGAUUCCUCCAGGACCCCCAACCACAGCAUGCCAGACAUUGUUAUCCUGGUUGAAUGCAUCAGAAGGCCUUGUCUGCCGGAUAAUAACACAUCAAGUUAAAAUGAAUAUCAGUUUCCAUGAUCGCCAAGUCUUUUUUCAUAGCUUCCCAUUGUUUUCAUGUGCUACUUAAUUGCAAAAACACAGCAGCACUUACAGGGAAUAUAGUUGGGUACUCUCUUGUAAGGUAGAUUAGCCUCCUGAACACCUGCCCGGUGUAAACGCUGAUACGGGGGAGAGUGUAUGGCUCUACACUAUCUGGCCCAAAGUCCAUCCAGUCGAAGAACCAUGGCUGCAAACAAUCAUGGGGAACAAUUAGUUACAUAACUAUCAAAUGCAGUGCCCUAUAGGGUUCAUGUUAACACAAGACAUGUGUUUUUGGAUACACUUACAAUGAGAGCCAAAUGGCAGCCUCCUACAAUUAGAGUUCUGACCCCAGCUGCUAGAUCUUUAUGUAUUUUUUUCACAGCUGCUCUGAUGAUCUCAAAUACCCAGUCGGCUAGGUCGUACUCGCCAGUCCCAUGAUUGCAUAGGACACACGCUAGCAGCUCCCAAUUGAUCGACGUGUACGACUGUCUGGGGCCAAAAUAUGUACCACCGGCUAACAGCGAGAACACUAUUAAACGAGCCCCGUAUCCUUUUCCGGCCAGCACGGCUGACCAUCUCCGGUUCUUCGCAGCCGCGUCCUACAUCCAAAAAUUGACCCAGCGGCACAAGUCAGCCCUCUUUUCUUUAUGACCCAAUGAAAGACAAAUGAGAAAGAUUAGGAAAAGACGGAACAAGCAGAUGGCAAUACAGAUGUACGCCCAAAUCAUUUUCUAUCUACUAAACGAGCUUACCGAUGCAUUGGGGGCGCCGAGUGGAGUGUCGUCGCCACCAGUAGCGUCGCCAUCGAUGGAUCCUUCCAUUUUGCCACUGGAUGGUGGCUUUUUGUUCUGUCCGUCACCACCACCUUGUCCACAUGGCAGAUCCCUUUUUCGUGGUGGAUCCGGUGGUUCCAUGCUCACUAAUCUGGAAAGGCAAUCAUGGAUGGGAGUUAGAAAAAGACAUCACCAACCAAUAGAACUCCACUCACAAAGCCGAGGUGAUGGAUAACAAAAAAGCUAGCCAAGAAAGCAGCGCCUCCACAUAUUCGAUCGCCAUAUCGGGAAACCUCACCUCUAGCUGUUUGGCUGCUGACGCAGAUGAACCGGUCGCCGUCUUCACCCGUCCGCCUCCAGAUCCGGUUUGCCUUGAAUAGUGUAUACGAGACGGGGUGGGGAUAGAGUUGUGGUGGAGAGGACGAAGUGAGCAGUGNNNNNNNNNNNNNNNNNNNNNNNNNNNNNNNNNNNNNNNNNNNNNNNNNNNNNNNNNNNNNNNNNNNNNNNNNNNNNNNNNNNNNNNNNNNNNNNNNNNNNNNNNNNNNNNNNNNNNNNNNNNNNNNNNNNNNNNNNNNNNNNNNNNNNNNNNNNNNNNNNNNNNNNNNNNNNNNNNNNNNNNNNNNNNNNNNNNNNNNNNNNNNNNNNNNNNNNNNNNNNNNNNNNNNNNNNNNNNNNNNNNNNNNNNNNNNNNNNNNNNNNNNNNNNNNNNNNNNNNNNNNNNNNNNNNNNNNNNNNNNNNNNNNNNNNNNNGGGGGGGGGGAAGUAGUACUCCUUUUGCUGGGGGGCUGCGAGCCACCUCCUGGUAAAUGAGGCGUCGAGCUGUCUCUCGCUCGCGCACAGCGACGAGUCAAGUCUCUGUUACUGCUAGCUGACCCGUGCCGCCCAAGACUACUUUACCCCCGCUUUCUAUCAUUAUGCCCCGUUUUUUUUUGGGAUCCUUUAGCUGCGGAGCCGCGUUACAUGAUUCACACGGUCGUUUUGCAUGCAUUCUUCUCUUGUGUGCAUUUUAUUUUUCGUGCAUCAAAUUUUCUUAGCACAACAGGCUGCACGUAGAUAUGAUCCCGUCGUCAAAUAUCACCCGUCACGGAGAGCAUAUGCUCACUUUUUUUUAGUUAUACAUCUGCUUAUUAGCGUGGCCCAUCUGAGGCCGCAUAAUAAAUUAGCUCGCCCGCGCACAGGAGAUGAAGCCAUGUACUUUUCUCCGCACAAACAGAUGUUCCAAGCUGAACUGCCUCCGGUCGGAACAGUACAAUCACUGUUCGAUGCGGCCCAUGCCAAAAGGAGAGAAUAUUGCCCAGUGCGGGGCUGCCUCACCUGCAUGUCUCGGUGGGCACGGCAUGCAUGCCAACCACCACCAACCUUGCAUUGAAUUGGCUUGCCCAUUUUUGGUUUGCUCGCUGGUCCGGCUGCCUAAUCCAUUAGUGAUUAAACACACCCCGCACCAGACGUACGAAUCCUUUUGCCACGUAAUGUAUGAAUUAUCGUCCGGUUUCCUAAUCCAUCUUAUACUAAUUUACUCAUUUCAUUUUGUUUUUAAUUUUUUUUGACAUUCUGCAAAUGAUGAAUUCCACAUAAUGUCAGAGGAAAAAAUACGGAAAUUAUGUACUUUUAACUAGCCCGACAAAUAUCUCGCCCGUCAAAGGGACCACACAUUUUCAUUACUGCAACACAAAACAUUGGCAAUUGACACAGUACAUUACAUCUCACAUAACUCCACCUACCGAAGCUAGUUCCUAGAGCGUACUUCUGCUAGAUCUACUCUAUCAUGCGGCGUCUCUUACUGAAACGGCUGCUAGUUGCAUCCUCAUCGAAAGAAUCUUCCCCCUCCUCCGCGCCCCGGAUUUCAGGUAUGGCGUUGAUGACCAAGCCUCCAUUGCUGUUCGUCGAUUCGCCAGCGCCAACUGGAUCAUAAUCGCCGAAUCCUUCCUCUAUUGAUUCUUGCUUGUCCUCUGCCCCUUCUACCUGGUUCAGUGACAGAAUCAUGCGCUCAUCCCGUUGGACGACAUCGCCCUGCAUAACGAGAUUGAAGGCCUUUGAAUGAAAAUUUAUCUUCCCUGCACAUUUACUUGUAAUUGCCAGCAGCGCAACUCACCGCCCCGUUGCCGUCGUCGUCUUCGUCCGGCAGAUCUGUGGUGCUCCAAGCGCUAGCUGCCGACUCAACAUAGGAAGGAGACGACGGCUGCAGUACCCGAAAACUCAUUCAAAAACAAUGCGGCCGAGAUUUUAUCGAUACAUCGGAGACGAGCAAGAAACGCACUGAUGGGUGGGAAAAUUUACCAGAUCAGGCAACGUCGGUAACGCAUCGUCAUCUUCACCUCUGGUCGUCCCACUAGUCCCUGAUUCAGCAAGAGAUCGCCCCAUCGAAUGCAGGGCAGUGAUUUUUUUCAAAUCAACCUUAGCUAGUUGGGCAAGGAGAAGGCGAAGGAAAGCAGCUCACCCAUCGCCCCUGUUUUUAUACCACAACAUGGUGACGCAACAGGGCGCCUAUACAUGCAGUUAUUUCACCGAUUCGAAUUUUGAAUCCUGAAGAGGGGCGGGGAGACCACCACGCGUUCGAUCGAUGCAUGUUAAUUGUCCAAGCGUCCGCACCUGACACGAUUUUUACAUUGCACGAAGAUACUGUAAAAACAAAGCCCUCAAGUUCUCAACGACGCUGCUACUACGGUUCUGCAUCACAUACAGUUAAAAUGUUCAACUGAAGUUGCUCCCCCCUAGAAACAUAAUCAUUAAACCAUGAUCAUCGAUAGAAAGCGCAAUAAAACUGGUACAACCAAUGUAAAUUUAGUUUUAGCUAUCAAACAGAUAUGUCGUCCCCUGAAAACUAUAUAUGAUUCAAACGAACAUACAUCUGGAAUAUUUUUUUACAUAUCAAAUAUUGCACAAAAAUCCAAAAAAUGGUAACAUGCCUCAUUGUCACGCACCCAUAUGAGAGCAAAACAGUUCUUCUAAAUAACAUAUUAGCUACCAAAUUAUUCAGAAACCGAUAAAUUCUUAUUUAUGCUCAAGGACACAAAUAUCCAUCUCUACAAACAUGGACAGUACAACUCACACUAAAUAACAUUUUCUUCGCACAACAUUACUUCUUUUUCCUGCUUGCAACAUGAAAGCAAGAUCAGGAAAAUAAGACAUACGACUCAUGAAAAACUAGAAUACAUAGUCAUUGAACGAAAAUUGCACUGCUCAGCUCUCGGCAAACCCAAGAGGCCUCUUGCAUGUGUUCCGCCGGUGUCCCUCUAUUCCACAGUUCUUGCAUUUGCCUGGUUUCCGUGGCUUCUUCGGAGCAUCCCCUCGAUCUGGACAUGUUGUCCUCUUGUGUCCCUCGCGGCGGCAAAUGCUGCAGAACCUGGUUCUCUUACUCAGCCCUUCGUAUGGUGCCUUCUCCCUGCUGCUUGUCGGCCUGCCAGCACCUCUACGCUUUUCUGGUGCUGAGAGGCAGCGAAGUUCAUUCAUGCCAACAGAAUUCACAGCACUAUUGCAUUGCUCAGCCUCCUGAUCUGCAUUAGCAAUCUGGCCGUUGCACGCUGCACUAGCAUUGCCAUUGUCAAGGAGACGAUCCUCGAAUGCCAAUCCAUCCCGCACGACCGCUAGAGGCGCUCCACCCCGCAGCAGGGAGUCCAGUCCAGAAUUCAUAUAGUCAUAGCAUGUAGCACUUGCGUCCCCCAUCCGAACAGCUUCCAUGGCUUUAAAAUAUAAUGUUGAAUGCCUGUAAGUGAAUGACAAAUUAUGCGAUUUGUCUUUCUGGUACUGAAUCAGGUGCUCCGGGAGUACAUCCCUAGCAUCUCUUGUCCACCUUUUCAGGAUAUGGUACUUAGGGAUUUCAUCCAGAUGCAGAAUCUCCAUCACCUACAAUUUUCCACAGGCCACAAAUGUUGCUGAGUCAUUGCCUUUUUUUUGGGUGCCAAAAAUAAAUUCUUCACAUCAGUAAAUUCAUGCAGCUUACCCUCAAAGCAUGGCAACAAAGCAUGCCUGUAUGCUCAAACUGUCCACAUUCGCACGUGAAUAUUGAUUUGUCUUCGUUAACUGUCACCUCGUACUCCACCCUGCUCCACUUCUCUCUUUUGGCUGCAUUAUUGUGAGUUGUUAUAUAUUUCCUCAUAUUUUCUUUUUCAGUAACAUUGUAUGCAGUUCCUUCUAUUAGUAGGCGGCCAAAUUCCUCAAACAUAUUCCUAGUAUAUAUUUUGCUUGCAUGCCGCUCUAUUGCAAGGUUAGUCCGCCGCACAGCGCCGCCCUGCCACAAUGAAAGCAAUCAAAUGAACGAGAUCAGUUCAUUGUUCAGAUAUCAUGAAAAACUUAAAACAAUCUACUAGGAUGGGAGCAACUUAUUUACAAUCAUUGUUCUCUUCUCCUCGUAGCUUUCAUCACGCUCACGGUCGAAUUGAAGCCUCAUGUAUUGACGGACGAAAACAUGCAUCGGGCUUGCAGGGGGCAUGUAAGACUUCAGCAUGUGGUUUGCGCUCUCACUCCUCUGUGUACUUGUCAUCUUUGCACAAAACACUCCUCUGAAGUAUGGUUUUGCCCAUUUAUGUCUUGUCUCAUAUAUUUGGGUCAUAUAGUUAUGCGCCAUCAAGUUGUACUUAUAAAGCAGCCCGGCCCAGGCUGUUUCAAAUUCUUCCUCGGUUAACAUGUGAUUAACAACUUUGUGAAAUUCAGCCUGGAAAUCACUCUUCUUCGUGUAAAACGGCCCAAGUGUUUCCUUCGCCUUCUUCAGAACAUGCCACUUACACCAACGGUGGAUAGUGUUUGGAUAAAUUUUCUUGAUUGCAACCUCCAUAGCCCUGCAUUGGUCUGCUCAUUGAAAAAACAUUCUGAAUCAGAACUAAAACAUUGAAUAAACGGGGGACACUGUGUCCGUAUCAUUUUUUCAUGUCAUAAAUCAUUUUUUCUUCCAUUCCAUCUUGGGUGGAGAUAGAAACAACUUAUCUACAAGCAAGUUACAUUUAGUGCUAAAUCAUUCACCUGUGAGUAUUGUUUUUGGAGCAGGUCCGCCCAUCAUGCAAAUGAAUUCUGUAAACACCCAUUCGAAGCUUUCUUCUUGCUCGUCACACAUCAAAACUCCUGCCAGGAUGAUACUCUGAUAGUGAUUGUUAACUACAACGAAAAGACCGAAUGGCAUGUCAUACAGAUUUGUCCUGUACGUGGUGUCGAAUGUCACCACGUCACCAAAGAACCUGUACUGCAUCCUGCUGCUCCCAUUUUCCCACAUGAGAUUCUUCACCUUGCUGUCCUUCUCAGCCAGAACCACAUACGAGAAGUCAGGGUCAUUCGACCGGAUGUCGGCGAACACCUGGAGUGUCUUCCGUACAUCAUCUUCAGCUUGCUCGCGACUUAUCUUCCCACAUAUGUUCCUCGGUGUCCUUUUAGUGAAAGGAACCUUCUCAAUUGAUCCAAAGAAGCUCCCAAUUAUGCUGUAAACCUUGCCUAGGUUCACGUUGUUCUGCCUCAACUGCCUUAUUAAGUCUUUGGUGUAGAUGUCUAUGUGUUUAUGAGAUGGCCAGUGCACUUUCUCUCCCAUUGUAAGCGACAUAGAAUGAUUGUGGCUUGCUUGAUGCUCCGUUAUGUACCAACUGUUGUCUGAUGAACAAAGCAGUCUGAUUAGAGCCGGGUUUUCCCUGCAGACAAUCCAAGAAAGCUAGUCAAAUAUCUUCCCAGCAGUUUCAUAUAUGCAACCAAGCUCGCUUUGUAAUCUACUUUUCACGGUAGCUGGAUCUGAUAGCCCACUUACCGAACAUCCACAUACUAUCUCCUGCAUUGUUUUCAUCCUCUCGGCAUUUAGCCUGCUUUUUCCAUAUCUUAUUCCAAAACCAAUUUCCCAGGAGUACAAGUUGUAGAAAUCAUACGCCUCACCCAGUGAAUCAAAACUAAGACCUAGCUCAGGUCGCACCACACUCUUGUCUGGUUCCUCUGCGUAUUUACGCAUUGAUAGCUCCAGGGCGCUCAUCCUGGAUGGACAAGGCACACGGUCUGGUGGCGCACUCCCCGGACGAAGCCUGAAUCAAGUUGCAAACCCAAAAUCUUAAAUUGUUGAAUUCUUUGUAACACUAUAAAACCACACAAUUGACAGUUCCCCCACUACAUUCGUCAACAUCCCAGCUUAUCAACUUUUUUCUAGAACCAUAAUUUUUUCUUAUUUCCAAAUUCAAAUCAUAGUUCAUCAACUAACAAGAUUACAAGACCCAACUUUUACAGACAAUACCCGUACCUUGAUGGUUUACUAGGCUUUUAUUUAUUCAUCUUUUUCAGAAGUUUUUGUUGCCACAAAUAAUUCCCCCCGCCCAACAACACCCACACUCAAGGUUUGCAUCAUAUAAAUAUCAAUCCGAAUAUCUAACUGACGUCUACUUGCAAGGGCAGUAACACUAGAUUCAGGAGAGUCACCUUUUAGUCCAGCCGGGGGCCUGAGGAUUUACUCUGCCAGUCGAUUGGGCAGACCUCGUCGGCGAUUCUUCACGUCUACGCUGCCCACUCACCUGACCCUCGGUGAGCAAACCAUCUCCCACCAUCUCAGCUGCCGCAGAAUCAACAUCCGCGUGGUCAUCAUCCUGAUUAGCAGUAACCUUAUCCAGUAGGUACAUCAGCGGGACUGGAUCUGGGUGUUCAAGAUUGUCAGCAAACUCCUCCCGCACCGGGAACCUGCAUACACAACGGCGAUUCAGUCUGACAUAAAUUUCGUAUCCAUCACACGAUAAUAGGCUGCUUGGAGAAAAACAUAACAGAUCUGCGCGGAAACGAACCUGUCGACCGCAUCUAGUAGGAAUUCCAUUCCCUCGCUCUCCCCCUGCAUCCAACUCGACGGUCAACCACCGUUGACGGCGGCGGCCCCGCCGACCCGCUACAGCAGCCUCGGCGAACUCUGUCCUUUGUUCUUCUUCCACGGCGGCGAGGGAUGUCUAGAACGGACGACGGGAAGGGAAUCAUAUAUCUAACAUUUUUUUAAUAACAUGCGCACGGGGGGUGCCCCGCCGGCCGACAAGCGGCUCAGACAGCGUACUCUAUCAUGGACUCCUUAUCUGAUCCAGGCCCAGACAAAAAGUCUAACGUCCUGCUCCACGGCCUAUUAUAGAAUGAACGUUCCUAGCCCACGGCCCAUUCAGAGAAGCCGCGACGUCCGUCCCACCCCACUGGGCCAGCCCCACUCGCGGUGCACUGUUUGCUACCGUAUUGCCAGGUUAUCUACAUUUACAAACUUUCGCACAGGACAGGCCAGUUGGCUUCCUCCAGAUCCCCAGAUUGCAGCGAACGACCCAGAUUAUGCGUGUAGCUGAGCUCGAGCUCCAAAUCGACGCACUCAGGAAUAAGGCUCAUUUAAGUUACCGCAGUUUGUUAUGUUGUCUAUUAUCCAUGUCGCGCCGGCAGAUUGACGAACUAUGCUUUGUUUCUUUUUAUUUUUUACUUGGUGGUAUGCACAGUGAACAACUAUGUAAUAUCGAGUCUGAAGACUUCUUGUGCUUUUUUUGUGUGGCACUUGAUUAUUAUAAGUGACCAGUAAUCAUGUUUAUCUCUUUUAUUUAUUUUUUCUAAGUUCUUCUGUUGUGGCCAUAGUUUGUGUUUCAUUUUGAAUUUUUGGACCGAACAUUUUCAAUGUUUUGGGAGUACCCUUUCAAUUCUCUAUUUUGAGUCGACGGUCAUUUAUCAGUGUUAUUCAUUCUAUUGUAUUAGUUUUAUCCUGUCGAACAAGCAGACUUUCAAGUAAGUUCAUGCUAUCAGUGUUACUCACUGUCACACUUCAGUUCUGUGGAGAAGAAGUCCAGAUAGUGCAGUCUGGGGAUUGAUCAUGUUUUUAUUCGUCUAUGUAUUUUUUUGUUCGGGCUGAUACACAACUUAGAAGGUCCAAGAGGGGAAGAGCGAGGAGGGGGUAGAAUAUGACCUGAGAAGAGACGAAAACAAAUGUUCUUUUCUAGCCGAGGAUGGACUGAGUACCACACGUGUCAUUAGGGGAUUGGAAGAAAAAAAGGGCCUGAACCAAAUUUAAAAUCAGACGUUUGAUGGAUAGUCACUCCCACAAACAAAUUAUGUGUUUUUUUGGUCUAUACUAUAUGUACGGUAAUGUAGACUAGCAAUUAUGUGUUCACUUUGAGAUCAGAGAAUAACUUUUGGCCGGUGCAUGUUCAUCAAGCUUACGCAUUCGCUUUCUUUCUUCCUCUCGAAGAAACAAAAGGUGAUCUUUUUUAGAAAAGGAGGAAGACCCCCAGCCUCUGCAUCUGGACGAUGCAUGCAGCCAUAUUAUUAAUUGUUCACACAAGACCUUACAAAGUAAUACAACCGUAAGACUAAAGCCACCGUCUAGGCAACAUCUGUGGCCACUCUUAUCCAAUUGAUGAAGGGAUGCCGAUAGUCCGGGCCUAAUACCAAACAGACCUCACAGCCAAACCUACCAUCUAAGACCUGAGGUCCCAUCCAGGACGCCUGUCGGGUAUGGGGCACCCACCGGUCUGGCGCACUCCUCAACUAGGAUGCCUGUCGGGUAUGAGGCUGCUGCAGCCACCUGCCACCAAUCCAUCUUCAGAACUAUACUGUUGCAUCUACCUUACCCGGUCAGUUAUCAGAACUUCAGUUUUAAGCUUGUCUCCAUUGUUUAGUAUAAGUGUCCAGACCUCCUUCAUUGUUUUGUUUUUUUAGUAUCAUUUCAGUUCAUUUUAUAUUUCUUUCUCUUAUUUAUUCAUUUUAUCAUUCAGUGAUCAUAGUUUCUUUCAUUGGUCAUUGUUAGGUAGCUUAGUUAUCAUAAGUAUUUCAGUUCCUUCAGUUAUCAUAUCAGUGUUUCUCUUAUUCUUGUUUUUCUAGUCUUCUCAUUCUUCAUUCAUAUCAAAUUAUUAUUUUCCAGUCACUUCUCAGUCUUGUGUUUCAGUUAUCAGUGUCUCAUUUUUUGUGAUUCAGAUUUUCUUUUUCGUAUCAUUUCAGUUCAUUUUAUAUUUGUUUCUCUUAUUUAUUCAUUUUAUCAUUCAGUGAUCAUAGUUUCUUUCAUUGGUCAUUGUUAGGUAGGCUAGUUAUCAUAAGUAUUUCAGUUCCUUCAGUUAUCAUAUCAGUGUUUCUCUUAUUCUUGUUUUUCUAGUCUUCUCAUUCUUCAUUCAUAUCAAAUUAUUAUUUUCCAGUCACUUCUCAGUCUUGUGUUUCAGUUAUCAGUGUCUCAUUUUUUGUGAUUCAGAUUUUCUUUGUGUUAGUUGUCGUCAGUCUUGAGACAUUGUAUUGGUAGAAUUAGUCCUUAAUUUUUUGUUUUCCCCUCUUACUCAUUCCUUUUAGUUAUCUCUGUCUUUCAUCCCUUAGUCUUCAGUUAUCAUUCCCGCUGUAGAUUUAAUUAUUCUUCAGUUCCAUCCAUGUUCAUUAUCUUGAUAUUGAUCAUUCUUUUGCUGUUAGAUAACUAAUAUUUAGUGCAACCCCUUCACCAAGUAAAAACUGGCAUGAUCAGAUUUGUCUAUGACCUUAGUUUGUCCUCAGUCAUCUUCAUUGCAACUUUUGUAUUUGUUAAACAUUUGAUUUCGCAUCAGUUUUGUCUAUGACCUUAGUUUUGUCAUCUUCAUCAUUCUAUCUACACAACUUGCUCAUUUUUAUUUCUUCAUUCUUUUUGGUUAGUUUCGAAAGUGAUAUUAGCUACCAAGUUGUCAUCAUGUGGAUGCCCUUUUAAGGUAGCCUCCAGCUUGCGGACCACCCCGACGGUAGGCAUGGCAGGAAUAUGCCUUGGGGGAUGGAUUGUAAGCACUGCCGCGUACAAGACAGUAGCAGAUGGUCGUAUCGCUUUUCAACAAGGAUUUCUGGGAGGAAUUCCUGGAGGAGAACUACCUAGCAUUGACAGAGCGUUGCUAAUCACCAUCAGGAACAGUGCACUAGACGAACUGAACAUGAUGGUUGUCUUCAACGAGAUCUAAUUAUGAGAUUGCCAGGAAUAAGGCUCAUUUAAGUUACCGCAGUUUGUUAUGUUGUCUAUUAUCCAUGUCGCGCCAGCAGAUUGACGAACUAUGCUUUGUUUCUUUUUAUUUUUUACUUGGUGGUAUGCACAGUGAACAACUAUGUAAUAUCGAGUCUGAAAACUUCUUGUGCUUUUUUUGUGUGGCACUUGAUUAUUAUAAGUGACCAGUAAUCAUGUUUCUCCCUUUUAUUUAUUUUUUCUAAGUUCUUCUGUUGUGGCCAUAGUUUGUCUUUCAUUUUGAAUUUUUGGACCGAACAUUUUCAAUGGUUUGGGAGUACCCUUUCAAUUCUCUAUUUUGAGUCGACGAUCAUUUAUCAGUGUUAUUCAUUCUAUUGUAUUAGUUUUAUCCUGUCAUACUUCAGUUCUGUGGAGAAGAAGUCCAGAUAGUACAGUCUGGGGAUUGAUCAUGUUUUUAUUCGUCUAUGUAUUUUUUUGUUUGGGCUGAUACACAACUUAGAAGGUCCAAGAGGGGAAGAGCGAGGAGGGGGUACAAUAUGACCUGAGGAAGAGACGAAAACAAAUGUUCUUUUCUAGCCGAGGAUGGACUGAGUACCACACGUGUCAUUAGCGGAUUGGAAGAAAAAAGGGCCUGAACCAAAUUUAAAAUCAGACGUCUGAUGAAUAGUCACUCCCACAAACAAAUUAUGUGUUUUUUUGGUCUAUACUAUAUGUACGGUAAUGUAGACUAGCAAUUAUGUGUUCACUUUGAGAUCAGAGAAUAACUUUUGGCCGGUGCAUAUUCAUCAAGCUUACGCGUUCGCUUUCUUUCUUCCUCUCGAAGAAACAAAAGGUGAUCUUUUUUUAGAAAAGGAGGAAAACCCCCGGCCUCUGCAUCUGGACGAUGCAUGCAGCAAUUUUAUUAAUUGUUCACACAAGACCUUACAAAGUAAUACAACCGUAAGACUAAAGCCACCGUCUAGGCAACAUCUGUCGCUACUCCUAUCCAAUUGAUGAAGGGAUGCCGAUAGUCCGGGCCUAAUACCAAAUAGACCUCAUAACCAAACCUACCAUCUAAGACCUGAGGUCCCAUCCAGGACGCCUUUUGGGUAUGGGGCACCCACCGGUCCGGCGCACUCCUCAACCAGGACGCCUGUCGGGUAUGAGGCUGCUGCAGCCACCUGCCACCAAUCCAUCUUCAAAACUAUACUGUUGCAUCUACCUUACCCGGUGUAGCUGUCGUCGACGCCACCACGACGCCAGACUGUCACGACCGGUUUUUCAAUAAAAUAUUUAUUGAGAGACCAAUCCCUUUUACGGACCAGUAAGGAAGAAUUCCUUCUCACUGAUAGACAAUAUCUUGGUCACAGAAGAAAAAUACCAGGAGUACUGAAUAUAAUACAAGGUUGGGCGGAGACUGCUCAACAAUUUAUUACAAACACGCCGAUAAAACAUAACGGCGGAUAGGGUGGCAUAACUACUAACUCACGAUAACAACGGUGGUGGAAAUAUCACAGCGGAGAGGGUGAUAUGACUCCUAAAAACUACAGCUCUUCGAGGGUCGGGGUGAGGCUCGAGGAGACUUAUUGCGGGUGGCGGAAGCGUAUAUAAUACAAGUGACCAAUAUCCAAGAUCGCACAGGACUGACUGGGACUCCUCUAGGCGUCGGACGCACUAUCAAACUCUUCAUCCAAGAGAUCGCCUUCGUCAACAUCUGGCCAAAUCAACAAGCCAGGUGAGUACUAUGAAAGUACUCGCAAGACAGUUUGGACAUAAGAUAUAACAAAUGUAAACAUGAAGCAUAUGAGCAGAAUAACAAGUGCGUUCAGACAUAGAGAUCAACAAUGCAUGGGGGUAAUCACAGAGAAGUCGGGCGGUAGUCCUCCCGAAAUCCCAAAAUAAAUACUGGGUGCCAAACGAGGGUCUGAAUGACUCCUCGAGAGGAAACUGCAAGAAUAAAAGUACCGGUGCCAAACGAGGGUCUGAAUGACUCCUCGAGAGGAAACUGCAAGAAUAAUAAUACCGGUGCCAAACGAGGGUCUGAAUGACUCCUCGAGAGGAAACUGCAAGAAUAAUAAUAAUACCGGUGCCAAACGAGGGUCUGAAUGACUCCUCGAGAGGAAACUGCAAGAAUAAUAAUGCCGCGGUCGGGCGUCAGGGCGACACCACAUAAAGGGCUUAUAACAGAAAUAAAAGGCAAACAUGCCACAGUCGGACGUCUGAGCGACAUCACAUACAGGGCUUACAUUGUAGCUCAAUAAUUCAGUAGCUCGAGAGCAUAAAUUAUUACAAGUACGAGACAAACAUAUGAUUAGUCCAUCCGCAGGAAUAACAAUUAAACUGGGUUUACCACUUGAGCUUGUUCACCGGGGAUAAAAUUCCAGGAGGAUAGAUAUGUAUAUACUGAUCACGAUACUUGACCAUGGAUACGACGACUCGAAAGGAUUUGACUCUGCAGAGUUUGUACUUAACCACAGCCAACGGAUUUCAGUAGUCACGGGGACUAGUUCCGUUUACGGUGUUUUGGAAGAAACACGUCUAACCAGUACACACCCAUUCAACAUUCCGAAGCCAGGGAUCACCCUCGGCAACGUUCAAGAAAAACCUUGAGACGGGGAGGCUACAACCUCGCGUAGCAUGGGAUCAAAUUUCUAUACGCGCGCUCUAAGGGGGUGCCCCCCCUCUCGGUCCCAACCGGAAACACCCAUGCCCCCUGACCGGAUGACUGGCUUUAAUCCAGGGCCAUGGUACCAUCAUCCCGGCCCCUCUGUUUGGUGUGUACACGGAAAGAGGUUACCAACUUACUAAACCGCAUCCUGGCAAAGAAACAUGUGGUAGCACGGAAGGGAAAAGAACGAUAACGUGACUUCUUCCACGUUAACGUCGGAAUUUGUCGGAUGACGCAAGGCUGGUAUGCUACAACAGUACCACCUUGCUGCCCUUCAUGUCACCACAUGAUUAGGCCAUCUCUCAUCAGAGAUCAUCGCAACUAUGGAACAUGCGAGUAGUUGCCUCACAAGCAACGAGGUACUCACCGACACUCAUAUGCCACGCACAAACUCUCACGCAAACAUGCAAAGCAUCUAUCAUAUCAAAGGUUCAAACAUGCUUGCCUGGUUUGGAGAAGUCGGAGUCUAGCUCGGCGAAGUUCGCGGCUCCGUCACCUCUUCCGGAACCUACGGCAUAACGAAAAACGGGCACUAACGUGAAAACUAACGCGUGCAUAAAAAAUUCUCCAAAAAAUUUCCAAAUAAAUCCCAUAAAAAACUAGACAAAAUUUUAAGACUGUCAGAAAAAGAAUCACUCAAAAAUCACUUUUUAUUAAAAAGUUAUAAAGGUUUCUGUCCAGGGACUCAUCUAGAAUGAAACAGAAAAGUUUCAGGGGUUUAACUGAGAAAACAGAAAACGGUUCGAAUAGAAAAGCGCAAGCCCAAAGAGAAAGCGUAUUUGCCCGAAGGCGCCAACAGAAAACGUUUCGUGUGGGAAAAGAAUAGAGGCUGACAGGGGGGUCCACAUGUCAGGUUUAAAAAGAGCUCGCCGGCGCCUGAAGACUGCGGUGGUCGCCGGCGUCGAACCACGGCGAGACAGGGAGAUCGGAGUGUACCAAGAGCUUCAGCGUGUCCUUCCGCAUCGGUGGGUGGUGGACGCGAGCGUCGGAGAGCACCACGUCGACGGCGACACUUUCUCCGGCGGACGGCGGCUCGGGUGAUGGUGGAGAACUCCGAUGGGUGCUGCAAACUUCGAAUUUAAGCGCGGGUCAGAAAGAGGGAUGCACUAGAGGGCUACUGGCAAGAGUAGGGAGGCAGAGGUGCACGCACGGGAGCGAAUCGAGCUGGAUCCCGUGGCGGGUCGCGGCGGCCGGAGUCGGGGAAGAAAGCUCCCUCGGGGCUCUACCAGUGGCUUGGCGAGGUCUAGGUGGAGUGCAGAGGUGGUGUGGGUUCGAGUUGAAGCUCGGGGCCUCUAUUUAUAGGCGGAUCGAGGGGGUGGCCGUGAACGGAGAAUCUCCGGCGAGCAAUUACGGCGAUGUAGUGGAUUGGUAAGAGGUUUAGAUGGCCAAGCAACAUCAGUGGGAGUUACUGGUGUCGUUCCCCCGCAAAUCCCGAUCGGUCUUGGCGUAACGGCGCCGGUCCACGGUGGGGUGGCCGCACGGGCACGACGGCGGCAGAGAGCGCGCUCCGCGCUCCGCGGUUCACGACGAGGGUGGCAGCGCGCAUGGGGGAGUGGAAGACCACGCGGCGACCUUCGGUGGCUUGGGCGGCGCUGGACGGCGCCGUCUGCGCUGCGCCUCCCUUCUGACGGCCGCAAAGCCGCCGCUGGCGUCUGUCACGGGGCGGCGCACCUCCUGCUGCUCGUCGCCGACGUCCGCAAGCUGCCAGGCGUUCGUGCGGUGCAGGAACAAGGGGGAGGGGACGAGGAACAAGGCGACAUCGGGGCACUGUCGAGAUCGACAACAAGUUCUGAAGAAAACGACAGUAGAUCACUGAACUGUUCUCUGAAUUUCUGAACUUGACAUUGGCAAAGCACUGCAGGUGUUCGACAGAAUGAUUUGGUGUGAAGAAAAAAUUUCCUGGGGCUGGGACUUGGUGAGGUGACCUCUCAAUGUACCCAGAGGCUGCCUGAUUUUAUUCAGAAUUUUUGGAGAAGGAUUUGAAUGAAUUUCACCAAAUUUGACAAAUCUGGUCCAAACUUGCAGCAAGUGUAGUUUAAAAAAAUUUGAACUGAAGACCAGUGGAUCUUCAUGGAUCUUGGUUGAGGGUUCAAAGGACUAGGUAGGGAAAAAGGUUUGGGGGCAAAAAUCAAAACAGAAAGGGUAGCUCCUUUGUAAAUCUCCAAGAGCUAGAAUAGAAGAUAGAAAUUGUUUUGAUAAGGUUUUAAAGGAAAAUAAUCAUAUGGGGUGGUUCAACUUGCUGUAUUUGAUGCAAAUCAAGAUCCAAAGAUGAGGGAAGGUUUAGGAGAGUGGAUUUGUACUAAGGUCAUGGUAAGAGGGAUUUGUUGAAAGUGGUAAAGGGUUUUUUCCAAAAGCCACAGUGCAUUUUCAAAGAGAUUUUCAAAAGGCAUUUUUCCCAAGUGAAAAGCAUUUUGGUUUGAGUCCAAAUAAAAGCAAGAACCUCCAAGACUAAAAACAAGUCUUGGGUGAAUCCAAAUAAAACUCUUGCCAUAAAGAUAUUUUGAAAGGGAGGGUUCUUUUGAAGAAAAAUUAAAUCACCUCCCUCAAGUCAAAUAAAUUUUUUUGAAAAAUCCAAAUAAAAUUUUGGGUGUCACAACACCUACCCCCUUAGGAAAAAUCUCGUCCUCGAGAUUUCAGCUGAUCCUCGAAUAGAUAUGGAUAUUCUGUCUGGAGAAAAUCUUCCCUUUCCCAUGUAGCUUCAUCCUCAGUGUGGUUGCUCCACUGAACUUUGAAAAAUUUAGUUGUUUUCUGACGGGUCCUCCUUUCAGACUCUUCCAGUAUCUUUACUGGCCGCUCUCUGUAGGUGAGAUCUGGUUGCACGUCAAUGCUCUCGUGAGAUACAUGCUUCUCCGGGUUACUCACACAUUUUCUCAAUUGGGAGACGUGGAAUACGUCAUGGACAUCUGACAGCUCCUUGGGUAAGUCUAGUUUGUAGGCUACCAUGCCUCUUCGUGCAACUACACAGAAUGGUCCAAUAAAUCUCGGGGCUAGCUUCCCUUUAAUUUUGAACCGUUGCAGGCCCCUCAUAGGAGACACUCGUAGGUAUACGGAAUCACCGGGUUCAAACCUGACCUCACGAUGCUUUUGAUCGUAGUAGCUCUUUUGUCGGCUCUGCGCUGUCUUGAGUCUGUCCCUCAUCUGCUUAACUUUCUCCUCGGCCUCUUUAAGCAUGUCUGGGCCGAAGAUGCGACUGUCACCUGUUUCUGACCAAUUUAGUGGGGUACGACACCUCCGUCCGUACAAUGCUUCAAAGGGUGCCAUUUGCAAGCUGGCUUGGUAACUGUUGUUGUAAGCAAAUUCGGCAUACGGCAAACUCUCUUCCCAACUGGAUCCAUAGGUGAGCACACAGGCUCUCAGCAUAUCCUCUAGGAUUUGGUUCACACGUUCCGUUUGUCCAUUAGUCUGAGGGUGGUACGCUGUACUGAAAGCUAGCUGCGUGCCCAGAGCUUUUUGCAGGUGAUCCCAAAAUUUGGAGACAAAUUGUGUGCCUCGGUCGGAUAUUAUAGUCUUUGGGACCCCAUUCAAACAAACUAUACGGGAGAGAUAAAGUUUGGCCAGUCUUUGAGUGGAGUAGGUAGUCUUCACGGGAAUGAAAUGAGCAACCUUGGUUAGUCGGUCUGCGAUGACCCAUAUGGCGUCAUUUCCGCGUUGUGAUCGAGGUAAUCCGACAAUGAAGUCCAUUCCUAUUUCAUCCCAUUUCCACUCCGGUAUCUUGUUUGGCUGGAGUAGCCCUGCUGGCUUUUGAUGCUCGGCCUUGAUGCGCUGACAUGAAUCGCAACAUGCAAUAAAUGCGGCUAUAUCCCUUUUCAUACCGUGCCACCAAAAUCUUUCCUGAAUGUCUUUGUACAUUUUGGUUCCUCCAGGAUGGAUCGAGUAUGGUGCGGUGUGGCUUUCGGUUAGGAUUUGUUGCUUGAGUUCCUCAAUGUUAGGUACGCAAAGUCUGUCUCCGUACCAUAAUAUUCCUUCACUGUCCGUGACGAACUCUGAAGCCUUACCAAGGUUCAUUUUCUUCUUUAUACCUUCGAUGCUGGGAUGCCCCUGUUGAGCCUUCUUAAUUUGUUCCACUAGGGUGGGUUGUAUCUCCAGAUUUGAUAUGGUGCCUUCAGAGACUAACACCAUGUUGAGCCUAGCGAACUCUUGCUAAAACUCAGGCCUCAAGUUUUUCGGACCGUCGUUGUCCGGGCUGGGGUUUCGACUAAGGGCAUCAGCCACUACAUUUGCUUUCCCUGGAUGGUAGUGAAUGCCGACAUCAUAGUCCUUGACCAAUUCCAACCAGCGUCGUUGGCGUAAAUUUAGCUCUGGCUGUGUGAAAAUAUAUUUGAGGCUCUUAUGGUCCGUAUAUAUUUCACAGCGAUUUCCCAACAGAAAAUGCCUCCACUCCUUGAGUGCAUGUAUGACUGCUGCUAGCUCCAAGUCAUGGGUUGGGUAAUUUUCCUCAUGUUUUCGCAGCUGCCUGGAGGCAUAUGCGACAACCUUGCCAUCCUGCAUUAGUACACAUCCGAGGCCUUUUCGGGACGCGUCACAAUAUACUUCAAAACUCUUGUGUAUGUCUGGCACGGUUAAGACCGGUGCGGUUGUUAAUUUCUUCUUGAGUUCUUGGAAGCUUUUCUCGCAUGCUUCCGUCCAUACAAAUUUCUUGUCUUUCUUGAGCAACUGUGUUAUUGGUUUUGCCACAGUGGAGAAUCCUUCAAUAAAUCUUCUGUAAUAUCCGGCCAUUCCCAGGAAACUCCGCACAUCUGUAACGUUGGCGGGUGGCUUCCAGUCAAGUAUGGCUUUGACUUUUUCUGGGUCUACGGCCACGCCUUCUUGGUUCAACAUAUGGCCUGGGAAACCAACUUGCCUUAGCCAAAAUUCACACUUGCUAAAUUUGGCGUACAACUGAUGUUUCCUUAAUUCUCCCAAAACAAUUUUGAGAUGCUUAGCAUGCUCUUCUGGUGUCCUUGAGUAAACCAGAAUAUUUUCAAUGAAUACCACAACAAAUUUGUCCAUGAAUUUCAUGAACACUUUGUUCAUGAGGUGGACGAAAUAUGCGGGGGCGUUCGUUAGUCCAAAAGGCAUCACUGUGAAUUCAUAUAACCCAUAUCUGGACGUGAAAGCUGUCUUGGGGAUAUCUUCUGUCCGUACUUUCAAUUGGUGAUAUCCCGAUCUCAAAUCAAUUUUUGAGAACACCUUGGCUUGUGCGAGCUGGUCAAACAAAUCAUUUAUCCGUGGCAUCGGAUAUUUGUUUUUGAUGGUGACCAUAUUGAGAGCUCGAUAGUCUAUACACAAUCUCAGUGUCCCAUCCUUUUUCUUGGCGAAUAAUACUGGCGAACCCCAUGGUGAGGAGCUGGCUCGAAUAAAUCCUUUGUCCAAUAAUUCCUUUAUCUGCUUCUUCAACUCCACCAAUUCUGAGGGUGCCAUCCUAUAAGGUUUCUUAUAGAUGGGAGCGGUGCCAGGUGCUAGUUCGAUGCUGAACUCUAUCUCUCGAUCUGGUGGCAUGCCUGCUGGUAGUUCUUCAGGGAAUACAUCAGGAAACUCGCAUACCACUGGAACUUUUCUCAGUUCUGAAAUGUCCACUUUGUUCAGUUUUGGUUGUCGUGACCGUGGUCUUUCUUGAGUUGUAACCUUUAUUGUCUUGCCAUGAUGGUGGGUGAGAAUCACGGUCCGAUUGAAACAGUCAAUGAAUCCUUUGUUGGUGGUCAACCAGUCCAUCCCUAGGAUGACAUCCAGUCCUUUAUUUUCCAAUACGAUGAGAUUUGCUUGGAACUGUAGUCCUUCGAACUCAAUGACCACUCCUUGGCAGUAACUCUGCGCGAUUUGCUUAUUUCCGGGGGACUUGAUGAUCAUAGAUUUUUCCAAGGGAAGUAUCGGAAAACCAUGUUGCAAAACAAAACUCUUCGAAAUGAACGAAUGGGAAGCUCCAGAAUCAAACAAAACCGUGGCAGGUACUGUGUUGACAGGGAACGUACCGAGCACGAUGUCUGGGGCAUUUUGCGCUUCUUCCCUGGUCACGUGGUUCAGGUGACCCUUCCUGUGGUUGUUGUUGGGAUUGAAAUUGUUGCGCUUGGGAGCUGGAUUGUUUCCACCAUUGUUCGGCUUGGGGGCCGAGUUCCUCGGUUUUGGGCACUGUUUAGCAUAGUGCCCUUCUUCACCACAAGCAUAGCACGUGACCCCUGGACGGUACGUGAACUCUUUGUCCCUGGCAUGAAACUGUCUGACGGGUCUUGGAUCAGUAGUCGUGGAUCUCCUUGCUUCUGUCCUUGGAACCUCAGUCUUGCUUCGGUUGUUGCGAGCAAGAGUCGUUUUGUCCCUCUUUCGCUUACGGAUAUCUUCCAGACUACGGCGCUCAUUCUCCAAGGUAAUGGCCUUGUCAACCAGGGUUUUAAAAUCCGGGAAGGUGUGUACAAUCAGUUGGCAUCUUAGUGCUGGUGCCAGGCCGUCCAGGAAUUUUUCCAUCUUCUUGUUCUCUGUCAUGUGCUCGUCGUAGGCAUAACGAGAUAGCUGGGUACUGACCGUUGUAUUCUGUCACUGACAUGCCUCUUUGCUUCAGGUCAUCAAAUUCCCUCUUCUUGAUUUUUCUGAUGCUCCUGGGGAUGUGUGCCCCACGGAAGCCCUCCUUGAACUCUUCCCAGGUGAUGUUGUGUUCACUGGGAUGCAUGUGUAGGAAGUUUUCCCACCAUGUUGCAGCUGCUCCAGUAAGGUAGUGUGGUGCAUAGAGCACCUUCUCAUUAUCUGAGCACUGAGCAAUAAUCAGCUUUCUCUCGAUAUCACGAAGCCAAUCAUCGGCUUCUAGCGGUCUAUCGGUGUGAGCAAACGUUGAAGGGCGAGUCUUCUGUAAUUCAGAUAACUUGGAAUGAGGCUGAUAGGGUUCACGGUGGUUUCCCAUAUUGAUGACGUGAUUCAUCAUCUCUUGGUGCUGUUGCUGGCUUUGUUCGAAGAGACGGCAUACUUGAGACAAGGCUGCUUCGCUGUCCUGUUGACUGGACUGACCCUGAGUGAAAUUGUUGCUAGUCUGCGUCCCAUAAACUUCUUCUGGCUGAUUGGGCAUGGAGCGAGUCCACGGGCGAGACAUUUUUCCAGUCUGGGGUAUUAUUAUGCAAAACCCAUGAGAAGAAUUGAGUGGCACAAGGAAAAUCUUGCAAAGGCAACAAUUUAAAAGACCUCAAGAUUUUCAAGAAAACAUAAACGAUUUUGCACGGAGAAAAAGACUGCUUAACACAAAACUUACACGUGAAAAGCAAACACAAGAUACAGCACUCAGGAUGUGUGUACACAAUCCUGACAUGUUAUUUAGACUAGCGCAGCUCUCCGGAAAGCAGCGAACACACUAAUACAAACUAGCGUACAGAUAAAACACAUCAUACAAGCAGACAUAACGCGCGGCUACUCGGCGCUCUCAGUCGGAGAUGGUGACGAUGUCCUUUCCCUUGCCGAGGGCAAGACUCAGCGGUCCAGGAGAAUCAACGUCCACCUCCUCUCUAGCUGGCUCCUGGCGCGUAACACUGCGCUGCGGUGAUGGCGCAGGGGCGACAAGUGGCAGAGCGGGUGCGGCAGGCGGUGCAGCCCUGACUGGAGUAGGAGCGAUGACUCGGUCGAACUCCUCAGUGGUGGGCAGACGGCGAGCAGUAGCCAAAAUGGCCGGUGCAUAAGAGGCUGAAGACGAGACGAAAGUCAGAGGCGGUGCCGUGUGGAGAAGCUCCUUCCUGCUGGCAGGACCGCCCCGGACUAAGUCCAUGCGGGCAGCCACAAGAUCGUCCACGAGGUUGUCGAAAGACUCCUCCAGAGCCUUGAGGUACUCAACAACCAUCUCGAUGGCUUCAUCUCGCUCUCCCCGAUGGCAGGCGAAUGCGUAGUGACAAGUGUAGGGCACAUGGCAUGGGAGAUAGCGGUAGCGACGAGUCUUCAUCAUAGGAAGGAUGUCCCGAAGGCGAGCUAUCGCCUCGCGGGCAGCCAUCUGCAUGGCAUGCCUCUCCGUAGGCAUGGCCCUUCCCACAAAAUGGAAGUGGCGAGACGCAGAACGUCCUCCCUUGAAUUGCACCACGGCCUGGUGCAUAGACACGUCGUCGCUGAGCUUGUGCUGAUAAAGCGUGAACUCCGGACGAGUCGCUGGCCCGAUUGCGAGCUUGGUGAUGGAGACGAGGAGCUUGACAAAACCCUCGGGCACGUUCGUGAACACUCGAUUCUCGCAGCUGCUGCCAGCCAUCUACAAAAGUAGGCAAAAGUUCUGAGUAGUCAUGUCAUAAAUUUAUGAUGACCAACAGAAAAUAGCUACAAUUGCGAAAUGCUGAAAAAGCACAAAGACGCUAAUAACUGAUUAGCGAUCGCACCUAGUGGCUUCCUACAGUCAGCCUGGCUCUGAUACCAAGCUUGUCACGACCGGUUUUUCAAUAAAAUAUUUAUUGAGAGACCAAUCCCUUUUACGGACCAGUAAGGAAGAAUUCCUUCUCACUGAUAGACAAUAUCUUGGUCACAGAAGAAAAAUACCAGGAGUACUGAAUAUAAUACAAGGUUGGGCGGAGACUGCUCAACAAUUUAUUACAAACACGCCGAUAAAACAUAACGGCGGAUAGGGUGGCAUAACUACUAACUCACGAUAACAACGGUGGUGGAAAUAUCACAGCGGAGAGGGUGAUAUGACUCCUGAAAACUACAGCUCUUCGAGGGUCGGGGUGAGGCUCGAGGAGACUUAUUGCGGGUGGCGGAAGCGUAUAUAAUACAAGUGACCAAUAUCCAAGAUCGCACAGGACUGACUGGGACUCCUCUAGGCGUCGGACGCACUAUCAAACUCUUCAUCCAAGAGAUCGCCUUCGUCAACAUCUGGCCAAAUCAACAAGCCAGGUGAGUACUAUGAAAGUACUCGCAAGACAGUUUGGACAUAAGAUAUAACAAAUGUAAACAUGUAGCAUAUGAGCAGAAUAACAAGUUCGUUCAGACAUAGAGAUCAACAAUGCAUGGGGGUAAUCACAGAGAAGUCGGGCGGUAGUCCUCCCGAAAUCCCAAAAUAAAUACUGGGUGCCAAACGAGGGUCUGAAUGACUCCUCGAGAGGAAACUGCAAGAAUAAAAGUACCGGUGGCAAACGAGGGUCUGAAUGACUCCUUGAGAGGAAACUGCAAGAAUAAUAAUACCGGUGCCAAACGAGGGUCUGAAUGACUCCUCGAGAGGAAACUGCAAGAAUAAUAAUAAUACCGGUGCCAAACGAGGGUCUGAAUGACUCCUCGAGAGGAAACUGCAAGAAUAAUAAUGCCGCGGUCGGGCGUCAGGGCGACACCACAUAAAGGGCUUAUAACAGAAAUAAAAGACAAACAUGCCACAGUCGGACGUCUGAGCGACAUCACAUACAGGGCUUACAUUGUAGCUCAAUAAUUCAGUAGCUCAAGAGCAUAAAUUAUUACAAGUACGAGACAAAUAUAUGAUUAGUCCAUCCGCAGGAAUAACAAUUAAACUGGGUUUACCACUUGAGCUUGUUCACCGGGGAUAAAAUUCCAGGAGGAUAGAUAUGUAUAUACUGAUCACGAUACUUGACCAUGGAUACGACGACUCGAAAGGAUUUGACUCUGCAGAGAUUGUACUUAACCACAGCCAACGGAUUUCAGUAGUCACGGGGACUAGUUCCGUUUACGGUGUUUUGGAAGAAACACGUCUAACCAGUACACACCCAUUCAACAUUCCGAAGCCAGGGAUCACCCUCGGCAACGUUCAAGAAAAACCUUGAGACGGGGAGGCUACAACCUCGCGUAGCAUGGGAUCAAAUUUCUAUACGCGCGCUCUAAGGGGGUGCCCCCCCUCUCGGUCCCAACCGGAAACACCCAUGUCCCCUGACCGGAUGACUGGCUUUAAUCCAGGGCCAUGGUACCAUCAUCCCGGCCCCUCUGUUUGGUGUGUACACGGAAAGAGGUUACCAACUUACUAAACCGCAUCCUGGCAAAGAAACAUGUGGUAGCACGGAAGGGAAAAGAACGAUAACGUGACUUCGUCCACGUUAACGUCGGAAUUUGUCGGAUGACGCAAGGCUGGUAUGCUACAACAGUACCACCUUGCUGCCCUUCAUGUCACCACAUGAUUAGGCCAUCUCUCAUCAGAGAUCAUCGCAACUAUGGAACAUGCGAGUAGUUGCCUCACAAGCAACGAGGUACUCACCGACACUCAUAUGCCACGCACAAACUCUCACGCAAACAUGCAAAGCAUCUAUCAUAUCAAAGGUUCAAACAUGCUUGCCUGGUUCGGAGAAGUCGGAGUCUAGCUCGGCGAAGUUCGCGGCUCCGUCACCUCUUCCGGAACCUACGGCAUAACGAAAAACGGGCACUAACGUGAAAACUAACGCGUGCAUAAAAACUUCUCCAAAUUUUUUCCAAAUAAAUCCCAUAAAAAACUAGACAAAAUUUUAAGACUGUCAGAAAAAGAAUCACUCAAAAAUCACUUUUUAUUAAAAAGUUAUAAAGUUUCUCUCCAGGGAGUCAUCUGUAAUGAAACAGAAAAGUUCCAGGGGUUUAACUGAGAAAACAGAAAACGGUUUGAAUAGAAAAGCGCAAGCCCAAAGAGAAAGCGUAUUUUCCCGAAGGCGCCAACAGAAAACGUUUCGCGUGGGAAAAGAAUAGAGGCUGACAGGGGGGUCCACAUGUCAGGUUUAAAAAGAGCUCGCCGGCGCCCGAAGACUGCGGUGGUCGCCGGCGUCGAACCACGGCGAGACAGGGAGAUCGGAGUGUACCAAGAGCUUCAGCGUGUCGUUCCGCGUCGGUGGGUGGUGGACUCGAGCGUCGGAGAGCACCACGUCGACGGCGACACUUUCUCCGGCGGACGGCGGCUCGGGUGAUGGUGGAGAACUCCGGUGGGUGCUGCAAACUUCGAAUUGAAGCGCGGGUCAGAAAGAGGGAUGCACUAGAGGGCUACUGGCAAGAGUAGGGAGGCAGAGGUGCACGCACGGGAGCGAAUCGAGCUGGAUCCCGUGGCGGGUCGCGGCGGCCGGAGUCGGGGAAGAAAGCUCCCUCGGGGCUCUACCAGUGGCUUGGCGAGGUCUAGGUGGAGUGCAGAGGUGGUGUGGGUUCGAGUUGAAGCUCGGGGCCUCUAUUUAUAGGCGGAUCGAGGGGGUGGCCGUGAACGGAGAAUCUCCGGCGAGCAAUUACGGCGAUGUAGUGGAUUGGCAAGAGGUUUAGGUGGCCAAGCAGCAUCAGUGGGAGUUACUGGUGUCGUUCCCCCACAAAUCCCGAUCGGUCUUGGCGUAACGGCGCCGGUCCACGGUGGGGUGGCCGCACGGGCACGACGGCGGCAGAGAGCGCGCUCCGCGGUUCACGACGAGGGUGGCAGCGCGCAUGGGGGAGUGGAAGACCACGCGGCGACCUUCGGUGGCUUGGGCGGCGCUGGACGGCGCCGUCUGCGCUGCGCCUCCCUUCUGACGGCCGCAAAGCCGCCGCUGGCGUUGGUCAUUGGGCGGCGCACCUCCUGCUGCUCGUCGCCGACGUCCGCAAGCUGCCAGGCGUUCGCGCGAUGCAGGAACAAGGGGGAGGGGACGAGGAACAAGGCGACAUCGGGGCACUGUCGAGAUCGACAACAAGUUCUGAAGAAAACGACAGUAGAUCACUGAACUGUUCUCUGAAUUUCUAAACUUGACAUUGACAAAGCACUGCAGGUGUUCGACAGAAUGAUUUGGUGUGAAGAAAAAAUUUCCUGGGGCUGGGACUUGGUGAGGUGACCUCUCAAUGUACCCAGAGGCUGCCUGAUUUUAUUCAGAAUUUUUGGAGAAGGAUUUGAAUGAAUUUCACCAAAUUUGACAAAUCUGGUCCAAACUUGCAGCAAGUGUAGUUUAAAAAAAUUUGAACUGAAGACCAGUGGAUCUUCAUGGAUCUUGGUUGAGGGUUCAAAGGACUAGGUAGGGAAAAAGGUUUGGGGGCAAAAAUCAAAACAGAAAGGGUAGCUCCUUUGUAAAUCUCCAAGAGCUAGAAUAGAAGAUAGAAAUUGUUUUGAUAAGGUUUUAAAGGAAAAUAAUCAUAUGGGGAGGUUCAACUUGCUGUAUUUGAUGCAAAUCAAGAUCCAAAGAUGAGGGAAGGUUUAGGAGAGUGGAUUUGUACUAAGGUCAUGGUAAGAGGGAUUUGUUGAAAGUGGUAAAGGGUUUUUUCCAAAAGCCAUAGUGCAUUUUCAAAGAGAUUUUCAAAAGGCAUUUUUUCCAAGUGAAAAGCAUUUUGGUUUGAGUCCAAAUAAAAGCAAGAACCUCCAAGACUAAAAACAAGUCUUGGGUGAAUCCAAAUAAAACUCUUGCCAUAAAGAUAUUUUGAAAGGGAGGGUUCUUUUGAAGAAAAAUUUAAAUCACCUCCCUCAAGUCAAAUAAUUUUUUUUGAAAAAUCCAAAUAAAAUUUUGGGUGUCACACAGACCGCGUCACGCUCCUGCGCGAGUCCAUCUCCCCGCAUCGAACACCGAGUCACCACAGCGCCAUGCCGCCGAGAUCAGCCGCCAGCAAUGAGUGAGAUGAAGCACCGCUCCAACAAAGAAUCCGUCCUCUGGUUCCUCGAUCACGUGUGCACCUCCAAGAAUGACGCCCCAAAGGGGGGAACGGCAUUAUCUUGAUAUUGAUCAUUCUUUUGCUGUUAGAUAACUAAUCUUUAGUGCAACCCCUUCACCAAGUAAAAACUGGCAUGAUCAGAUUUGUCUAUGAACUUAGUUUGUCCUCAGUCAUCUUCAUUGUAACUUUUGUAUUUGUUAAACAUUUGAUUUCGCAUCAGUUUUGUCUAUGCCCUUAGUUUUGUCAUCUUCAUUAUUCUAUCUACACAACUUGCUCAUUCUUAUUUCUUCAUUCUUUUUGGUUAGUUUCGAAAGUGAUAUUAGCUACCAAGUUGUCAUCAUGUGGAUGCCCUUUUAAGGUAGCCUCCAGCUUGCGGACCACCCCGACGGUAGGCAUGGCAGGAAUAUGCCUUGGGGGAUGGAUUGUAAGCACUGCCGCGUACAAGACAGUAGCAGAUGGUCGUAUCGCUUUUCAACAAGGAUGUCUGGGAGGAAUUCCUGGAGGAGAACUACCUAGCAUUGACAGAGCGUUGCUAAUCACCAUCAGGAACAGUGCACUAGACGAACUGAACAUGAUGGUUGUCUUCAACGAGAUCUAAUUAUGAGAUUGUCAGGAAUAAGGCUCAUUUAAGUUACCGCAGUUUGUUAUGUUGUCUAUUAUCCAUGUCGCGCCGGCAGAUUGACGAACUAUGCUUUGUUUCUUUUUAUUUUUUACUUGGUGGUAUGCACAGUGAACAACUAUGUAAUAUCGAGUCUGAAAACUUCUUGUGCUUUUUUUUGUGUGGCACUUGAUUAUUAUAAGUGACCAGUAAUCAUGUUUCUCCCUUUUAUUUAUUUUUUCUAAGUUCUUCUGUUGUGGCCAUAGUUUGUGUUUCAUUUUGAAUUUUUGGACCGAACAUUUUCAAUGGUUUGGGAGUACCCUUUCAAUUCUCUAAUUUGAGUCGACGAUCAUUUAUCAGUGUUAUUCAUUCUAUUGUAUUAGUUUUAUCCUGUCGAACAAGCAGACUUUCAAGUAAGUUCAUGCUAUCAGUGUUACUCACUGUCACACUUCAGUUCUGUGGAGAAGAAGUCCAGAUAGUGCAGUCUGGGGAUUGGUCAUGUUUUUAUUCGUCUGUGUAUUUUUUUUGUUCGGGCUGAUACACAACUUAGAAGGUCCAAGAGGGGAAGAGCGAGGAGGGGGUAGAAUAUGACCUGAGGAAGAGACGAAAACAAAUGUUCCUUUCUAGCCGACGAUGGACUGAGUACCACACGUGUCAUUAGGGGAUUGGAAGAAAAAAAGGGCCUGAACCAAAUUUAAAAUCAGACGUCUGAUGGAUAGUCACUCCCACAAACAAGUUAUGUGUUUUUUUGGUCUAUACUAUAUGUACGGUAAUGUAGACUAGCAAUUAUGUGUUCACUUUGAGAUCAGAGAAUAACUUUUGGCCGGUGCAUGUUCAUCAAGCUUACGCGUUCGCUUUCUUUCUUCCUCUCGAAGAAACAAAAGGUGAUCUUUUUUUUAGAAAAGGAGGAAGACCCCCGGCCUCUGCAUCUGAACGAUGCAUGCAGCCAUUUUAUUAAUUGUUCACACAAGACUAUACAAAGUAAUACAACCGUAAGACUAAAGCCACCGUCUAGGCAACAUCUGUCGCUACUCCUAUCCAAUUGAUGAAGGGAUUCCGAUAGUCCGGGCCUAAUACCAAACAGACCUCACGGCCAAACCUACCAUCUAAGACCUGAGGUCCCAUCCAGGACGCCUGUCGGGUAUGGGGCACCCACCAGUCCGGCGCACUCCUCAACCAGGACGCCUGUUGGGUAUGAGGCUGCCGCAGCCACCUGCCACCAAUCCUUCUUCAGAACUAUACUGUUGCAUCUACCUUACCCGGUCUAGCUGCCGUCGACGCCACCACGACGCGAGACCGCGUCACCCUCCUGCGCGAGUCCAUCUCCGCGCAUCGGACACCGAGUCACCACAGCGCCAUGCCGCCGAGAUCAGCCGCCAUCAAUGAGUGAGAUGAAGCACCGCUCCACCAAAGAAUCUGUCCUCUGGUCCCUCUAUCACGUUUGCACCUCCAAGAAUGACGCCCCAAAGGGGGGGGGCGACACUAGAGUGCCGCCGUCAUCUGAUCAUUCGAUCUAGGGUUUCCCCCGAAGGUAGCAGAGAGUCGCCAUGAACUUCUCAAAGGCGAUGCCUUCAAGAAGGGAACGAUGCAAAUAGCGCCGUCACCGCCGGCUUUGGCAGUAGCCGAAAGCAAGUUUUCACCUAGAUCUGUUCGAAGGAAUCCAACUCCCAUGCACGGCCGCCGCGACCACCAGGCUGAGCACCCGCCGCCGCCGGCACCUCCACGAUGCCCAGAGGCCGCGAGACUCGCCGCCACCACGCCUGGGCUGCCGGCCACAGCUGCCAACUGUUGGGGAACGUAGUAAUUUCAAAAAAAAUCUACGCACACGCAAGAUCAUGGUGAUGCAUAGCAACGAGAGGGGAGAGUGUGUCCACGUACCCUCGUAGACCGAAAGCGGAAGUGUUAUGACAACGUGGUUGAUGUAGUCGUACAUCUUCACGAUCGACCGAUCCUCAGUACCGAACGUACGGCACCUCCGUGUUCAGCACACGUUCAGCUCGGGGACGUCCCGCGAACUCACGAUCCAGUAGAGCUCUAAGGAGAGUUUCGUCAGCACGACGGCAUGAUGACAAUGUUGAUGAAGUUACCAACGUAGGGCUUCGCCUAAGCACCGCUACGAUAUGACUGAGGUGGAUUAUGGUGGAGGGGGGCACCGCACACGGCUAAAAGAUCAAUGAUCAAUUGUUGUCUCUAUGGGGUGCCCCCUGCCCCCGUAUAUAAAGGAGCUAGGGGGAGGCGGCCGGCCAAGGAGGAGGGCGCGCCAAGGGGGGAGUCCUACUCCCACCGGGAGUAGGACUCCUCCUUUCCUAGUAGGAGUAGGAGAAGGGGGGAGAAGGAGAGAGGGGGGAAGGAAAGGGGGCGCCGCCCCCCCUCCUUGUCCAAUUCGGACUAGAGGGGGAGGGGGGCGCGGCCUGCCCUGGCCGCCCCUCCUCUUCUCCACUAAGGCCCAAUAGGCCCGUUACACUCCCCGUGGGGUUCCGGUAACCCCCCGGUACUCCGGUAUAUGUCUGAAACCUUCCGAAACACUUCCGGUGUCCGAACAUAGUCGUCCAAUAUAUCAAUCUUUACGUCUCGACCAUUUCGAGACUCCUCGUCAUGUCCGUGAUCAUAUCGGGGACUCCAAACUACCUUCGGUACAUCAAAACAUAUAAACUCAUAAUACCGAUUGUCACAGAACUUUAAGCAUGUGGACCCUACGGGUUCGAGAACUAUGUAGACAUGACCAAGACACGUCUUCGGUCAAUAACAAAUAGCGGAACGUGGAUGCUCAUAUCGGUUCCUACAUAUUCUACGAAGAUCUUUAUCGGUCAAACCGCAUAACAACAUACGUUGUUCCCUUUGUCAUCGGUAUGUUACUUGCCCGAGAUUCGAUCGUCGGUAUCUCAAUACCUAGCUCAAUCUCGUUACCGGCAAGUUUCUUUACUCGUUCCGUAAUGCAUCAUCCCGCAACUAACUCAUUAGUUACAUUGCUUGCAACGCUUAUAGUGAUGUGCAUUACCGAGAGGGCCCAGAGAUACCUCUCCGACAAUCGGAGUGACAAAUCCUAAUCUCGAUCUGUGCCAACUCAACAAGCACCAUCGGAGACACCUGUAGAGCACCUUUAUAAUCACCCAGUUACGUUGUGACGUUUGGUAGCACAGAAAGUGUUCCUGCAGUAUUCGGGAGUUGCAUAAUCUCAUAGUCAUAGGAACAUGUAUAAGUCAUGAAGAAAGCAAUAGCAACAUACUAAACGAUCAAGUGCUAAGCUAACGGAAUGGGUCAAGUCAAUCACAUCAUUCUCUAAUGAUGUGAUCCCAUUAACAAAAUGACAACUCAUGUCUAUGGCUAAGAAACUUAACCAUCUUUGAUUCAACGAGCUAGUCAAGUAGAGGCAUACUAGUGACACUCUGUUUGUCUAUGUAUUCACACAUGUACUAAGUUUCCGGUUAAUACAAUUCUAGCAUGAAUAAUAAACAUUUAUCAUGAAAUAAAAGAAAAUAGAAACGAACAAGUAAAAAAUAAAACAUAAUAAAUAAAAGGCCAAAAGGCCCCCCUCCCACCAGGCCUCGGCCCAGCCACAUGCCAGGCCGGCCCAUCCCCACUUCCUUAACCCCCUGGUGCCGAAACCGUAGGCACCGACACCCCCACUCCCCCCACUCUCCCUCCCCCCGAUCCCCUCCUGGAUCGGGAUCGAACCCCCGACGCCCUUCGCUUCGCUCCCUCGUCUCUCUCCCUGCNNNNNNNNNNNNNNNNNNNNNNNNNNNNNNNNNNNNNNNNNNNNNNNNNNNNNNNNNNNNNNNNNNNNNNNNNNNNNNNNNNNNNNNNNNNNNNNNNNNNNNNNNNNNNNNNNNNNNNNNNNNNNNNNNNNNNNNNNNNNNNNNNNNNNNNNNNNNNNNNNNNNNNNNNNNNNNNNNNNNNNNNNNNNNNCUGGUGCCGAAACCCUAGCCACCGACACCCCCACUCCCCCACUCUCCCUCCCCCCGAUCCCCUCCUGGAUCGGGAUCGAACCCCGACGCCCUCCGCCUCGCUCCCUCGUCUCUCUCCCUGCCCGAUCUGGAUCGGGGCAGCCCCUGCCGAUCCCAUCUCCCCGCCGGACGCCGUCGUCGCGCUACCCCCGGACGUCGUCGUCACCACCACCCCGACGUCGCCGUCAUCCCGCCACCUCGCCCGAAGUCGCCCUAUUGCCCUGGACCUCGCCGCCCCAUCGCCGGACCGCCCCUCGUCGCCGGACGUCCCCGUCCUCCUCCCCGAGCCCCGCUGCCCUGUCCCUACGGCCCCGUGGUGAGGCCCCCGGCCUCUCUUCCUCUUCCCUUCCAUUCCCCGUUCGGUCACCGCGGCCACUGCCGCUGCUCGUGCGCCCGACGCCACGCUCCCCGCGCCGCGUCCCGCGGUCGCCAUGCCCCGACCACGCCCGAUGAACGCACGCCCUGCCCCCGCGCAUCCAGGCCCGGCGCCCCGCUGCUCGCCCGCACCCACUGCCGCUGCUCUGCUCGCCCGCCUCCCACACUCACNNNNNNNNNNNNNNNNNNNNNNCCGCCGCGCACCCACCUACGCCCAGCCGCGCGUGCCCGCUCCCGCCGCCGCAACCGCGGCUGCGCCACUCCGGCCGGCCGUGCCUCCGCCGUGGCUCAAAGCCACCGGCGCUCAAAUCGCCGGCCUAAUAGGCCAUUAGCGCUAAUUGCGCUACCAACCCCCCUGAUGAGCCACUAACACGUGGGGCCAACCCCCUGGAACGAUUUAAAAAAAGGAAUUAAAAAUAUUAAUUAAUAAAAAUAUUAAUUAAUUAAUUUUUUAACUAAAUAAUUAACUUAAUUAAUCAUGUUUAAAUUAACUAAUUAAGAUUAAUUAACCUAAUAACUAGUUAACCUAAUUAACCACUGUUAAUUAGCUAAACAGUCCCUGACAGGUGGGACCCACCUGUUAGGUUGACCAGGUCAACGGUCGACGUUGACUGCCGACGUCAUGCUGACAUCAUACUGAUGUCAUAAUUACCUUUUCUAAUUAAAUUAAUUCUGUUAAUUCUAGAAAAAGAUAAAAUCCUUUUCAAAUUAAUAUAAAAUAAACCGUAGCUCGGAUGAAAAUACUUUGUACAUGAAAGUUGCUCAGAACGACGAGACGAAUCCAGAUACACAGCCCGUUCCUCCGCCACGCGUCCCUAGCAUAGUGAACCUGUAACAUUUCACCUCCGGUUCAUCUGUCCGAAAACGCGAAACACCGGGAAUACCUUCCCGGAUGUUUCCCCCCUUCAUCGGUAUCACCUACUACCGCGUUAGGGCACACCUAGCACCGCGUAUUGUCAUGUUACGCUUUGUGUUGUUUUGAUUGCUCUGUUAUUUAUUGUGUUCCCCCUCCGUUACUUCUUUCCGGUAGACCCCGAGACUACCGGCGACCCCCAGUUCGACUACGGGGUUGACGACCCCUCCUACUUGCUAGAGCAACCAGGCAAGCCCCCCCCCUUGAUCACCAGAUAUCGCCUAUUCUUCUCUCUACUGCUUGCAUUAGAGUAGUGUAGCAUGUUACUGCUUUCGUUAAUCCUAUUCUGCUGCAUAGUCUGUCAUUGUUGCUACAGUUGUUACCCUUACCUGCCAUCCUACUGGUUAGUAUAGGAUGCUAGUGUUCCAUCAGUGGCCCUACACUCUCGUACGUCUGCCAUGCUAUACUACUGGGCCGUGAUCACUUCGGGAGGUGAUCACGGGUAUAUACUAUAUACUUUAUAUACAUGACACAUGUGGUGACUAAAGUCGGGUCGGCUCGUUGAGUACCCGCAAGUGAUUCUGAUGAGGGGGCUGAAAGGACAGGUGGCUCCAUCCCGGUAGAGGUGGGCCUGGGUUCCUGACGGCCCCCGACUGUUACUUUGUGGCGGAGCGACAGGGCAGGUUGAGACCACCUAGGAGAGAGGUGGGUCUGGCCCUGGUCGGCGUUCGCGGAUACUUAACACGCUUAACGAGAUCUUGGUAUUUGAUCUGAGUCUGGCCAUUUGGUCUAUACGCACUAACCAACUACGCGGGAACAGUUAUGGGCACGCGACGUCGUGGUAUCAGCCGAAGCUCUUCUUGACGUCAGCGACGGAGCGGCGCGCGCCGGAUUGGACUGGAACGCCUGCUAGGCUAGGUCUGCUUCCGGCCGCGUACGCAACGUGCAGGUGUGCAAUGGGCGAUGGGCCCAGACCCCUGCGCGCAUAGGAUUUAGACCGGUGUGUUGACCUCUCUGUUGAGCCUAGGUGGGGCUGCGACGUGUUGAUCUUACGAGGUCGGGCAUGACCCAGGAAAGUGUGUCCGGGCAAAUGGGAUCGAGCGUGUUGGGUUAUGUGGUGCACCCCUACAGGGAAGUUUAUCUAUUCGAAUAGCCGUGUCCCUCGGUAAAAGGACGACCCGGAGUUGUACCUCGACCUUAUGACAACUAGAACUGGAUACUUAAUAAAACACACCCUUCCAAGUGCCAGAUACAACCCGGUGAUCGCUCUUUAACAGGGCGACGAGGAGGGGAUCGCCGGGUAGGAUUAUGCUAUGCGAUGCUACUUGGAGGACUUCAAUCUACUCUCUUCUACAUGCUGCAAGAUGGAGGCUGCCAGAAGCGUAGUCUUCGACAGGAUUAGCUAUCCCCCUCUUAUUCCGGCAUUCUGCAGUUCAGUCCACUGAUAUGGCCCUUUACACAUAUACCCAUGCAUAUGUAGUGUAGCUCCUUGCUUGCGAGUACUUUGGAUGAGUACUCACGGUUGCUUCUCUCCCUCUUUUCCCCCUUUCCUUUCUACCUGGUUAUCGCAACCAGAUAUUGGAGUCCAGGAGCCAGACGCCACCGUCGACGAUGACUCCUACGACACAGGAGGUGCCUACUACUACGUGCAGCCCGCUGGCGAUGACCAGGACCAGUUAGGAGGAUCCCAGGCAGGAGGCCUGCGCCUCUUUCGAUAUGUAUCCCAGUUUGUGCUAGCCUUCUUAAGGCAAACUUGUUUCACUUAUGUCUGUACUCAGAUAUUGUUGCUUCCGCUGACUCGUCUAUGAUCGAGCACUUGUAUUCGAGCCCUCGAGGCCCCUGGCUUGUAUUAUGAUGCUUGUAUGACUUAUUUAUGUUUUAGAGUUGUGUUGUGAUAUCUUCCCGUGAGUCCCUGAUCUUGAUCGUACACAUUUGCGUGCAUGAUUAGUGUACGGUCAAAUCGGGGGCGUCACAAGUUGGUAUCAGAGCCGACUGCCUGUAGGAAUCCCCCUUCCAUACUCCUUGGCCGAAGUCGAGUCUAGUCAUUGAAAAACUUUUACUAACAUGGCUGUGUGGCUUACGGGCCCACGUCGCCAUUGGGUAGUAUUAGGAUCUUUUACUCCUUGUCUAUACUCUGGGACUCUGAUCUCUCUUCUAUUCGGGUUAAGUAAAUUUUGCUAAAUCUAACAUUAGGAUCUCGUUAUCACUUUCACCCGGAGAGCCCCUUAUUACUGAUGAUCGUCUGCUGCACGUGAAGACCCUAAAGAUACUCUCCGCUUUUAACCCGAGAACUUGUGUUCAUCGCUUUUGCAAUUCCCUUUCAUCGAUAAACUCCUAUAGAUAACCACGUAUACUCGCCAUUCAUACAAUGUUUCCCAGUUGAUCUUGUUAUUACAAGAUACCCCGAAAUUCCCUCUGUUGUUCCGAGAAUCCUUUGAGCUUACUGCCUUGCUGUUCUUUGUCACCUGAAUACCCCUACGGAUAAUUCUCGCACUUACCGAGUAUCCACUCAUCCCCAGUUGAUUCAAGUAUUUCACAAAAGUGUUCAGAAUACCAUUCGAUCUUCCAAAAAUCCUCAGGAGCCUAUUGCUCUUGAAAUUCUUGCUUACUAGCAUUAUGAUUAAUCCCAUAAGUCUCGAAAUCUUAUUGGCACCCUUUGUCAUUAUCUUUUUGAGUACAUUGAUUCAAUAUGUUGCGAAUGCUCGCAAUCCUCAAUCAGAUCCUAGAAUUCAUCCUUCCGGCUCAGACAUCAUUUUUAACAUGAGCUGGAUCUCGACCAAUCAAAUCGUCGUCGUUUGUACCCCUAAGGCCAUUCAGCUUAUCCAUCCCUAAUCAGAGCAUUGCUUCUGAUCCCUUGUCUUGGAAUUCUUAAUUCUUUUGCAAAUGAGCUCUGAAGUAGUCAGUUGUUUCUAUCAUCUGAUCUCCUUACAUGCUUUUUCUUCUGGUUGAGUACCGAUGCUCACACCAGAUCCCUUAUGGACCAUCAGAACCUUGUUGGAUUUUAUCCGACGACGUCCUUCAUAUUCAAUAACUUUGUGAGUCUUUUCUCGGAUACAUAAUGCCUUUGGUAAAUUGUAUCCUAUGCUUUGUCAACAAUGCUCUCCUUUCGAGCUUGUGUUAUUUACUCCUGAAGUUUGAGGUAUAUGUUUCUAAGAUGCCCCGAUGGAUUGAACCUAUACCUUCCCUAAAAACCGUAUGAACCCGAAGGUUUUCACAAGCCAUACUGUCGGGGAUAUACCCCGCGGUAUGACCCGGCCAGACUUGGCGACUCACCAGAGACCUGGCUGGAGCUUGGCGACUCACUGGUGAUCCGCCCGAACAUGGCGAUUCACAGCUAACCCGCCUGGACAUUGUGACUCACUGGAGACCCGGCAGGCGGAUCAGACGGACGACAAGGCCCAGCAGGCUGGCUUAUACUCUGGUGGGCCGGUUUAAGGAGAAAGGGAUGACGAAUAUUUCCUUUACGAGGAAGCAAUACCCGGACGUGUAUUCAACUUGUAAGAAAAGAUAGACUAGUCUUAGUCCUACUAGGACUCCGCAUGUAACCCGCCCCUCUAACUUAUAUAAGGAGGGGCAGGGCACCCCAAAGAGGGACAGACAAGACAAGAAACAAUCUCUAGGGCUAAACACCGAGAGCCGGUUCCCGGCGACUCUCCCAUGAUCAUAAUGAGACCUAGCCUCAAACAGCAUGUAGGGUUGUUACCGGAUGAUGUUUCCCGGGGCCCGAAGCUGUCUAAAUCCUUGUCUUGUGUUGCGUCUCUCGAUUCCGCUCAACCCCUCUCAAGCUACCACAUAGAUGCGUUGGCCUCGCGACUAAGUCCUGACACUAAGGACAUCUGUCGUGACAACUCCACGACACAUACCCUUCUGGUAUUUUACCAGAUAAUUUUCUACCAUACAACUUCAUCGAAUGCGAGAAGUGAAUGAAAGGUUAUGCAUUGCAGAAGUGGGAGUCGACCUUGAACUUUGUGUUCAUGCCCAUGGACACGAUGUAGAUCUUAUCAUUAAAAGCUUCUCUUAAAUUAAUUAUUCCCUUGGUAUAAGUUCAUCUUAUAUCUGUGAUCUGGCCUUUUGCAAUUGUGGUUCCGACCAUGUUCUCCUUUAAAUACCAUUUCUCGUACAAGUUGAGCACUUGUCUUCUGCAGAGCAAUACCCCAGUCCAACCUCUACUUUGAUCUACCGUCGAGCAUUACACUCUGGUAUCUCAAGAAUACCACGGAACUACAUAACUUCUUAUGAGUUCUUCGUCAACUAUUAUUCUCGCCAAUUCCAAUUUCCCUCGGGUUCUAAGUUAUUAGUCACUCGAGAACACCGUUAAGUGAAUCGAUUCCGCACUCCGAUUCAAUAACUCUAAGUAAUUUUCGUUGCUUAUGAUUUAAUAACCCUUCAAGUCAUUCCUAGCCCGAUCGGCUAUAUCAUUAUCAUGCAACUUUUUAACUGUGCUAUCUGGUCCUUCUUUCCGAAGCACGAUUUUCGACGAUGAGCUAAGCUUACGCCGACUUUCCUCGUCAUAUCAUUUCGCCUUGAACAACAAGAUUGAUUCCGAGUUUGUGUCGUACCCAGGGUUCCAAUAACCUUUCGCUUCAUCAUUCCUUUGACUUGAUGUCAUCGCCGAGCGAUUGCAUCUUCAUGGAAUCUCUUGACAAAUGUGUCGUGAUCAUCAUGAGCAUUCUGAGUCCUUCUAGAAUAUCAAUUGAAUUCAUGAUGAGAAAGACCAUCCUUUCCCUUGAUGAUUUGUGUUAUCAUCGGCCACUUUACUGCCUUCCCUCCAACACAAACUUGUUCGUGUUUUGUGUUAAACCUUGAGAUCCUUGCUAUCCAGCAUUUGUUCCUCUUUACUUUGGAGUAUUACCAAAUUUUAUAUCAAGAAUGUCGUAAGAAUUUCACCACCUCUUUAGAAUUCUUGAUAUAGUAAUACAUCUUGCUGUCUACAUUCAGUUCUUGGUCCCCAUGUUGAUUUUAACCGAAGUACCCACAAAUGAACGGUGAUGUGUAAAAUUCAAAACUUCCAGUAACCCUAUUGCUUGUAAGUUAAUGAACGAUAGUUCAUUCCUUGUGUAUUGGUUAUCGAAUCACCAUUCUAACCUUGAUCAUGCUACCUAAGCCCAUAUUCGGGUGCACCUUUCAACCAAUGUUUAAUUGUGUAUGUUUUCCUCGAGCAUACAUCAUUAAGUCACUCAAUCUAGCUAAUGUUAUCUCCUUGUUCACGUAGUUGUGGAAAUCCAUCUUUUGGAGAUCUCAAUGGAUUGUCGCUGAGUCAAUCAGUCACCUCCUCACCUCUCCUUGAUUUAAUGAUGAACCCUUGUUCGGAACUCGCUUCCAUAGUUCAUCUCCCGAGAAUCUUCGAUGUCGUUUCGACAAUUUGUGUUGCACCUUUCUUCUCAGGCAUCCUGAGUCUGAGUUAUCCUGACACCAAUCAGAUCUGAAUCUCGGUCAAAUAUGAUGGUUGUAACAUAUUUCCAAGAGUUAUAACAUUGGUCUAUUUAUGAUCCGAUAAGGUGAUGUCAUGCCUAACCCACCUGGCCGGAGGACCUAUUGUUAUAAGUUUUCCCUUUUUAGCAAGGUUAGCUAUUCUUCCAUGAGGAAAUUGUAAGACUUACUCUAUAAUCUGUUCCUGAUGGAUCCUUUGUGUAUCCAUAGCCUGAUCUUACCUAAUGACCAUGUCAAUGCUAUCUCGAAGCAUGUCUGUGUUACUCCGAUCUUCAAUAAAAACAUUUGAAGCACAAUGCUAAAUUUUCGUUAUUAAUUAUUCAAACACCGUUCUUUGGGUAAUGUCAUGAACUUCCUCUUCCCUAACCUACAUGGUUCUCUUCUAACCAUUGUCCUUGGGAAGGAUAUAUCCCCUGAAAUAUGUGUUUAAACACAUUUUCCUUUCCAUUGUUCUGUUUAAUCUGAUAAUCAUAUUUUCCUUUCCAUUGGUUGGCUUAACGUUUCUGGUGAUCAUUAUGAUCUAAGCAGUAUUAAUUCCCUGCUUGUGCAAACACCUCGGUGUACAACUCUGUCAGUAAGACCCUGUUACUAUUGUUGGUGACAUUCCGGUAACCACCGAUGGACGAGAACUUUGCCUAUUGGUCCGCCUCGUUUCAACGAGCAGGAAAAUGGUUCUCUUCGUCCCUCGCCCUUGGUACCGACGAUGUUGCUGACAUAUAACUGACAGGCUACCCCUCUGACAUGUCUUGCUAUCAUGACCGUGUAAGAUGCCAACGGCCUUCCUACUUUUAACAACAUGGUGGGCCCAUAACCCACAGUUCCACAGGAUCGAAACCUAACUCUCCUAUACUCCCUGUUUCCAAACUUAUUCCUCGCGCUUGGCUUCGUAUUUAAUUCAUGGGCCACCUUCCUAGUGCUCUAUUCUGGUAUCAGACGCAAUGCUUACUCUCUCUACUCUGAACCCCUUUCUCAUUCUGGUUCAGACUUCGAGCAACUAUCUAUCCGCUUGGAACCUCUUAUUUUACCUUCGUACCUUACUCUCGAUGUAUUUUAUAUGUUCAACUCGAGAGAAUGCUCAUUCAUGGGAUAACCCCAGAUUGUUUCCCUCAAAAGCAUUCUGUCGUAGCUGAGCUGCCCCUUAUCCUUUCGUAACUACGAUGGAGUUCCCGAAGAAAGGACGACAACUUUAUCAUGAUGCAUUGGAAUAAAGAAUUGAAGACAUCAACGAAAGGGAUUAACUUCUUCGAGAAGAUCCGUUAGAAUAUCGUAACCAGAACUUUCCCCCUUACUCCCCUCUUAAAUCUCGGGACGAGAUUUCUUGUAGUGGAGGAGAAUUCUGACGCCCGUAUAAUUAAGCUACAGCAACCCUCUGCUAAUGAUGACACGUCACUUCGAUUACUGUUGCUAAUCUCGCGUUGAUUCGAAACCGAUUCAAAUUAAAAUUUAAAACAAAGGCUAACAACAAAAAAUUUCAAAUAUUAAAACUAAAUUGUUUAGGUUGUGCCAAAUAAUGCAUAGGUACUUAUGAUGAAGAAACCACAUUUUUAUAAAAGAUUUAAAUGCACUUAAGUAAUUAAAACAAUAGGUAAAACAAUUAAAUAAAUACCUUUUUGAUUUCAUAAAAUACUAAACUAUUUUGUUCAGGGGUAAAACUUUUUGUGGCAGUAGUUGGAAUUGUAACUCUAUUUUAGUUGGGGUUUUCUUAUGGUAAAACUAUAAAUUAUUAAGAAAUAAAAGAAAAUAGAAAAGAACAAGUAAAAAAUAAAACAUAAUAAAUAAAAGGCCAAAAGGCCCCCCUCCCACCGGGCCUCGGCCCAGCCACAUGCCAGGCCGGCCCAUCCCCACUUCCUUAACCCCCUGGUGCCGAAACCCUAGGCACCGACACCCCCACUCCCCCCACUCUCCCUCCUCCCGAUCCCCUCCUGGAUCGGGAUCGAACCCCCGACGCCCUCCGCCUCGCUCCCUCGUCUCUCUCCCNNNNNNNNNNNNNNNNNNNNNNNNNNNNNNNNNNNNNNNNNNNNNNNNNNNNNNNNNNNNNNNNNNNNNNNNNNNNNNNNNNNNNNNNNNNNNNNNNNNNNNNNNNCUGGUGCCGAAACCCUAGCCACCGACACCCCCACUCCCCCACUCUCCCUCCCCCCGAUCCCCUCCUGGAUCGGGAUCGAACCCCGACGCCCUCCGCCUCGCUCCCUCGUCUCUCUCCCUGCCCGAUCUGGAUCGGGGCAGCCCCUGCCGAUCCCAUCUCCCCGCCGGACGCCGUCGUCGCGCUACCCCCGGACGUCGUCGUCACCACCACCCCGACGUCGCCGUCAUCCCGCCACCUCGCCCGAAGUCGCCCUAUUGCCCUGGACCUCGCCGCCCCAUCGCCGGACCGCCCCUCGUCGCCGGACGUCCCCGUCCUCCUCCCCGAGCCCCGCUGCCCUGUCCCUACGGCCCCGUGGUGAGGCCCCCGGCCUCUCUUCCUCUUCCCUUCCAUUCCCCGUUCGGUCACCGCGGCCACUGCCGCUGCUCGUGCGCCCGACGCCACGCUCCCCGCGCCGCGUCCCGCGGUCGCCAUGCCCCGACCACGCCCGAUGAACGCACGCCCUGCCCCCGCGCAUCCAGGCCCGGCGCCCCGCUGCUCGCCCGCACCCACUGCCGCUGCUCUGCUCGCCCGCCUCCCACACUCACNNNNNNNNNNNNNNNNNNNNNNNNNNNNNNNNNNNNNNNNNNNNNNNNNNNNNNNNNNNNNNNNNNNNNNNNNNNNNNNNNNNNNNNNNNNNNNNNCCCGCCUCCGCGCACCGUUGGCCGACCCCGCUCCGCCGCGGCACCCACCUGCGCCCAGCCGCGCGUGCCCGCUCCCGCCGCCGCAACCGCGGCUACGCCACUCCGGCCGGCCGUGCCUCCGCCGUGGCUCAAAGCCACCGGCGCUCAAAUCGCCGGCCUAAUAGGCCAUUAGUGCUAAUUGCGCUACCAACCACCCUGAUGAGCCACUAACACGUGGGGCCAACCCCCUGGAACGAUUUAAAAAAAGGAACUAAAAAUAAUAAUAAAUAAAAAUAAAAAUAUUAAUUAAUUAAUUUUUUAACUAAAUAAUUAACUUAAUUAAUCAUGUUUAAAUUAACUAAUUAAGAUUAAUUAACCUAAUAACUAGUUAACCUAAUUAACCACUGUUAAUUAGCUAAACAGUCCCUGACAGGUGGGACCCACCUGUCAGGUUGACCGGGUCAACGGUCAACGUUGACUGCCGACGUCAUGCUGACAUCAUACUGAUGUCAUAAUUACCUUUUCUAAUUAAAUUAAUUUUGUUAAUUCUAGAAAAAGAUAAAAUCCUUUUUUAAAUUAAUAUAAAAUAAACCGUAGCUCGGAUGAAAAUACUUUGUACAUGAAAGUUGCUCAGAACGACGAGACGAAUCCAGCUCCGCAGCCCGUUCGUCCACCACGCGUCCCUAGCAUAGUGAACCUGUAACAUUUCACCUCCGGUUCAUCUAUCCGAAAACGCGAAACACCGGGAAUACCUUCCCGGAUGUUUCCCCCCUUCGUCGGUAUCACCUACUACCGCGUUAGGGCACACCUAGCACCGCGUAUUCUCAUGUUACGCUUUGUGUUGCUUUGAUUGCUCUAUUAUUUAUUGUGUUCCCCCUCCGUUACUUCUUUCCGGUAGACCCCGAGACUACCGGCGACCCCCCGUUCGACUACGGAGUUGACGACCCCUCCUACUUGCCAGAGCAACCAGGCAAGCCCCCCCCCCUUGAUCACCAGAUAUCGCCUAUUCUUCUCUCUACUGCUUGCAUUAGAAUAGUGUAGCAUGUUACUGCUUUCGUUAAUCCUAUUCUGCUGCAUAGUCUGUCAUUGUUGCUACAGUUGUUACCCUUACCUGCCAUCCUACUGGUUAGUAUAGGAUGCUAGUGUUCCAUCAGUGGCCCUACACUCUUGUCCGUCUGCCAUGCUAUACUACUGGGCCGUGAUCACUUCGGGAGGUGAUCACGGUUAUAUACUAUAUACUUUAUAUACAUGACACAUGUGGUGACUAAAGUCGGGUCGGCUCGUUGAGUACCCACAAGUGAUUCUGAUGAGGGGGCUGAAAGGACAGGUGGCUCCAUCCUGGUAGAGGUGGGCCUGGGUUCCUGACGGCCCCCGACUGUUACUUUGUGGCGGAGCGACAGGGCAGGUUGAGACCACCUAGGAGAGAGGUGGGCCUGGCCCUGGUCGGCGUUCGCGGAUACUUAACAUGCUUAACGAGAUCUUGGUAUUUGAUCUAAGUCUGUCCAUUUGGUCUAUACGCACUAACCAACUACGCGGGAACAGCUAUGGGCACUCGACGUCGUGGUAUCAGCCGAAGCUCUUCUUGACGUCAGCGACGGAGCGGCGCGCGCCGGAUUGGACUGGAACGCCUGCUAGGCUAGGUCUGCUUCCGGCUGCGUACGCAACGUGCAGGUGUGCAAUGGGCGAUGGGCCCAGACCCCUGCGCGCAUAGGAGUUAGACCGGCGUGUUGACCUCUCUGUUGAGCCUAGGUGGGGCUGCGACGUGUUGAUCUUACGAGGCCGGGCAUGACCCAGGAAAGUGUGUCCGGCCAAAUGGGAUCGAGCGUGUUGGGUUAUGUGGUGCACCCCUGCAGGGAAGUUUAUCUAUUCGAAUAGCCGUGUCCCUCGGUAAAAGGACGACCCGGAGUUGUACCUCGACCUUAUGACAACUAGAACUGGAUACUUAAUAAAACACACCCUUCCAAGUGCCAGAUACAACCCGGUGAUCGCUCUCUAACAGGGCGACGAGGAGGGGAUCGCCGGGUAGGAUUAUGCUAUGCGAUGCUACUUGGAGGACUUCAAUCUACUCUCUUCUACAUGCUGCAAGAUGGAGGCUGCCAGAAGCGUAGUCUUCGACAGGAUUAGCUAUCCCCCUCUUAUUCCGGCAUUCUGAAGUUCAGUCCACUGAUAUGGCCCUUUACACAUAUACCCAUGCAUAUGUAGUGUAGCUCCUUGCUUGCGAGUACUUUGGAUGAGUACUCACGGUUGCUUCUCUCCCUCUUUUCCCCCUUUCCUUUCUACCUGGUUGUCGCAACCAGAUAUUGGAGUCCAGGAGCUAGACGCCACCGUCGACGACAACUCCUACGACACUGGAGGUGCCUACUACUACGUGCAGCCCGCUGACGACGACCAGGAGUAGUUAGGAGGAUCCCAGGUAGGAGGCCUGCGCCUCUUUCGAUCUGUAUCCCAGUUUGUGCUAGCCUUCUUAAGGCAAACUUGUUUCACUUAUGUCUGUACUCAGAUAUUGUUGCUUCCACUGACUCGUCUAUGAUCGAGCACUUGUAUUCGAGCCCUCGAGGCCCCUGGCUUGUAUUAUGAUGCUUGUAUGACUUAUUUAUGUUUUAGAGUUGUGUUGUGAUAUCUUCCCGUGAGUCCUUGAUCUUGAUCGUACACAUUUGCGUGCAUGAUUAGUGUACGGUCAAAUCGGGGGCGUCACAGUAGGAAAUUUUUAUGAUUACUACGUUCCCCAACAGUGGCAUCCGAGCCAGGUUUAUGCGUAGAUGUUAUAUGCACGAGUAGAACACAAGUGAGUUGUGGGCGAUAAUAGUCAUACUGCUUACCAGCAUGUCAUACUUUGAUUCGGCGGUAUUGUUGGAUGAAGCGACCUGGACCGACAUUAUGCGUACGAUUACGCGAGACUGGUUCUACCGACGUGCUUCGCACACAGGUGGCUGGCGGGUGUCAGUUUCUCCAACUUUAGUUGAAUCGAGUGUGGCUACGCCCGGUCCUUGUUGAAGGUUAAAACAACACAUACUUGACGAAAAAUCGUUGUGGUUUUGAUGCGUAGGUAAGAACGGUUCUUGCUCAGCCCGUAGCAGCCACGUAAAACUUGCAACAACAAAGUAGACGACGUCUAACUUGUUUUUGCAGGGCAUGUUGUGAUGUGAUAUGGUCAAGACAUGAUGCUAAAUUUUAUUGUAUGAGAUGAUCAUGUUUUGUAACGAAGUUAUCGGCAACUGGCUGGAGCCAUAUGGUUGUCGCUUUAUUGUAUGAAAUGCAAUCGCCAUGUAAUUGCUUUACUUUAUCACUAAGCGGUAGCGAUAGUCGUAGAAGCAAUAGUUGGCGAGACGACAACGAUGCUACGAUGGAGAUCAAGGUGUCGCGCCGGUGACGAUGGUGAUCAUGAUGGUGCUUUGGAGAUGGAGAUCAGAGGCACAAGAUGAUGAUGGCCAUAUCAUAUCACUUAUAAUGAUUGCAUGUGAUGUUUAUCCUUUAUGCAUCUUAUUUUGCUUAGUUCGGCGGUAGCAUUAUAAGAUGAUCUCUCACUAAAUUUCAAGGUACAAGUGUUCUCCCUGAGUAUGCACCGUUGCGAAAGUUCGUCGUGCCGAGACACCACGUGAUGAUCGGGUGUGAUAAGCUCUACGUUCACAUACAACGGGUGCAAGCCAGUUUUGCACACGCAGAAUACUCGGGUUAAACUUGACGAGCCUAGCAUAUUCAGAUAUGGCCUCGGAACACUGAGACCGAAAGGUCGAGCGUGAAUCAUAUAGUAGAUAUGAUCAACAUAGUGAUGUCCACCAUUGAAAACUACUCCAUCUCACGUGAUCAUCGGACAUGGUUUAGUUGAUUUGGAUCACAUGAUCACUUAGAUGAUUAGAGGGAUGUCUAUCGAUGUGGGAGUUCUUAAGUAAUUUGAUUAAUUAAACUUUAAUUUAUCAUGAACUUAGUACCUGAUAGUAUUUUGCAUGUCUAUGUUGUUGUACAUAGAUGGCCCGUGCUAUUGUUUCGUUGAAUUUUAAUGCGUUCCCAGAGAAAGCUAAGUUGAAAGAUGAUGGUAGCAACUACACGGACUGGGUCCGUAACUUGAGGAUUAUCCUCAUUGCUGCACAGAAGAAUUACGUCCUGGAAGCACCUCUAGGUGCCAAACCCGCUGCAGGAGCAACGCCAGAUGUUAUGAACGUCUGGCAAAGCAAAGCUGAUGACUACUCGAUAGUUCAGUGUGCCAUGCUUUACGGCUUAGAACCGGGACUUCAACGUCGUUUUGAACGUCAUGGAGCAUAUGAGAUGUUCCAGGAGUUGAAGUUAAUAUUUCAAGCAAAUGUCCGGAUUGAGAGAUAUGAAGUCUCCAAUAAGUUCUACAGCUGCAAGAUGGAGGAGAAUAAUUCUGUCAGUGAGCAUAUACUCAAAAUGCCUGGGUAUAACAAUCACUUGAUUCAACUAGGAGUUAAUCUUCCUGAUGAUAGUGUCAUUGACAGAAUUCUUCAAUCACUGCCACCAAGCUACAAGAGCUUCGUGAUGAACUAUAACAUGCAAGGGAUGGAUAACACAAUUCCUGAGCUCUUCUCAAUGCUAAAGGCUGUGGAGGUAGAAAUCAAGAAGGAGCAUCAAGUGUUGAUGGUCAACAAGACCACCAGUUUCAAGAAAAAGGGUAAAGGAAAGAAGGGGAACUUCAAGAAGAACGACAAGCAAGUUGCUGCUCAAGUGAAGAAGCCCAAGUCUGGACCUAAGCCUGAGACUGAGUGCUUCUACUGCAAAGGGAUUGGUCAUUGGAAGCGGAACUGCCCCAAGUAUUUGGCGGAUAAGAAGGAUGACAAGGUGAACAAAGGUAUAUGCGAUAUACAUGUUAUUGAUGUGUACCUUACUAAUGCUCGAAGUAGCACCUGGGUAUUUGAUACUGGUUCUGUUGCUAAUAUUUGCAACUCGAAACAGGGACUGUGGAUUAAGCGAUGAUUGGCUAAGGACGAGGUGACGAUGCGCAUGGGAAAUGGUUCCAAAGUCGAUGUGAUCGCGGUCGGCACGCUACCUCUACAUCUACCUUCGGGAUUAGUUUUAGACCUGAAUAAUUGUUAUUUGGUGCCAGUGUUAAGCAUGAACAUUAUAUCUGGAUCUUGUUUGAUGCGAGACGGUUAUUCAUUUAAAUCAGAGAAUAAUGGUUGUUCUAUUUAUAUGAGUAAUAUCUUUUAUGGUCAUGCACCCUUGAAGAGUGGUCUAUUUUUUUUGAAUCUCGAUAGUAGUGACACACAUAUUCAUAAUAUUGAAGCCAAAAGAUGCAGAGUUGAUAAUGAUAGUGCAACUUAUUUGUGGCACUGCCGUUUGGGUCAUAUUGGUGUAAAGCGCAUGAAGAAACUCCAUUCUGAUGGACUUUUGGAAUCACUUGAUUAUGAAUCACUUGGUACUUGCGAACCAUGCCUCAUGGGCAAGAUGACUAAAACUCCGUUCUCCGGAACAAUGGAGCGAGCAACAGAUUUGUUGAAAAUCAUACAUACUGAUGUACGUGGUCCGAUGAAUGUUGAGGCUCGCGGCGGGUAUCGUUAUUUUCUCACCUUCACAAAUGAUUUGAGCAGAUAUGGGUAUAUCUACUUGAUGAAACAUAAGUCUGAAACAUUUGAAAAGUUCAAAGAAUUUCAGAGUGAAGUGGAAAAUCAUCGUCACAAGAAAAUAAAGUUUCUACGAUCUGAUCGUGGAGGAGAAUAUUUGAGUUAUGAGUUUGGUCUUCAUUUAUAACAAUGUGGAAUAGUUUCGCAACUCAUGCCACCCGGAACACCACAGCGUAAUGGUGUGUCCGAAUGUCGUAAUCGUACUUUACUAGAUAUGGUGCGACCUAUGAUGUCUCUUACCGAUUUACCGCUAUCGUUUUGGGGUUAUGCUUUAGAGACGACUACAUUCACGUUAAAUAGGGCACCAUCUAAAUCCAUUGAGACAACACCUUAUGAACUGUGGUUUGGCAAGAAACCAAAGUUGUCGUUUCUUAAAGUUUGGGGCCGUGAUGCUUAUGUGAAAAAGCUUCAACCUGAUAAGCUCGAACCCAAAUCGGAGAAAUGUGUCUUCAUAGGAUACCCAAAGGAGACUAUUGGGUACACCUUCUAUCACAGAUCUGAAGUCAAGACAUUCGUUGCUAAGAAUGGAUCCUUUCUAGAGAAGGAGUUUCUCUCGAAAGAAGUGAGUGGGAGGAAAGUAGAACUUGAUGAGGUAACUGUACCUGCUCCCUUAUUGGAAAGUAGUUCAUCACAGAAUCUGUUCCUGUGACUCCUACACCAAUUAGUGAGGAAGCUAAUGAUGAUGAUCAUGUAACUUCAGAUCAAGUUACUACCGAACCUCGUAGGUCAACCAGAGUAAGAUCCACACCAGAGUGGUACGGUAAUCCUGUUCUCGAGGUCAUGUUACUUGACCAUGACGAACCUACGGGCUAUGAGGAAGCGAUGAUGAGCCCAGAUUCCGCGAAAUGGCUUGAGGCCAUGAAAUCUGAGAUGGGAUCCAUGUAUGAGUACAAAGUGUGGACUUUCGUUGACUUGCCCGAUGAUCGGCAAGCCAUCGAGAAUAAAUGGAUUUUCAAGAAGAAGAUUGACGCUGACGGUAAUGUUACUGUCUACAAAGCUCGACUUGUUGCGAAAGGUUUUCGACAAGUUCAAGGAGUUGACUAUGAUGAGACCUUCUCACCCGUAGCGAUGCUUAAGUCCGUCAGAAUCAUGUUAGCAAUUGCUGCAUUUUAUGAUUAUGAAAUUUGGAAAAUGGAUGUAAAGACUGCAUUCCUGAAUGGAUUUCUGGAAGAAGAGUUGUAUAUGAUGCAACCUGAAGGUUUUAUGGAUCCAAAUGAUGCUAACAAAGUGUGCAAGCUCCAGCGAUCCAUUUAUGUACUGGUGUAAGCAUCUCGGAGUUGGAAUAAACGUUUUGAUAGUGUGAUCAAAGCAUAUGGUUUUAUACAGACUUUUGGAGAAUCCUGUAUUUACAAGAAAGUGAGUGAGAGCUCUGUAGCAUUCCUAAUAUUAUAUGUGGAUGACAUAUUGUUGAUUGGAAAUAAUAUAGAAUUUCUGGAUAGCAUAAAAGGAUACAUGAACAAGAGUUUUUCAAUGAAAGACCUCGGUGAAGCUGCUUAUAUAUUGGGCAUCAAGAUCUAUAGAGAUAGAUUGAGACGCUUAAUUGGCCUUUCACAAAGCACAUACCUUGAUAAAGUUUUGAAGAAGUUCAAAAUGGAUUAAGCAAAGAAAGGGUUCUUGCCUGUGUUACAAGGUGUGAAAUUGAGUCAGACUCAAUGCCCGACCACUGCAGAAUAUAGAGAGAAAAUGAAAGGUGUUUCCUAUGCUUCAGCCAUAGGCUCUAUCAUGUAUGCAAUGCUGUGUACCAGACCUGAUGUGUGCCUUGCUAUUAGUUUAGCAGGGAGGUACCAAAGUAAUACAGGAGUGGAUCACUGGACAGCGGUCAAGAACAUCUUGAAAUACUUGAAAAGGACUAAGGAUAUGUUUCUCAUUUAUGGUGGUGACAAAGAGCUCGUCGUAAAUGGUUACGUCGAUGCAAGCUUUGACACUGAUCCGGAUGAGUCCAAGUCACAAACCGGAUACAUGUUUAUAUUGAAUGGUUCCUACCCCUUGAGCACUGCGUUGGUUUUCCCUUGAAGAGGAAAGGGUGAUGCAGCAAAGUACCGUAAGUAUUUCCCUCAGUUUUUGAGAACCAAGGUAUGAAUCCAGUAGGAGGCCACGCACAAGUCCCUCGCACCUACACAAACAAAUAAAUCCUCGCAACCAACGCAAUAAAGGGGUUGUCAAUCCCUUCACGAUCACUUACGAGAGUGAGAUCUGAUAGAUAUGAUAAGAUAAUAUUUUUGGUAUUUUUAUGAUAAAUAUGCAAAGUAAAAUAAAAGCAAAAUAAAAGGCAAUGGAAAUAGCUUGUUGUUGGAAGAUUAAUAUGAUGGAAAAUAGACCCGGGGGCCAUAGGUUUCACUAGUGGCUUCUCUCAUGAGCAUAAGUAUUACGGUGGGUGAACAAAUUACUGUUGAGCAAUUGACAGAAUUGAGGAUAGUUAUGAGAAUAUCUAGGUAUGAUCAUGUAUAUAGGCAUCACGUCCGAGACAAGUAGACCGACUCCUGCCUGCAUCUACUACUAUUACUCCACACAUCGACCGCUAUCCAACAUGCAUCUAGAGUAUUAAGUUCAUAAGAACAGAGUAACGCUUUAAGCAAGAUGACAUGAUGUAGAGGGAUAAACUCAUGCAAUAUGAUAUAAACCCCAUCUUGUUAUCCUCGAUGGCAACAAUACAAUACGUGCCUUGCUGCCCCUACUGUCACUGGGAAAGGACACCGCAAGAUUGAACCCAAAGCUAAGCACUUCUCCCAUUGCAAGAAAGAUCAAUCUAGUAGGCCAAACCAAACUGAUAAUUCGAAGAGACUUGCAAAGAUAACCAAUCAUACAUAAAAGAAUUUAGAGAAGAUUCAAAUAUUGUUCAUAGAUAAACUUGAUCAUAAACCCACAAUUCAUCGGUCUCAACGAACACACCGCAAAAGAAGAUUACAUCGAAUAGAUCUCCACAAGAGAGGGGGAGAACAUUGUAUUGAGAUCCGAAAAGAGAGAAGAGGCCAUCUAGCUAAUAACUAUGGACCCGAAGGUCUGAGGUAAACUACUCACACAUCAUCGGAGAGGCUACGGUGUUGAUGUAGAAGCCUUCCGUGAUCGAUGCCCCCUCCGACGGAGCUUCGGAAAAGGCCCCAAGAUGGGAUCUCACGGGUACAGAAGGUUGCGGCGGUGGAAUUAGGUUUUUGGCUCCGUAUCUGGUAGUUUGGGGGUACGUCACUACAGGAAUCAGCUAUUUUGCCGUCUGCCAUGGCGGACGGCAAAGGCAUGAACGGCGGACGGCAAAGGCCUUUGUCGUCAGCCGCGGACGGCAAAAGGCUCCGGCAAAGUAGGCUACGGUAAACAGCUACUUUGCCGUCUGCUUCCGGGCGGCUGACGGCAAAGGCUCUUUGCCGUCUACCGCGGACGGCAAAGAGAGCGGACGGCAAUAAUUGCGCUGUCAGUCCGUUAAGUGUCUAACGGCAGGCCUUUGCCGUCCGCGGCAGACGGCAAACUUUCUAGUGUCUUUGCCGUCCGCCUUAUGAUGUCAUCUACACGUCACUACAUGGCAGGCCUUUGCCGUCCGCCGCUGACGGCAAAAUUGUUUACUCUUUGCCGUCUGCCACUGUAGGCAAACUGACCAAAUGGGUCAGCUCCCAGAAAGCACAGUUGGCUGCCACGUGGCUUCUUUGUCGUCCGCGGUAGACGGCAAAGAGCCCGUUGCCGUCGGUGGCAGACGACAAAGAGCCUGCAUAUUGGCUCUUUUUUCUGUUUUUUAUUAAAUCCAACAAUUUUCACAGCAAAUAUAUAUGAGAUAUAUAGAUAUAUUUCACAGGCAUUCAUAUCACAUAUAUCCAGCACAUAAGUUCCAUACAUUGAUACAUAAGCAAGUUCAAUCCAUACAUAUUACAUAAGCAACUUCCAUCCAUACAUAUUACAUAAGAAAGUUCCAUCCAUCAAUUCGUACAUAAACAAGUUCCAUCCAUACAUAAACAAGAAGACUAGAACAAGAAGAGUAGCUUCCAUGAAGUGAAUGAAAUCUGCAAAAUGGCAAAAUAAGAAAGUUAGAAAUAGGUGACUAGAACAAGAAGAGUAGAACAAGAAGAAGACUAGAACAAGAAGAGUAGAACAAGAAGAAGACUAGAACAAGAAGAGUAUGUCAUUUAUGAGCUAACUUACGUGAAAUGGAUCAUAUAUGAGCUAACUAAGUUGAAAUGGGUCGUUUAUGAGCUAGCUAAGGUGAAAUGGAUCAUUUAUGAGCUAACUUAGUUGAAAUGGGUCGUUUAUGAGCUAACUAAGGUCAAAUGGAUCGUUUUUGAGGUAACUAAGGUGAAAUGGAUCGUUUUUUAGCUAACUUAGGUGAAAUGGAUCAUUUAUGAGCUAACUUAGUUGAAAUGGAUCGUUUUUUAGCUAACUUAGGUGAAAUGGAUCAUUUAUGAGCUAAUUUAGUUGAAAUGGAUCUUUUUGAGCUAACUUAGGUGAAAUGGAUCAUUUAAGAGCUAAUUUAGGUGAAAUGGAUCGUUUUUUAGCUAACUUGGUGAAAUGGAUCGUCUAUGAGCUAAAUUAGCUGAAAUGGAUCGUUUAUGAGAUAACCUAGGUAAGAUGGGUCAUUUUGGAGUUAACCUAGGUGCAAUGGGUCAUUUUAAAGCUAACGUAGGUAAAAUGGAUCAUUUAGGAGCUAAUCUAGGUAAAAUGGGUCAUUUUUGAGCUAACUUGGAUGAACUGGAUCAUUUAUAAGCUAACCAAGGUAAAAUGGGUCAUUUUAGAGCUAACUUCGGUAAAAUGGAUCGUUUAUGAGCUAACUAAGCUAAUUAUGCAAUUUUUGACAUAAGUAAGCUAAGUACAGAUCGUUUUAGAGCUAACUUAGGUAAAAUGGAUGGUUUUGGAGGUCAAUAAGCUUAUUAAGUCAUUUUGGAGGAGAAGAAGCUAAGUCUAGGUCAUUAUGGUAAGCAUUGGAGGAAAUAAAGCUAAGUCUAGGUCUUUAUGCAUGUGUUAAGCAAAACACUAGAUAAACUUACCAAGAUCCAGGAGGUGUAGGAGCAGGCUGGCUCGUGUCGGUAGCUGGAGAAGGAUCGUGCGAUGCUUGUCUGGAGUUACGCUGCACCAAAGAUCAUUUCCAAUGUCUUGUUAGCAUGAUGACACUCAAAUGUUAAGACUAGCAAGUAAUGUCCAUUCAAAUUAAACUCACCGUGGUCCCAGGAGCAAUCACUGGCAUCGGCGGAGCGGUCUGACCGGUCUUCUCGCACACAGACUGCACAUUUGGUUUUGACGACUCAGUCAUACUAGUUAGUAAUGAGACAAACACUACAUGAAUGUUUUGGCUAAUCUGCAGAAGAAACUUACCACAAGGAGCUCGUACAUGGCCCUUGCCUGCAUGUCAUUCCAUGCCCUCUCCUCCUCCAUCAUCUUUGUCGUCCUCUCCUCCAACUCCCGCUGCCUCUCCGCCGCCUCUGCCAGAAGUUUCUCCGUUCUAUCUCUCUCACUCUGUAUAGCAGCCUGCAACACCACUCACAUGACCAUUUGUAAUCAUUGAUGGAAGCGCACACAAUGUAAUGGAGAAAGAUAGCUGAGUACGUAUCACUAACCUUGAUGGCGAGUUGCACUGGCCGUUCACGAGGCCUUAUCUCAGGAGCGGAGCUCGACUGGCGCGCCUUGAUCUCCGGGAGAGUGCUAGAACAACGGAUAAGUCCAUCUCCAAUGGCUAUGGAGCCAUGGGACCUCCCGCCACCAGAUAUCAUCACCAGCUCUGGAUCAAUGGGACCCUGGCUCGGGUUAAAGUCCUCCCCUUUCCUCGCCUUCCCCUCAUCUCUAUAUCUCACGAGCUUGUUGUGGGAGGAGAUUUUGGUGAAGUUGUUUGCAUCAUCGAGGUCAGACUGAGAGAAAGCCUUGACUUUCUUGAAAGAGGCAGUGUGGGCCAUGGCAUACAGGUCGUACACCUCUGGCACCUUAUCCACCUUAUUGUGGCGUGCCUGAAAGAGAGAAACAAUGUAAAUUAGUAAUUAAAGGGCUCAAGCUAGCAUGAUGAAUGAAUUGCAUGAAUCAUGAAGCAAACCACAUACCCAGUUCCGCCCGAACUGAUAUAAGUUGGAGCUGCCUUGAUGGUGUGGCACACCUUCCAUUUGGGCACGUUUGUCCUUGGCCUCGUUGUGGAGGGCUAGCCAUUCUUUUGAGCACCACUCAUUGACCAACACCUCCCAACAAUCCAUCCGAUCCGCACACCAUCUCGGAGGCGCCUAAGUUAGAAAAUAGAAACUUGAGCGCUACGGCUAAGAAUUACUAAAUGAAGGAACUUAAGUAGAAGGCCUUAAGAAUUACCUUCAUGUACUGCUCCUUACUCAGGAACUUAUCGCGGCACGCCGGCUUGGUCUUCUUGAUACCACGCAAGGCGUAGUAGUCUCGAACAGCCUGCACCCGAGCCUCGUGCCGUAAGUUCUGUAGUAGGCGCUUGCAGACGUUCUCGAUAACAUGUGCCGCGUCCUCCUCGUAUCCCUCCUCACACCUGUAGAAUGUCUGCAAUCAAAUGAGACAAUAUUGAUUAGUACAAUUAAUAACUAGCUAGUUGAAGAUUUUUAAAUGUGUAAAGGAGAAAUUACCCAGAACUUUCUGAUCACCAUGUCUGCCCUCGUGUCGCACAAGACACCGUCGAUAAUCUCAUCCGGCGGGGCCGGGCAGCCAAGUAGUGCUCCCAGCUCAAUCCAAGCUCUGGAAGCCGACCCUCACCAGGCAACGUGACAAACCCCGGGAAGUUUUGCCGGCAAAGAACUCCAAGGACGGAGUUGGGCCGGCGGACACUAUGAUGGUGGUCCCAACCCCUGCAGCAUGACAAGGCCAACGCAUUAGUUAUUUGAAGAAACGUGAAUGCAGAAGGUACAAAAAUAUUAAAUGCACUUACGUACCUCUCCCCAUCAGGGAAAAUCAACCACCUCUGCUCGCGGGUCGCCGGCACGGACGGGAGCCGUGUAGCACCACGCUGGUAGACAGUGCCCCCCUCCUCCUCAAUAUCAGUCGGCUCCCCGCCAUCAUCAGCAUGGCCACUCGGCUCCUCGGGCUGAUCCGGCCAGGUACCCCAUCCGGACGUGUGCUCCUCUGGGGUCUCGUGGGCCGAAGGCCAGUCGACCCGAGGCUCGUGGGCCCAAGACCCGUGGACCGGAGUCCGUGUAGCCUCCUCCUCGGACGAGUCCACCCUAGCAGUCACGUGCUCGGGUGAAACAGCUGGGGGUGGCGGCGAGGAAGGCGUCGUAGCAGUCACCCUACCUCCUCUCCCGCGACCACGUGCCCCACCUCCUCUCUUCCUACCUCGUCCCCUGCUGGGCACCGCGGUCGACGAAGAAGGGCCCGGCGGUGUGGCCAUACUGUCCAGCAACGCUCGGCGGAGAGGUGCGUCUGGAAUGGAAGACCUCAGACCACGCGCCGACGAAGAAGGGGCCUUGGCGCGCUCCCGACCAGCGCCCGCCAUCUUUCAACACCUGCCAUGACAAACAGUAAACGAAAUUAGUACAACAUAAAAAAAAGACCGACAUGAAUAAUAAUAUGUGUAUCACUUAAGUGUAUCAUCAUCAAGUACAACAUAAAAAAAUUUAAUACCUGACACUACUAAUAAUCUCGAUCAGUAUCAUCAAUAAAUGCAUAAUCAACAUCAUCAAUAUAAUCAAUGACGGGCUCAUAGGGUUCAGUGGCAUCAACAUGUGGAAGGCCACCUUGACGUAAUCGGUCAAGCAAUGACAGGUCAUCCGCAGCAGUAACCUCUUCUUGUUCCGGCUCUUCUUGUUCCUCCUCUGGGGUGAUGUCGGAUUCACUGUCGCUGUCUACUUCAAUGUUUUGGGGUGAAGUAUAGCGGUUCCUGAAACGCUUUUUGGAAAAACGUGUCUCUUGGAAGAAUUCUCCUUCAUAUGUGUCUGGUUUAAUGUGAGGUUCAUAAUCCUCUUCCUUUGGGGGAGAUAGUCUAGCACAUGGCGGCACUUCAUAAACGACAUCCCAACCUUUCAGAUUUGGAUUAGUUUGGUAGGCCCACGGUAGAUAGAAUACUUGGGUCGCCUGUUGAGCCGUAAAAUAGACAUCAGGAACAUCGAAAUGGGUGCUUUGGUUGAUUUCAACUAGCCCUAUAUGUUCAUGAGUCCUUCUAGUCUCCUUCGGCUGAAACCAAUAACAUUUGAAGACUACGACAUUCGGUGGGUUUUCACCAUAGAAUAGAAGUUCAUAAAUUGCUUCAACUCUCCCAUAAUACUCGGUACCUCCUUCGCCGAUAGCAGAUACACAACAAUUUGUAGACUUUCGGUCGGCCAUAGAUAGCUCUUUGCCAUAGGUACGAAAGCGAUACCCGUUGAUGUCGUAUUUGUCAAAUGAACGGACCUUAUAGUCAAAACCAUUAGCGACUUGUCUCAAUUCGGCGUCCAUAGACUCUGAAUUAGCCUACAAGUUUAAUAUGAAAGGAUUGUUGCAUUACGCACAAAUUAGCGAAUGAAAUGAAAUUGUCUAAUAGAAAUUACCGUUUGUUUGAACCAAGAGAUGAAACCGGGAUAGCCGCCUCCUUGCUUUGCGAGAAGCUCAUACUCUUCGACAAAAUCCUUUUGGAUCACCGCUCCAUACGAGAAUAAGGCGACGUAUCGACUGUAUGAAAUAUCCAGGAAUAAGAGCAGUUCAAAGGAAAUAGAAGUUGCAAAACUAUGUACCGAGAACUUACUCGAUGUCCGGCCGCACUUCUAUCAGGUUGUUGAAGAUGUACAACGAAAUGGUCCGCCAUUGUUCGUUAUCCAAAGAUACUGGAUUUGAAACACUGGCUGGUGCGAGAUUCCCUUUGAAUAGGCUGAGGUUGGAUCCACCCUUUUUCGGGUCGUCAGCAUUGUACCGAGGCUUCGGAUUAUGCAAAUGACGAUUUUUGGCUUCGUAGUGUGCUGUCACGAAGUUUGCCGCCUCCUCAGUGAUGAAUGCCUCAGCCAUCUAUGCUUCAAUUCUACGUUUAUUUUUACAUUUUUGUCGAAGCGUCUUCUGCAUCCUCUCGGUUGGGUAGCACCAACGAUUUUGCACGGGCCCCCCUAAUCUUGCCUCGGUCGGGAGAUGCAAAAUCAAAUGUUGCAUUGGAUUAAAGAAGCCCGGUGGAAAGAUCUUCUCUAACUUGCAGAUCAACUCCGUCGCCAACUCUUCCAUUUCUUCUAGCACGCCAGGCGAUAGUUCUUUCGCACAAAGAACACGGAAGAGAUAGCUGAGUUCUGCCAGUGCUGGCCAUUCAUCCUCAGGGAUGAAGCCACGCAACAUCACCGGCAUUACCCGCUCAAUCCAUAUGUGCCAAUCAUGACUCUUGAGACCAAAUAUCUUCAAUUUAUCAAGACUGGCUCCCCUCUUUAGAUUCACUGCAUACCCAUCGGGGAACAUCAACUGCAUUUUCACCCACAAGAUAAUUUCCCUCAUAGCUGGCCUUCCAAGAUUGAACCAUGCCUUUGGCUUCGUCCAGUUCUGCUUUCCUUUCGGUUCUUUCAUGUUUUGUAACGGCCUAUCACAUAGCGCCUCCACAUCGACUCUAGCCUUAGUAUUAUCCUUUGACUUCCCAUCUAUGCCGAACAAUGUACCAAAAAGUGCCUCGGCGAUAUUCUUCUCAGUGUGCAUCACGUCGAUGUUGUGCGGGCAAAGGAAGUCUUUGAAGUAAGGCAGAUCCCAUAAGCAUGUUUUGUGAGUCCAGGCGUGCUUAGAAUUAUACCCCUUGAAGUACCCUGGACGCUCUGGAUCUGGCUCGAGAGCGUUUAACAGAUCCAGGGUCUGUUGGCCUGUCAAUGCAGGUGGUGCAGAGUUUUUGACAACUCUACCUCUGAUGAAGUUCUUCUUGUCUUUCCUGAACUUAUGGCGAGGAUUCAGGAACUGUCUAUGCAUGUCGAAGCAAGAAAACUUGCGACCGGCCUGAAGCCAACGAAACUCAAGAGCUUCCUUGCAUGUGGGGCACGGGAACCUUCCAUGCACACACCAGCCAACGAAUAGCGCAUACGCCGGCAACUCAUGCAUCGAGUACAUGUACCAGACACGCAUUAUGAAGUUCCGUUUGCUAUAGGCGUCGUAUGUCUUGAACCCAUUAUCCCAGGCUUCUUGCAAUUCGUCCUUAAGCGGCUGCAUGUACACAUUCAUAUUUUUCCCCGGAUAGUUGGGCCCUGGAAUUAUCAACGUCAGGAAAAUGUUCUUUCUUUGCAUAAUCUGUCCGGGGGGGAGAUUGAGUGGAAAGACAAAUACGGGCCAACAACUGUAUUGGGCUGCCGUCAUACCAAACACACUGAACCCAUCCGUUCUGAUGCCGACUCGAGGAUGCCUCGGAUCUGCCGCUUUGUCACCAUGUAAUUCAUCAAACUUUUUCCACGCAACACCAUCCGAUGUGUGUACAAUCAUCAGAUUCCCAUCUGCAUCUAGUUCGGUCCUUUUGCCUGUUCUAUGCCAUGUCAUCUGUCUGGCCAUCUCUUCGACCAUGAAAAGACGUUGAAGUCUUGGUACGAUUGGCAUAUACCGAAGAACACUAACGGGGAUUUUGGUCUGUGUCUUCUCACCCAUACCGUUGUCUACGACAACAUACCUGGAAGACUUGCAAAUGGGACAAUAGUUCAAGUCUGCAUAGUCAAGCCCAAACAAGACACGUCCUUUCUCACAGGCAUGUAUCUUAUCAUAGGGCAUCUUCAGUGCACGGAGGAUUUUGUCCGACUGGUACAGGUUUGCAGGCAUUACAUGGCCUUUGGGUAGAAAGCGUCCAAAUACUGUCAUCAUUGCAUCGUAGCAUUCUCUGCCCAAGUUGAACUGAGCCUUCAGAGCCAUUACUUGUGAGAUGGCAUCCAACUGACAAAGCUCAGUGUGCUCAUGGAGCGGACGUUUUGAAGACUCCAACAUUUCAUUGAAGGCCUUUGCAGAUUCCUCCAUCUCCUCGUCCGAAUCCCGAGCAUCAUCGAAGUCUUGCACCAUGUUUUCCAUCCCGGUACCAUGCUCGUCGGUGCAACGACGAUCCACCUCAGCUCGGUCACGUUGGGCAGACUCACCAUGAAAUGUCCACACCGUAUAAUCGGGCGUAAAACCACUCUUCUGCAGGUGUUUGCCCAUUUCAGCCUCUGUCCUCUUUUCCCAAUUGCCGCACCGUAAACAGGGGCACCAGGUUUUCCUCUGGCCAUUUGCAAAUGCGGCUCACACAAACCCCUUGGUUUUUGUGAACCAUUCAGUGCUCCAUUUGUUCUGACCAGUGUGACAGGUGUACAUCCACGCACGAUCACUCAUCUUGACUUUCAGAGAUACUAGACACACAACAAAUAUAUAUAUAUAUAUAUAAUUCACCAUGUAUAUAUUCAUCAGUUGAUCUACUUUGUCAAUUUUAUUACGUCCAUGCAACCUACACUCUAAUAGGUAAUGAUAGGUCCUAAUCCCACCCGAGUAUGUUUAGGUUGGGUUCAUUUUCCCAUGCUAUGCUCCGGAUCCUACGCAAAAUUUCAGCAGCACCUCCCCGCUGUUCUCCUGAUACACGUCUCUGCAAUAAACAGAGAGGAUGUGUACCCGGAGAACAACAGGGGAGGCACUGACGAAACUUAUGCGUCAGAUCCGGAGCAAAGCAUAUGGGAAAACGAACCCAAUCAAAACAUACUCGGGCUGUCCAUGGAUAGCGUUGGACAAUUCGAAAGAAUCAAGGUUAUAAAUAUGCAAAUGCAUGCAUAUUUAUAACUAUGACGCUUUCGAACGGGAGACACAUAUUGGUUACGCAUACUGAUGAUUCAAGACACAUAUAUAGCUAGCUAUCAAGUUUCAUCGGCACGAACACCGGAACAGAGCAAAUAAUUAACGGUGGAGGAGGACAUGUCAUUUGUGCUCACCCACGAACGAAGGGGCAGAGCUCGUCAAACGCACGGCGAGGUCGUCGACCACCAAACCUCGCAGCGAUGAAACAACUGCACAUUGAAAUCUACCCGAUCAACACAAUUAUAUAUGAUGUUUUCGUAACAAAAUCGAAAAAUAUAUGACCUAACUAAUAAUUCACAAAUAUAUGACCCUGUCAGGGUGUCGGGGUCGGGGUGUGGGUCGGGGUGUGGUGUCAGGGUGUCGGUGGUCGGGGUAAGGGUGGGUGUGGUGUCAGGGUGUCGGUGUCGGGGUGUCGUGUNNNNNNNNNNNNNNNNNNNNNNNNNNNNNNNNNNNNNNNNNNNNNNNNNNNNNNNNNNNNNNNNNNNNNNNNNNNNNNNNNNNNNNNNNNNNNNNNNNNNNNNNNNNNNNNNNNNNNNNNNNNNNNNNNNNNNNNNNNNNNNNNNNNNNNNNNNNNNNNNNNNNNNNNNNNNNNNNNNNNNNNNNNNNNNNNNNNNNNNNNNNNNNNNNNNNNNNNNNNNNNNNNNNNNNNNNNNNNNNNNNNNNNNNNGGGGUGCCGGUGGUCUUCUUCUUCUCCUCCUCUCCUCUAGCUUUCUCCUCCUCGUCAUCCUCUCCUCUUUCUUCUUCUUCUUCUUCUUCUUCUUCUUCUUCUUCUUCUUCUUUCUUCUCCUCCUCCUCCUCCUCCUCUUCUUCUUCUUCUUCUUCUUCUUCUCCUUUUUCCUCUUCUUAAACCUAGCACUAAGUAACCUAAAACAAAACAGGAAAAAACUACACCUAAACCUAGCUAUUCUUCUUCUCCUCCUCUUCUUCUAAUUAUUCUUAGUUUUUUUAUUACUAAACAUAAACCUAAAACUAAACUAAACCUAAGACCAAACUAAAAGUAAUCUAAACUAAACUAAAUAUAAAACCAAACUAAAAGUAAUCUAAACUAAACUAAAUCUAAAACUAAACUAAAAGUAAUCUAAACUAAAAAACAGAAGAAAAAAAGGAAAAAAAAAGGAGAAGAGGGGUGGAGCUCACCUGCGGCAGGGGUGGGAGGCUUGUGGCACGCUGCCAGGGCCCAGGGGCGCUGGGCGGUGGGGUUGCUCGCCGACGGAGGGGCGCUGGCCGACGGANNNNNNNNNNNNNNNNNNNNNNNNNNNNNNNNNNNNNNNNNNNNNNNNNNNNNNNNNNNNNNNNNNNNNNNNNNNNNNNNNNNNNNNNNNNNNNNNNNNNNNNNNNNNNNNNNNNNNNNNNNNNNNNNNNNNNNNNNNNNNNNNNNNNNNNNNNNNNNNNNNNNNNNNNNNNNNNNNNNNNNNNNNNNNNNNNNNNNNNNNNNNNNNNNNNNNNNNNNNNNNNNNNNNNNNNNNNNNNNNNNNNNNNNNNNNNNNNNNNNNNNNNNNNNNNNNNNNNNNNNNNNNNNNNNNNNNNNNNNNNNNNNNNNNNNNNNNNNNNNNNNNNNNNNNNNNNNNNNNNNNNNNNNNNNNNNNNNNNNNNNNNNNNNNNNNNNNNNNNNNNNNNNNNNNNNNNNNNNNNNNNNNNNNNNNNNNNNNNNNNNNNNNNNNNNNNNNNNNNNNNNNNGGCGGGGGGUACGGGCCGUUAGGUGCUCUCCUCUUUGCCGUCCGCCAAUCUUUGUCGUCCGCCUUUUUGUCUCUUUGCCGUCUACUAGACGGCAAAGAGGUGGGGCGUUAAGUUUUUUCCAAACGGGCGGGGGGUGGGGGCCACCUCUCUCUUUGCCGUCUGCCAGCGGACGGCAAAGAGCUCGUAGAUGGCAAAGACCUGUUUUGUCGUCUGCCAUUUCUUUGCCGUCUGCUUUUGGGUAGCUGAUGGCAAAGAGCUUCUUUGUCGUCAGCUAGCAGACGGCAAAGAGCUGGCAGAUGGCAAAUUAGCUGAUUCCAGUAGUGCGUAGGUAUAUAUAGGAGGAAGAAGUACGUCGGUGGAGCAACAUGGGUCCCACGAGGGUGGAGGGCGCGCCCUUGGGGGGCGGGGGUAGGCGCGCCCCCCUACCUCGUGCCUUCCUGGUUGAUGUCUUGAUGUAGGGUCCAAGUCCUCUGGAUCACGUUCGUUCCGAAAAUCACGUUCCCGGAGGUUUCAUUCCGUUUGGACUCCGUUUGAUAUUCCUUUUCUGCGAAACUCUGAAAUAGGCAAAAAACAGCAAUUCUAGGCUGGGCCUCCGGUUAAUAGGUUAGUCACAAAUAUAAUAUAAAAGUGUAUAAUAAAGCCCAUUAAUGUCCAACACAGAAUAUAAUAUAGCAUGGAACAAUAAAAAAUUAUAGAUACGUUGGAGACGUAUCAACGGUGGAGCUAUCAGUUGGUGCAGUUCUAAGCAAAGCAUCGUGGCGGGAUCUACGUGUGAAGCGGAGUACAUAGCUGCUUCGGAAGCAGCAAAUGAAGGAGUCUGGAUGAAGGAGUUCAUAUCCGAUCUAGGUGCCAUACCUAGUGCAUCGGGUCCAAUGAAAAUCUUUAUGACAAUAUUGGUGCAAUUGCCUUGGCAAAGGAAUCCAGAUUUCACAAGGGAACCAAGCACAUCAAGAGACGCUUCAAUUCCAUCCGCGAUCAAGUUAAGGAGGGAGACAUGGAGAUUUGCAAGAUACAUAUGGAUCUGAAUUUUGCAGACCCGUUGACUAAGCCUCUCUCACGAGCAAAACAUGAUCAGCACCAAGACUCCAUGGGUGUUAGAAUCAUUAUUGUGUAAUCUAGAUUAUUGACUCUGGUGCAAGUGGGAGACUGAAGGAAAUAUGCCCUAGAGGCAAUAAUAAAGUUGUUAUUUAUAUUUCCUUAUAUCAUGAUAAAUGUUUAUUAUUCAUGCUAGAAUUGUAUUAACCAGAAACUUAGUACAUGUGUGAAUACAUAGACAAACAGAGUGUCACUAGUAUGCCUCUACUUGACUAGCUCGUUGAAUCAAAGAUGGUUAAUUUUCCUAGCCAUAGACAUGACUUGUCAUUUGAUUAACGGGAUCACAUCAUUAGAGAAUGAUGUAAUUGACUUGACCCAUUCCGUUAGCUUAGCACUUGAUCGUUUAGUAUAAUUGCUAUUGCUUUCUUCAUGACUUAUACAUGUUCUUAUGACUAUGAGAUUAUGCAACUCCCGAAUACCGGAGGAACACUUUGUGUUCUACCAAACGUCACAACGUAACUGGGUGAUUAUAAAGGUGCUUUACAAGUGUCUCCAACGGUGUUUGUUGAGUUGGCAUAGAUCGAGAUUAGGAUUUGUCACUCCGAUUGUCGGAGAGGUGUCUCUGGGCCCUCUCGGUAAUGCACAUCAGUAUAAGCCUUGCAAGCAAUGUGACUAAUGAGUUACUUGCGGGAUGAUGCAUUACAGAACGAGUAAAGAGACUUGCCGGUAACGAGAUUGAACUAGGUAUUGAGAUACCGACGAUCGAAUCUCGGGCAAGUAACAUACCGAUGACAAAGGGAACAACGUAUGUUGUUAUGCGGUUUGACUGAUAAAGAUCUUCAUAGAAUAUGUGGGAGCCAAUAUGAACAUCCAGGUUCCGCUAUUGGUUAUUGACCGGAGACGUGUCUCGGUCAUGUCUACAUAGUUCUCGAACCCGUAGGGUCCGCACGCUUAACGUUUGGUGACGAUCGGUAUUAUGAGUUUAUGUGUUUUGAUGUACUGAAGGUAGUUCGGAGUCCCGGAUGAGAUCAUGGACAUGACGAGGAUUCUCGAAAUGGUCGAGACAUAAAGAUUGAUAUAUUGGACGACUAUAUUCGGACACCGGAAGUGUUCCGGGGGUCACCGGAUAAUUAUCGGAGUGCCGGGGGUUAUCGGAACCCCCGAGGGAACUAAUGGGACAACGUGGGCCUUGUGAGAGAGAUAGGAGGAGGCCUUAGGGCUGGCCGCCACCCCCCCCCCUUGAGGAGUCCGAAUUGGACAAGGAGGGGGGGCGCCCCCUCUUUCCCUCCCUCUCUCCCUGUCCUUCCUUCCCCCUUCCUCCUCCUAGUUGGACUAGGAAAGGGGGAGUCCUACUCCUACUAGGAGGAGGACUCCUCCCCUCCUUGGCGGGCCCAAGGGCCGGCCGGCCUCCCCCCUUGCUCCUUUAUAUACGAGGCAGGGAGGGCACCCAAGAACACACAACAGACAUUGCUCUUAGCCGUGUGCGGUGCCCCCCCCCUCCAUCAUAAUCCACCUCGGUCAUAUCGUUGCAGUGCUUAGGCGAAGCCCUGCGCUGGUAGCUUCAUCAUCAUUGUCAUCACGCCGUCGUGCUGACGAAGCUCUCCCUCGACACUCUACUGGAUCAUGAGUUUGUGGGACGUCACCGAGCUGAACGUGUGCAGAUCGCGGAGGUGCCGUACUUUCGGUGCUAGGAUCGGUCGAUCGUGAAGACGUACGACUACAUCAACCGCGUUGUCAUAACACUUCCGCCUACGGUCUACGAGGGUACGUACACAACACCCUCCCCUCUCGUUGCUAUGCAUCACCAUGAUCUUGCGUGUGCGUAGAAUUUUUUGAAAUUACUACGUUCCGCAACAGAUGGAUCGUGUGCUGGGUUCGUGGUUCGUGGAUGGCUGGUAUGAUUUUCUGAUUCGACGUCUUAGUCGUGUGGGGGCGCUAGAUCUGAAGUUUGAUGGCGUGUCCGAAGUAGUGCCCCGGUCUGAUUAGUUCAACGGUAAUGGUUUUGUCUUUGGUGAGCCACCUUGGAAGUCCCAAAACUGCAAAUCAGCGAUGGAGCCGCAUCGAACUCGGGUGUAAAGGUGAUCCGUUAUUCUUUUUUCUUUGGUGGCUACUGUCAUGGUGUGAGAGAGAGGCGUUGGUGUCAAUCUCAGAGGAUUUUUUAGUCUUGAUUGUAAUUUUACUUCUUGCUGAUAUUCCUUUGUGCAAAUGAUAGCAUUUUACUGUUUUUCCCACUUUGUCAGGUUGGUCUAUACAUGGCUUGUACUAUGAUUUUGACGAUAUAAUGAGACACUAUUAUACCAUGCAAAAAAGAAUAACUUUUGGCCCAACUCACCAGUUAUCAAGAUCCAUAUACGGGUAUCGCACACCUCUCUUUGAGAAAAAAAGGAUCUGGGCGAUCUCAUCUGCCCACAACUUCACCGGCCAUGUUGUUGCCCGUUGUUCCCUGCCUCAUUUGUCGGCCAGUCCGGCGAAAGGAGGGGGUAGGGACCCUGGUGCUUCGGCAUCUGGACUGUAGUUAGGGUUGGCCUAGUGCUUCCUUGAGCGGUGCUUCCAUGGAGGAGACGACGCUGCGUCGGAAUAAAUUGCCUCUGCUCUUCCUCCACGGCGUCGUUCCAACCGGUGGCCGGCGAGAUUUGUGAUCUGGCGGUUGGCCGUCGACACUCUCGCGGAUGGCUGUUGUAGUUAUGUUUGAUGUCUUGCACUUUGGUGCGUGGAUGACGGCAGGCGGUGACGUUCCUCUUUGACUACAUUGGAUGAAGUUGACAGCGUCAAGAUCUGAUGACCACGGGGAAGAUCCCCGGCCGACGUGUCACAAAAUCUCGGUCUUGUCGCUUACCACGGCCCGAUUUUCCACAAUCACGUCCAUGUCUUGCCGUGUAUAAUAUGAUACGCCCGUGAGCUGUUGGUCGCCCGAUGGCUGUCGAGCAUCUCGUAUGGCACAACACAGUUGUAGGGAGGCCACUGCAUCGAUGACUGAUGGCAGAUUUGCAAAGGCCACGAGGCCUUUCAUGUUCUACACAGACUGAAUAGUGAACACUACAACAACUCAACUCUGAAAGAGACAUUCGCAAAAAAAAACUCAACUCUGAAAGAGCAAAAGAGGUGCACAGUUACAAAUCACACUGAAAUAGGUUUCACUUGGAUGUACAGAGAGAGCAGCACCUUGCCAUGAAGGCAUGCAGCAGUACAUUAAUUAUAACAAACAAACGGGACAUUUACGAAUUUUGCAAGGUCGAUAUUUAUCGUUAUUGCCUGUGUUUUCAGCUCAUCAGAUUGUAGUACCAUCUCCGCAACUGUCUUUGAUGUCUCCAAUGCAAGGAUAAGAAACUUUCAACCGCAAGCUUCUGGCAACGAAUGCAAACUAAUGAAGCACAACUCCCUGCCGACCAGAAGAUCCACUGGAGGCUCCCAGUAUACAGCCAUCUACAGGAGCAGCCCAUAGUGUUUGCUGCUCCUUUUUUGUAGGUUAUAAUUAACCUUGGGCUUCUACCUGGGGAAGUUUUUACAGUGUGCACUUUGGGUUCGGUUCUCUUGUGAAAAAAACAGUUCAGUAUUCUGCAUUUUUCUCCUGAUAAUUGAAUUCAGCUACUGAAGUAACAUCAGUGUGAGCUAAUUAGGUAAGACUGCAUACAGUGACCUCGAACAGAUAUAGACCUAUGUGAAGAAUUUAUAAAGUGAGAACUUGUGGUUGUGCAUGCAACUGUCACCCACUGGUCAAUGUUCCAACUAUCACUCUAAAUUGUCAGCUUACUCUGGCAUGAGGCCAACUCCACCGCGCGACCCCAAACGAACGUCCGCUUUGCCCGGAUUCUGUCCGUUUGGGUAGGGCAAUGGGGUCGUGUCCGAGCCGUUUUUGGAUGCGGUGGCCGUGCGCCCAACGCGCGGACGCAUCCCGGCCGCAUCCUGUCUGCGUACUUUUUUCUUUGCAACCCCUUAAACUUUUUUUCAUCAUUCAUUCUUGGUACAUGGGAAUACAUCACCAAAUUUUGACUAGAAAAGUAAGACCAAAGAUAACAAGAACCACAAGAAUACAUUUUAGAAGAUAUUCAACUUCCAUAACUGCUCUUGUAAGUUGGAUUAGCGUCUUCUCGAUGCAUUCAUUGUUGAUCUGCGGAGGAGCCACCUCCAUCUUGCAUGUUUCUUUCUUCUUCGAGUCUAAAGAAGUCGAUGUUGCUUCCUCGCAUCUAGUCUCGUGUCUAGCCUCUAAUCUAGCAACAAGUGCACUUGUCUCAUCUACAGCCUCUAUGCUAGCUAAAAGUGCAUGAACAUCUACUAAAUUGCGCUCUAUCAAUAUAUCGAUAUACUCUUCUUCCUAAUACCAAAACUUGCAUCCAUUCUACACAACAAAAUUUGAAGUUAGCACAACUAGUCAAAUCUAGAGCACAACCCGAAGCUAAAAAGAGCACAUACCCCAUCGUUUAAGCACUUGAUGAACACCCAUCAGGGAUGUUCCGGCAUUGUAGACACACGGCGCACGACCUUCUUUGGGCAGUGGUCGCACUUAAUGAGCGGUAACGGUGCGCCGACGAGGUUUUGGGCUAGCACCGAGCCCGGCCAACCGCCAUUCGUGUAUCUGCCGGCGGACCACCGACGGUGUAGAUCCGAGCGGCUAGAGGAGGAGCCACUGCCUGCAUGUGGCCUUGCGGCCCUGCCAGGGCCUUCCGGCCCGGUGCCAGGCCAGUCCAUGGCGCGGCUCAGCCUCCCACACCCGGGCGAGCUCAAGAUCGACCGGAUCCGCCCCAAAUCCGGACGGCGGGUGCGCAAAUCAAGUGGUCGUGGUUGGGUAGCUCGGGGGCGCCGAGGGGAAGGGGCUGGGCGAGUGCGCGUCCGAGCUGCACAGCUACAAUGGCAGCGGCGGCGGCGGCGGCGGUGAGGGAAGAGUGGGGAAGAGUGGAGAAGAAUGGAGGGCGUGCGGCCGGAGGGAGGGAGGGGGGCGGAUGAAAAAAGGCGCCCCUGUACCACCGACGGGCGGGCCAGGGGAGGACACGCGCAGACGGCCCGCGCGUCCAGGUGCUGUCCGUUUCACCCCAAAAACGGCGCAAACUUGGGCCGGGGAUGGGUCGAAAGCGGAUAGAAAACAGACAAAAGUCUGUUUGCGCCCGCGCGCUGGGCCGUCUGGUUCGUCCGUUUUACCCCAAACGGACGCGUGCGAACAGGAUGGGGUCGCGCGGUGGAGUUUGCCUGAUCUCUCUAUGAUCAUGUUCAUUCUGAACAUAUAUGUUCCAUAGUAUGUCCAAUCAACAAAUGUAGUAUCUCACUACUGGAUCAAUAAAUCUAGAAAAAUUUCAGGUUGCCGACUUGCCGUACAACUCAUCGGAACAAGGCAAUCAUGACCAUGUCCAAUUCUCGCUAUAAUGGCAAGCCUAUUAGUCCCCAAUAAGGCAUACCUAACCAGAUAUAGUAGGUUGAUGAAGCAAAAUCAAUUAUAACAGAAGCUUUCUUUGGGACAUUGAAUAUGAUGGAAUCAUUUAAUUUAACGAGUAGUGCUCCAAGGUCCUCUAAAAAUCAGCCUCUGUUCAUUGUCAGCUUCAACAAAGGAUGGAAACAUAAAGCACCCUAAAUAUUGACCACUAGAUAAAAAGGGAAAAAUUCAAUUCUUCAGUUCAGGAAAUAUAGUGACAUGAGGCAUAUAGAUUGCUAAUAAUUUGGUACAGAGAAGACCACUAGAUAAUUUAAAUAAAGCAAAACCAAUUCUUGAGACAACGAAAAUUCACACAUGAGUCAGUUCAAUCGGCACAUAUUUCGAAAGCAGAGCAAAAUUAGUUUCUAAUUUUACCAUUAAUACAACAUAAGUCUCUUCAGCCCCAAGGAUGGUAGGACAAGCAUAGAGCUCAUGAAAAUGCAACCACAUAACAGUCACAACUUCCAGUCAUAAUUUGUAUACAUCAAUGCAAAAGAAAGAAGUGGCCAGCAGGAUCAUACUCGAUCCAAUUCAUAGAUACCGGAUAUACAACAUCUGGGCCGUUAAGAAGCACCGCCUCACUCAACAGGCGUCAGAUGAAAGGCGAAGCGUUGAUAGCAUAACCUUCUAGAGCCGGAAAGAAGGUAUGCUUAACAAGACUCUCCUUGAUCCGAGCUCCAGGCAUAGAGAAGCUCCGGUGACCGCGAUGGAAACUGCCAACCAAUUUGCCAGCACAAUUAAAAUGAAGCAGGCACCCAUAAGCACUGACCAGCAAGAGCACACCACCAUCCACCGAAACAACGUCCACAUUCCGGUGGUCGGCACAAGCUCCAAACCAAGGUUUUGGAUCCCAAGCGGUCCCUUUUUCUCGAGGGUCACCGGAAUUUGCGGUUACCACGGUAACCGCGAAAUUCCGAAAAAAACUCGGGCGAAAUUUAAAAUCAAAAUUUGAAUUCAAAUAUUUUUGACGUCGAUAUACCAAGCAUUUUACUCAUAAGUGCAACGAACCAUUCCCUGGCGUAGUGGUUAUAAACUUUUGCUUUUUUUCCAAAAAAAAUAUACACCUGCGCGAGGCCAAACUCGAACCCGCGACUAGCUAAUAAGGUAAGCAGGCCUUUGCCACUAGGCCACCACCAGUUCUGAUUGUAUAGAAGAGAUGCCGCUUAUUUAUGUGGACAGUAAGCGUUUGAAUUCAAAAUUUUCAAAAUAUUCGAGAUAUUUUGCUCGGUAUGAGUGUUUCUCGAGGGGCGACGGUAAACGCGGUAACCGCGCGAGAUCGCGAAAUUUCGCUCGGUACCCAAAACGCUGCUCCAAACUCCCCCUUGAAUUCCACAAUCGGCAAUUCGAUCCGGUAUUUCGGUUCCCAAACCUCCUUUUCGUAGUUUUGCAACACCCAUAUAUCAACAUAUUUCGUGGCGUUGCUCAGGCUAUAGAAGCCAAGCGUGUCACUCAUCUCAAAGAUAUACGAGUUGGUGGGAACUAUAGAAAAAAAAAAGGAGUGUGCUUAAUUAUUUUGUAAGGACCCAAACAUAUUGUGAAUAAUUGACUGAUCAGCAGAACCCUCCUAAACUGAAAGGGGCACAAUUCUUACGAUAGAGACUAUACAAUCUACAUUACGUACCUAGCUAGAGAUUGUCAACCUUGAGUUUAUUUACACAUGUACUAGUAAGUUUGUUUUAGGUAACUAGCUGGAUUUUUCUUUUUUUUGAUAAUGACAUGUAGCAAAGAUGAUAUUAAGAGAAGAAAUUAAGUGGGGAAGCAAAAAGUGACAUUGGUCACACAGUUGAGGACCAUGCAGAAGUACAUAUACAAGUCUGGCGGUGGCAAGUUUUCUUCAUAUUCCACAUCGGAUGAGGUUUUAGUGUUGAUGCUGCUGCUGCUUCGCCCUCCACUCCACGACCUCGCCUCAAUUCGGUGGUAGUCCGUAACGAUGCUAUGGCGAUCGGGGGAGGGGAUUUGUUCGCUGCCACAGACCAUGGAGGAUGGAUUGAAGUGCGAGGGAGCAAGGGAAGUGCGGAUGCGACUAGGGCCAGGGGGACUGCGCCGUGGCAAUCACGGCCGGUGGUUUACCCAGCUGAGCGCGCUGCCUACCUUAAAUGGAUGGACGGACGGUGCUUUCGUUGCCUCAGCCGCAAGCAUUUUGCCGACUUCCAUGAGCCGUCAAAGUGUUGGCGGUGCUACAAGGAUUUUCAUCUAGCAAGCCAAUGCCCUGGCCCUUCGUCAAAGCCCUCCCCAGCACCUUCCCCGUCGGGGUGUCCAUCCGGUCCUCGGUGUCGUGGCAUGCCAGCCAACCUUGCUUGCAGCCCACGCCCGUACGCUGAGGCUCUUUUGGCGCCGUUCCUUGGAGAUCACUCUGCUUGUCCCGCUGACUGCUGCAUCUUCCCUCGUGCUCCUGUCGAGCAGGAUCUCCUUGCUGCUAUCUCUCAACGGGGCCAGUGGACAUCGAUCCGGGGCAUAGUGAUCCUAUGCUUGAUGAAGCAUUGUUGCCUCCUCCUCAGGCCCUACCUGCCGUCAUCAGUCCCGUGGGCUGCUUAGCUUGGGGCGAUGAUGUGGGGUUGACCCAUGGUGCCUCGGUGGCCGGGAGUGAGAAAUCCGUUGAUCCUAUGUGCUCGGAGGCUAAGUUCUGGCCACCAUGCCCCGGAGGCUGCUCCUCGUCUUUCGUUGUGUAGUCCCUUGCACAUCCAAUGCUCAGUCCAGAGGAGCCGCUUGGUUUCAACUCGCCCAAUGUUCUGGUUGAGGUGUGCAAUGUUGUUGCGAAGGUGGCGCAAUAUAAAGUAGCACCAUUAUUUUCUGGAGGAUUUUAUCAGCAAGGUUACUUCUCCGCUCCCACAACCUCUGCUUGAGAUCUCGGUGCCUUCACGCGGGGAGAAGGAUGACGGGCCAUGGAGCGGGUGUAUGGAAAAGAAGAACAAGGCAUGCAACAUCCCGACAUCGAAGCGCGCAGAGCAUAGGUUGUUGGAGGCUUUUGGUGAGCUGUUGGAGGUCAGCAAAGCGGAGGGUCCUGAGCAAAAGAUGCAAGCAUGCCUGGACAUGAACAAAAAACCAUUCUCACCGCAAGUGAUCGAGGCGUUUAGCUCUUUGGCGAGGAUCACGGGGAAGUCGAAUUUGGACCUUUCAUGAUGUUUUCCACAUGAUAAUGUUAGCACGUGAUGUUUCGAGGCCGAGACAGAAGAGUCAUUCAAUAUGGCCGGCUUCUCUUCGGCGAGUGGUGGUUAGUUUGGUUGCACUUGAGCCUUGACUAACUGUUUUGGGCCUAGGCGCUCUGGUAUCUGGCUCUUAUGAUGUCCCUUGAUGAUGCAUUUGUCUUGCCCCUAUCCCCAAGCUCUAGUGCUUUUUUUCCAUUUUCUUUCGUUUUCGUUUUUGGGUUUUCAUUCGGUUUCCCCUAAUUAACCGAGAAUGUUAGGUUUUUGGGUCCGGUUUUCCUUAUAAACCGGGUCAACUCUCUUCUUCAUAAUGAAAUGCAGGACCCCCUGCUUCGCACGAGGUUUCUCAAAGAAAAUGUCAUUCAUAGCUGAGCAAACAUGCUGUCAAUUGCAUCUCAGUAGACACCUCUAUCAUCAAUAAGCUGCGGGUCAGUCGGUGACUGCCAAUCAUCUCGCAUGCAGGCAAUGAAAUUGAGACCUGGAAGAUCUAGAUGUAUGGCACCGGUUGAUGGCAGAGCUGCAAAGGCAACAAGGCCACUCAUGCUCCAAACAGACCGUACGCUGUUGCAAUAGAGAACACUUGCAGUGCAACAUCACAUUAUAACAAGUAAAAAGGGUAUUUACUAAUUUUUGUAGAACAAGAGCAAUCAAACGACAGAAUGUCAAGAGUUGAUAUAUACCAUUAUUGUAAAACUAGGGCAAAAGUUUUUCUCCCCCAUAAGAUACUAGUACUCUGUGGCAACUAAACAUCCAUUAAUCAAUCACAGCCAUAAGAGGAAAAAGGAAAACACGGCAACUUGAUAUGGGAGGUAGAAGAAGAACCAAAAGUUGGGCAUUUUGUCCACCUUGAUGAUUAUUUCAGUGUACAGAUGGGUUCCUGAUGGCAUAUCUCAAGAAACUACUACCAUGGAGGCUUAGAAUAGAUCAAAGGGGUUCCUUGUAUCGGUGUUGGUUGCUUUGGAAUACAAAGCGGGGGGAAACCCUUUUUCGGUAAGUAGACCAUCGUGUCCUUGGCCAUGACUAGCAAGAGCAGCUUGAAGUAUAUCAAGGCCCACUUCAUGGUGAUGCCGUGGCGGACGUUGUCCAGGAAAAUCUCCUGGUGGAACAUGUAGAACUGAGUGUACACUGAUGCGAUCAGGAGAGAAGUGAUGAUGUUGUUCUUCAACACGAGCAGUAGAGUCAGGAUCAUGUAGAACAUGGCUUUUGUCAUCAUCUUGGUCCACCUCACUUUCAAGCUUUCGAGUGUCAAUGGGCUGCUUCUGGGUUUGCUAAUGGUAGCGUCCAAGGUGCUGAAUGUUGUGACCUUCACUGAGGCUCCCUCCUGUGAUUUAAGAGCAUCAGAUUGUACAAGCAUAAGAAAUUUUCAAUUGCAAGCUUCUGGGAAUCAAUGCUGGUUAGUGAGAAAACAAACUGAUGAAACACAGGUCCCAUAAAAUUGGCACCAGGAACACACUAGCACCUGCUGAUCAGAAGAUCCAUUGGAGGCCCCAGUAGAAAACCAGCAAGGAAACAUGCAUGUGCCACCGAGUCGAGAUGCCUGCUCAUAUCCUAGAAAUCUGUUUGCGUAUGGGAAGAGAAAUGGCACCACACAAAUGAUGUUGAGCUAAGUCCCUCCACAUGGAGGUGUGUUGGCAGCCCAACAUCAGCCCACACAAGUCCAACACAUAUGAACCGUUGAUCUUCGUUGCUUCCAACGGUUGUGAGUGUUCCCUAGUGAAGGGAGCAAGGAGAAAACCCUAGCCACUCCAUCCCUGCUGGUGGUGGCUACCAUUGUGAGAGUGAGAGAGCACACAAGAGAAAACACAACAUGAGAGAAGAGAAGAAGAAGAAGUGGAGAUUCUGUCUAGAUUUGCUGCAUCUGAUUAGACAAUGUUCAAGCUGGUGAUUGGAGGAUCAAACGUGCUUGGAUUGAUCCCAAACUUGGUGAGAUCAUUCCUUACUUUGAGUUCUCGAUCUGGUUAACUGGUUUGAGGAUUGGGUCAGUAGAGCAUCAGAUUUGAGAGUGCUUUUGUCAGCUCUCACUAGUGCAGUUCCAGAACAGAGUAGUUUUGUGAGAUGAACAGUUUGGGUAGGCAAACGGUGUUCGAUUGAGCUGGAAUUUUGAGGGGAUCUCAGGAACUCAUGUGUCUACUUGUCUACCAAAUUUGGUGCUAUUUGGUUUAGCGGUGUAUGAGCAGUUUGCAAAACACUGAAGGGGGCAGAAGUUGUGUAAACUCUUAUGAGGAAAUCUUGCCUCUUGUAGUUGUUGUUGUUGUUGUUGUUGCCGGUUGGCAACGUGGAGAGUGUGUUGUAAAUCUCUCUAGAGGUUCUAUAGAAUACUUUGUACUCACAAUUCUCGUAGUGAAGUUUUGUGGACCGGUCGGUCCAUAGCCGUGGUUUUUUACUGCUCAAGUUGAGGAGUUUUUUCCACGUUAAAUCAUGUGUCGCAUGUGCAUGUUGUUUGUGUUAUUCCGCUGCUUACUUGUUGGUUGAAGCUGUCCCCAAAGUUCAUCACAAGUGGAGGGGGCUGUGUAGUGUGCAUAUUUGCCGUCUCGGUGAAUUUGUGCGGCGCAUUGUUGUUGUCCAGCCCCAACAAAUGAAUUAUUACAAGUAUAAUAGGCUCAUAAACAGAACAAGAGAUGUAAUAAUAGAAGUAGGCAUGCACACAGACACAAAGUAGAAAUGAAGUGAUCACUGAUCAGUCAAGCAAACCAAAAGCACCGUUGGUAUUUGGCCUUUCAUUAGUGAGAUUACAUAGAUAACUAAAAAGAGAAGAAUCCCAGAUCAGCACCUGCUAGAUAUCAAUGAUCACCGAUCAGUCGGGCAAACCAAAUGCACUGCUGGUAUUUUAGUCAUUCAUCAGUAAGAUACAUAUAACUAGAUAGAGCAGACUCACAAUUCACAAAGCAUGCAUUUAGAAUCCUAUUCUGCCUGUGAAAGGCAAAAGCAGAACUGUACUACAGUUUGAUAAGUUCUAGUUCCUCCUUCAUAUUUCAGUUCUCCACGCACCAUGGAAGAACUACUAUUGGGUAUUGACCAAUCAAUAUAUGAAACUUAUGUAAAGGAAUAUCAAUGAAUUUUACACUAAGUACGUCCUAUGAAUGGGGAAGAGGAAGAACACACGCGAGAGAAAACGCAACACAAAACCAGAAAACUCCCUGCUGCAUCCCAUGAGGUGAGUUAUCAGUGUCUCCAACGACACUGGUGCCUGAAAAAGCACGCUGGAAAAUUCAGGUUUGUGCACCGUCGAAGCAAAGAGAAUCAUGAUGGGCACUUGCAUCCAUAUAUGUCUACUGUCCCCAGCCACGUCCAUGUAUCGCCGUGUAUGAUAUGAUACGCGUCGCCCGAUGGCUGUCGAGCAUCUCGCAUGCACGCAAUGCUAUGUAGCAUGGUACAACACUACAGUUGUACGGUGUCUAGUGCAUCGACGACUGAUGGCAGAUAUGCAAAGGCCACGAGGCCUUUCAUGUUUUACAAAGACUGGACACUACUACAACUCAACACUGAAAGAGCACGAGAGGUGCAGAAUUACAAAUCACACUGAAUAGGUUCACUUGGAUUGGAUGUAGAGAGAGCAGCACUUGCAAUGCAGGCAUGCAGCAUUAGAUUAUAACAAGCAAGGCAAACAGUGACAUUUACUAAUUUUGCAAGGAAAGAGCAAUUAACUAGACGGAACAUCAUGGUCGAUAUUUACCAUUAUUACCUGUGUUUUCCACUCAUCAGAUUGCAGUACCAUCUCCGCAACCGUCUUCAAUGUCUGCAAGGAUAAGAAACUUUCAACUACAAGCUUCUGGCAAUGAAUGUAAACUAAUGGAACACAAGUCCCUGCCGACCAGAAGAUCCACUGAAGGCUCCAGUAUAGAGCCAUCUACUAGAGCAGCCCAUAGUGUUUGCUGCUCCUUUUUUGUAGGUUAUAAUUAACCUUAAGCUUCUACCUGGGGAAGUUUUUACAGCGUGCACUUUGGGUUCGGUUCUCUUGUGAAAAAACAGUUCAGUAUUCUGCAUUUUUCUGACCCUGGUUGGUACCAACGUGUGAGCUACGAGUUUAUGUCUGAUUUAACAUGCUGGUUUACCAACAAGGUACUGGGUGGAGCAGAGUCCUCCUGAUAAUUGCAUUCAGCUACUGAAGUAACAUCAGUGUGAGCUAAUUAGGUAGGACUGCAUACAGUGACCUCGAACAGAUAUAGACCUAUAUAUGUGAAGAAUUUAUAAAGUGAGAACUAGUGGCUGUGCAUGCAACUGUCACCCACUGGUCAAUGUUCCAACUAUCACUCUAAAUUCUCAGCUUACUCUGGCCUGACCUCUCUAUGAUCAUGUUCAUUCUGAACAUAUAUGCUCCAUAGUAUGUUCCAAUCAACACAUGUAGUAUCUCACUACUGGAUCAAUUAAAAUCUGGAACAAUUUCAGGUUGCCGAGUCUUUUCAAGAACACUACAACUCACCGGAACAAGGCAAUCGUUACCAUGUCCAAUUCUCGCUAUAAUGGCGAGCCUAUUAGUCCACAAUAAUGCUCCAAGGUCCGCUAAAAAUCAGCCUCUGUUCAUCGUCAUCUUCAACAAAGGGUAGAAACAUAAAGCACCCUAAAUAUUUACCAUUAAGAAGGCCACUAGAUAAAAAGGCAAAUUCAUUCUUCAGUUAAGGAAAUAUAAUGACAUGAGGUAUGUAGAUUGCUAACUAUUUGCUACAGAGAAGACCACUAGAUAAUUUAAAUAAAGCAACAUCAAUUCUUGAGACAACGAAAAUUCAUACAUGAGUAAGUUCAGUCGGCACAUAUUUCAAAAGCAGAGCAAAAUUAAUUUCUAAUUUUAGCAUCAUUACAGCAUUAGUCACUUCAGCCCAAAAGAUACCAAGACAAGCAUAGAGCUCAUGCAACCACAUAACAGUCACAGCUUCCAAUCAUACUUUGUAUACAUCAAUGCAAAAGGAAGAAGUGGCCAGCAGGAUCAUACUCGAUCCAAUUCAUAGAUACUGGAUAUACAACAUCUAGGCCGUUAAGAAGCACCACCUCACUCAACAGGGGUCAGAUGAAAGGCGAAGCGUUGAUAGCAUAACCUUCUAGAGCCGGAAAGAAGGUAUGCUUAACAAGACUUUGCUUGAGGCGAGCUCCGGACAUAGAGAAGCUUGGGCGACCACGAUGGAAACUGCCAACCAAUUUGCCAGCACAAUCAAAAUGAAGCAGGCACCCAUAAGCACUGACCAGCAAGAGCACACCACCAUCCACCGAAACAACGUCCACAUUCCGAUGGUCGUCAUAUGCUCCAAACAUCCCCCUGAAAUCCGCAACCGGCAAUUCGAUACGGUAUUUCAAUUCCCAAACCUCGUUUUCAUAGUUUUGCAACAUCGAUAUAUAAACAAAUUUGGUGGCGUCGCCCUGGCUAUAGAAGCCAAGCGUGUCGUCACUCAUCUCGAAGAUAUACGAGUUGGUGGGAACACUUGGAGCACGCAUCAUUCGGAAUGACUCCGCUAUGGUGUCGAACACGAGUAAAUUGUAAAAAACCACCACAAUUGGAGACCCUAACUCAGAAAACUGCCAUCAUUCGGUUUUUUUUCAAAAAACCACCAACAUUGUGGGGACAGUUUUCAAAAAACACUGAAUGAGCAAUUAGAGCUGUUUGAGUGAAAAUCUGACCGCUAGGUCCCAUUGUCAGGUGCCAUGUGGCCUGGGUACAUACGGUACUCCUCACACGUCGUUAGAAAGUGUGGCUCCCGUUAAGCUAGACGUAGGACCCACCCAUCAGUGGGUUUGCUCCUCUCUCUUUCUCAAGCAUUCUUACAAACACCUCUCGUGCACCGCCGUGGCCAUCUCCAUCUCCAUCACGGAGCUCGAGCUGCUCAUCCAGGAGCCCGUGCAGGGUCGCCGUCAGCUGAUGGUGUCGGACCCGGCGUGAGGUGGCGGCGCAGCCAUGGACGCAGCCGGCGAGGUGGCUGGUCGUGGCCGAGCAGGGCCGCGCGCGUGGCUCCGUCCGCAGCCGGCGGCGAGCGCGGCGUUGAGCAGGAUACGGGAGGAGGAUGGGAAGCGCGCCGGGAGGAGCUGGACGUGGCUUGCCGCAGCCGGCGAGGUGGCUAGUCGUGGCCGAGCCUGGCGGCGCGGUGCGGUAGGACGCGGCGGGCGCGCGUGGAGCUGUGCGCACAGGGCUGCGUUCAUCACCGUACCCCGGCGGUUCCAGCCACCGUCUGCUGUCAUGCACAUAGGAAUGGCGCCGGGCUGGACCUCCUCAUGCCCAGGAGCUGCCCGAGCCCGACGACGCCGACGAGGUCGCGAAGUGGAGGAGCUGGAUCCGGCGGGUGGCGAAGUGGAGGGCGGCUAGCACAGGGGGUCGGGGGUCGGGGGCCGCCCUCGGAUCCGUCGUCGGGGCUGCACGGGGGGCCGACGCCGCUUGGAUCCAUCGCCGGGCGGCAAACCGGACUCGCCGCGCGGUGGGCAUCGCCUUCAGGUCUGGCGCCACGACGCGCUCCGUGCGCGGGAUGGGGAUCCGGCCCUCAAACCUGUCCUUGACUGAUUCCGCGCUGGCGACGGCGACGAAUUAGUAGCCGGAGUGCAGCUCUGGGGAGGCGGCGGUGAGGUGCAGAAGACGACGAGCCAGAGUUAUGUGCGGCAGCGUUGGCGUGGUCAACGGAGACCCCGGCUGUGUGUGACUGUGAGGCUUACGGGUGGCCCCCCACUUCUAUCUUUUUUUCUUAUCAUACGUGAGGUCAAACGGUGUCAAGUUGCUUUGCCACAUCAGCACUUACAGCAGGCCCCAUCUGUCAGGUAUGGUGCUAACAUGCAUUUAGUGACCAAUAAGUGCUUUUUGAAAACUGUCACUACAAUGUUGGUGGUUUUUUGAAAAAAAAUGAAUGAUGACGGUUUUGGGAAUUAGGAUCCUCAAUUGUGGUGGUUUUUUGCAAUUUACUCUGUCGAACACUAUUACCACCGGUUCGCUGUCACUCUGACAACGCUUCGGAUGCCAGUGCAGGCUGUCGUGCAGCCUGGCAGGUAAGUUGAGGAGGUACGCCGAGAAUGUUUCUGGCCACGCGAUGGACCUCGGUGGCCGGUUGGAGCCCAACGCAAAGAUAUAGCAAGUUUGGUCUUUGGGUAAGCCUGUGAAGCCCCUCCGAUUCCGUUGCAGUAAGAGGCGGUACUCGCCGGUAGGCCGGUGUGGGUACAUCGCCAAGGUCUUGAAGUUCCAUGGUGGAAGCCUCAGGUAGGCAUGCUCACGUGUGGCCGGGUUGCAGACGGAGAAGGUGCGAGAGGCUGUCGUGCUUUCAAACUUGGAGAGGACGAGGAGGCCGUCGCAGGAGGCCUCCAGAUCGAAGUCCUGGUCAAACGGGGCGACGGUGUGGAGCUGGUACUCUGCGGUGGCCCGGUGGUCGAAGGCCAGAAUGUUACGGUACUGGCCGUCGCCGGGGAAAAUGGGGAGAGCGGGCUGGCGGGCAUGGUGCGCCAGGAGGAAGCGGCGGGUGGAGGUGACAAGGCACCAAGACCGGCGGACGGCGCGGCAGCAGAAGAGGGUUCUUGGGUCCAGGUGGACGAGGAUCUCCCAGAUGAUGAUCUCGUCUGGGAGGAAAGGCGUCAUUCCUCCUCCUGCUGCGGCGUUCGCAAUGGUCGCCGGUUGGGAGCUCGUCCCGGAGGUGUGCUGGUGCCUGGUGGCUUGUCAAUUGCAAGAAACCACCACAUUUGCGGCUAGGUUUGCAGUAAACCACCAACUCGUUAAUCCGUUGCAGAAAACACCGAAAAAUCUGUUAAGUCGUUGCAAAAAGCACUGAUCGGAUGAUUUGGCCCGUUUAAUCACUUUCUUACAAGUGGGGCCAGAUUGUAAGGAAUUGACUUAGCGAAAAAAUAACACAUACACCCCCAGAUAAAAAAACAAAAGCAAUCUGACCCUCCCCCGUGGAACUCCCUCUCCUCCACCACGCUGACGCCCUGUCCACUCUGCGCCGCCGCCGCGCUGCUGCCAUCCGUCUGGCAUGGUGGCGCCCAGGCCGAGAUGCAUGGGGCCGCCCUUGUCGGCGACGGAGAGGGCUAUGCCGCUGGGGAGGACGAGGAGGCGGCCGGCGCCCACGGCUGCACUGCGAACCGUCUCCAUAGCGCGCGGGCCGUGAUGGCGACGCCCUCCGGCAGCUCGUCGUAGCCGGGGAAGAGCUGGGAUGGCGGGGGCAGGCUCGGUCUGGCAGCCUGCCGGCCGCCGCCAAGUCGUGCUGCCGGCAAGGCAAGAGGCGACCACCCGACAGCAGGGCGAUGACGGCGACGACGGUGCACGAGGCGGUGACGCGCGGCGGCGCGGUGAUCGAGGCGGAGGAGAUGCUCGUCGGGAGGCUUGUGCCGCCGCGGGACUGCUCGGAGGCGAUGUACGCACGCACAGCCGCACAGGUGAACUUCGACAGCGAGGGACAGCGAUGGCAGCGGCCUCAAAAGGCGGCCAUAGCAGCGCACACGUGCCGGCCGGCUUUCGCUGAAACAGAGGCGAGCCCAGCCCGGCCGAGAGCGUAGCCUACCCGUGGUGCGUGCGUGCCACAGGAUGGCCGGCGUGGUGGAGAAGAGAGAGUUCGGGAGGGUCUGAUUGCUUUUGUAUUUUUAGAUCUAGGGGUGUAUGUGUUAUUUUUUCGCUAAGUCAAUUCCUUACAAUCUGGCCCCACUUGUAAGAAAGUGAUUAAACGGGCCAAAUCAUUCGAUUAGUGCUUUUUGCAACGACUUAACAGAUUUUUCGGUGUUUUCUGCAACGGAUUAACGAGUUGGUGGUUUCCUGCAAAACUAGCCGCAAAUGUGGUGGUUUCUUGCAAUUGACUCGCCUGGUGGCGGCGGAGGGGAUGUAGCAAUAGUAUGUUACGUAAAUCUUUCAGGUGGUAGAAACGGAUUUGAGGUGGCCUCGUCUGCAGGUUCCAAACCCUACAAAAGAUUUCCUGUAAGGAAAAAAAACAAGUAUUUAACUAUCACAAAACAUGCACAUAAUUCAUGUUCAAACUUCAAAGGUUCAGAACUUCAGAGAAAAAGGAGUGUGCUCAAUUAUUUUGUAAGAGCCAAAACAUAUUAAGAACUGCGGAUGGUAACUAGACCAAGGUUUUGUGAACAAUUGACUCAUCAUUACAUUACGUACCUAGCCGGAGACUGUCAACUUGAGUUUAUUUACACAUGUACUCCCUCUGUAAAGAAAUAUAAAACCAUUUAUAGAUCACUAAAGGGAGUAGUAAGGAUUUUGUUUUCCGAUAAUGAUAUGUCAUAUGUAGCAAGGAUCAUGACGAUGUAACGGAAUAAAGCCAACUAGCCAAGAAUCCACUGCAUAUGCUGCAUCCGAUGAAGUUUCAUCGUUCCACCAAUGCCCUUGAUACCUGAGCAAACAUGCUGCGAAUCGCAUCUCAGCAGACACCACUGUCAUCUAUCAGCUGCUGGUCAGUAGGUGUCUGUCAAUCAUUUCACAGGCAUGCAACGGAACCGAGACCUGGAAGAUUCGUAUGGUACCUGCUGAUGGCAGAGUUGCAAAGGCAACGUGGUCUUUCAUGCUCCAAACAGACUGGACACUGCUACAACACCGAUAACACUUGCAGUGCAACAGGUAAACAUGGCAUUUACUAAAUUUUUGCAGAACAAGAGCAAUCAACGACAGAACGUCAAGAGUUGAUAUAUACCAUUAUUACAAAACUAGGGCAAACGUUGCUCCCGUAUAAGCUAGUACUCUGUGACAACUGAACAUUACUUGUCCAUUAAUCAAUCACAGCCAUAAUAAGAGGAAACAGAAAAACGCAGCAACUUGAUAUGCGAGACAGAAGAAGAACCAGCAGUCGGGCAUUUUGUCCACCUCAAAGAUUAUUCCAGUGUACAGAUGGGAGGGUUCCUGGUGGCAUCUCUCGAGAAGCUACUACCAUGGAGGCAUUUAGAACAGAUCAAA